rnacentral:lncRNA from 1 species
CACCCAUCAUCCUAGGGAGGCCAUUCCUGAACACCUCAGGAGCUGUCAUCUACGCUAGUGCUGCCAAGAUCAGUUUCUACAUCAAGGGGAGGAAGGAGACGUUUUCCUUCAAGAACAAGACUACACAAAUCUCAGAGCAAUCCCGACAUGAACCAAGGAAGAGGACCAACAGGAGGAACAGGAACAAGCAAAUGUGGACCGAGUCAACUAAGAUGGUCACUGCAGUUCAUGGAGGUCAAGAUCAUCAACUGAAGUCACCAUUCCUGACCAAAAAGGACGACCCAGUCACCUAUCAGCUCCUAUUCAGAACCAUGCCCCUAAAACCGACAUACAUUCAGCUCCAGAUGAUUUUAAGGUUAUUGACAUGGGAGAAGACGAGUACAAUCCACCCAUCACCAUUCGAAGACUGUUCCUCAGCACCGUUAAAGCAAUCAUCUACAUUGGAACCGGCGGAGUCCACAUGCAUUUCCCCUCUGAGAAGGUACGCUGCUAUUUUACUGAUCCUAUAGUUGAAGACUCUAAGCAGGUCAGGACAAGAAGGAGACGACGCAAACGCAACUAGAGAAGGCAAAAUCAUCAAGGACGGAUGGGUAGAGUAUGAAGGAGAAGUUGUAAGGUCUGAAGACAUACAGCUUGAAUAGAACUGUCUUGAGGAGACCGUAGCACCGAGUCAGGUGUGUAGAGAGAAGAUAGUUAUACACGAAGAGGAGGCACCGCCGGAACCACCGACUACGCCAUCCAGCGAAUCCUAGGACGAAUGAGAAAACGGAGAGUCCCGUUCGGAGGACUUAAAAACACCGAACGCCUUGCCAUGAGGUAAACUUGGUAGUUAUCCUUUUCUUUUCAAUUAUUUUAAAAUAGUUUGCUUAGUUAAUCAGGUUCAUAUCAUCUUGAAAAGAAAAUAAAAAUGUUAAAAAUAGUAAGCCCCAUGUGAGUAUGCUCAUGGCAUAAAACCCAUAUGUACAUUCACUGUGGUGGCGUAAAAAUAAAUAUAUAUUCCUGUCCUAUAAAAAAUGAAAAUAUAAAAAUAGAUUUAUGAUCCUAUUAAAAAGAGUAACAUUUAUUGAGGAGGCUCAACAUGAUAAAGGCUAGAUAUUUAUGCUAACACUUAACUAGUUCCACAAAGCUUUGUUGUCUAUUUGAGCUCCACAGAAUUCAAGGAUCAAAGAAGACUAGCAGACGGAGGACAUCCUAAUCGCUGUCAGGGUGCUGCUGACAUCCAAAUACACCUCCGCCACCUGCUAGCUACAUCAGAAGAAAUUAUGUCAAAAUCCAGCUUGGGGGAGAGCACCCCCAUUUAUCCAGCUAAGUAUUCUACUCACGUUUAUACUUUACUCUAAUAAUAAAAAGAUGCAUAAUCAUAGAAACCCAAAUAAAGAUUUUGUGCUUGUAUAUAUCUUUGCUUAGUUUAUAAAUAAAUAAAGUCUGCUAUGAACCCUCAUGAUAAGCUCUCAUAUGGAAAUGAUGAAUAGUUGCUCUGCCAUGACUAGUUCUCAAAAUUGAAAUCUCUCUCAAGUUUAGGCAUGACUGUUAUUAAUUAAGAUCUGCUCUAAACCUGAACUUGUGGGGAGAGUACUUGAUCUAAAGUCUAAGUCAUUAACGGAUACGAUAUGAGAAGGCUGAGUUGCUGUUUAUCUGUUCCUAGAGAUGCUAGAAUUCUGGAGAAUUUUAUCUUUGAAAAUCUUUAAAAUAUCACAUGAUGAGUUCCUGUAUGAUGAGAGUUUAAAUUCCUACCACAGCCAUAUAUACAUGCUUGCUAGACUUUGAGCCACACAUUUACUUUUUACUGCUUAUGAGCAUUGAGUGUGGUCAAGCUGUGUAGACCCUUAGGAGCUUGUCAUGUGGUUAAAUCAAGAUUCACUUGCACGUUCACUCAUACAUGCUGCUUCUACUCUAGAAGUACGCAUCACAUAUAUCCAUCCAUUUCCAUCUCCAGAACCACCCAAAAAUAUUCUACUCCUAAUCCGGGAGAGAAUAGCCAAAAAUAUUUCUAUUUUUCCCCUAUGAAAUAAAUGCUCAAGUUAUCUUGUUACUACCACUUGCUAUAUUAUCUCAAGAGAUGAGUGCUCUAAAAAAAGAGAAAAAAAGAGAUACGAGGAAAUAAAAAGGGGCAAGUGCCCGGAACCUCGAAUGAAAAGAAAAAGUGAGACGAGAGGUAAAAAUGGACAUGUGUCCGACAGUAGAAUUAGGGGUACAAGAUACCCACCUGAGAGAAAAGAAAAAGAAAAUAUAGGGCAUCUCAUUCUCCUCAAAAAGUUUCAAAAGAGCAAGAAAGGUAUGUAUCCCCUCAAAAGAGCACAAGUAGAAUUAGACUUUCACCAUUGUUAUCACCAUCAUCACCAUACACCAUUUAUUCGCCACACAUGCACAUCUUGAUUUGACUUAUUGACUUGUUCUUCUGGAUCCAUGGUUUGACUAUGCAAUAAAUGUCUUGUAAGUAUGUAUUAGCUGUCUCCCACCUGUGAGCUCCAGAUAUCAAAACCUUAUUAGAGUAGGGUGAGAGAGAAGGCAAUGUCACUAUGCCUCAUACCAAAAAUACCACAUACUUUGAGAGAAGGCAUACAUCAUUAAAGCCUUAGUAAGGAUCCAGAAAUACCACAAAAGAGAGACUAGAGAGAGUCAUACAAGGAAUCUCUGAGUUUUAUUUGAAAAUAUGCAAAAACUCCAGAGCUAUAGUUAAUUGAAGAACAAGAGACAUGGCGCUUGACUAGACUGUUCUAUCUAUUAACUACUCUAGACACAAGUGACGGUUACAAGUCCCAUGGUGGAAGGUAAAAUGAGUAAGUUUAAAUCUUAACAGUUUACCCUAACCUAGAGAUGAGAUCUUGUUUUACCUUUAAGGCAUAAAACCACUGCAGCAACUCUUGAGUCCAUCUUUGCUCAGGGACGAGCAAAGGUUAAGCUUGGGGGAGCUUGUUGACGGUCCUUAAUGCUCACAUUUAACCAUCAACUAAUCAUGGAAAAGGAUCCAAAUGCAACCAACACCUAGACUUAGGGUUUUAUCUGACAAAAUUCCAUGAGUUUUGGUGUUUGUCUAUUUCUGCAGGGGGUUAUCAGGAAAUACGGAAGAAAGGCCCACACGUCGGGUUUACAUAGAGAUAUUAACAUGCCGCGCAAUUUUCUACCAUCUAGAAGACUCCAGAAGCCACGGGAACGAACGGGAGGCCGAUCGGGCCCGGGGGCAGGGCGCCCGCCCUCCCCCCUUGGGUGCCCGCCCAGCUACAGUAACCAAUCAGCUUCAACUUCACGGAUCGUGCUCCACCGACCUAAGGGACCAAGGAAAACCGUGCGAUUAAUGUCGGUUUGAUCCGACGGCCUAGAUUCAUCUGAAAAGACUAUAUAAGCAAGGCCCCCUGGCCCCUGGAGAGCAUACCUCUUCUACAGAAUCAAAGUUAGGGUUUCAAUUCUUCAUCCAAGUAGAGAGGAUCCCUCUAGUUCUUCUAGUUCUACCUCUAGUUCAUCUAGAUCUAGUUCUAGUUCAUCUAGUUCUAGUUCUAGUUCUAGUUCCUCUAGUUCUAGUUCUAGUUAGUUCUAGUUGUAAUCUAGAAAAUAGGGAGAGAGAAGAGGAGAGCGGAGGAGGAGCCGGAUCUGUCGGAUCUUCCUCAACAUUAUACUUUUGCAGCAUCUGGUUCGUUCUUCAUCGUUCUCCAGGUUCUUCAAUUCAUAAUUCCUGAGUUCUUUAAUUACUUUUAUUUACAUUCAAGUUAUUUAUUGGAUUCCCGCUUGCAUCAAGUGCUCUAGUCUUUAUAACGCUAGAGUAGUAAUUAAUAGAUUAGACGUGGUGUUUAGUCUUGCAAUUACCUGGAAUUGCACCCAAUCCUGCGGAUUGUUGUGGUAGCCUUAGGGUAGUGACAGCCCUAACGGUCGACGUAUUCCACCUCGUUCGGAUCGGUGUUUGUUGGACCGUAGUCAGACCUUCCUAGCCCCCUUCUCAUCUCUUUCUGUGGUUAGUGCUCUGAUGUCCCGAUAUAGAUAAUCUUGAAGUAAUUCUUGAUUCUUAGAUCAACUAGAGAACUCUCCGGAAACUUCCUCUCUUCCCACCAAAAAUAAUUAUAUAGUUAUCCUUGGGCGAUCUUGAUUCUUAAUUAGUACACUCACGUUCUCUGUGGAAAAUCGAUACUCUGGAAUACUCCCGGGUGAAAGCUACAUCGGUAUCCGUGCGCUUGCGGAUUUUUCUGUUUGCGUUUAAAAUACCCAACACAUACCAGGUACGUUCUUGAUGGGUGGUCAUCCUUUCAGAUGCCACUCGCUAUGGAGCUCUCUAGUUCACCGGUGUUGCUGCAAUCUCAAUCAAAAAAUUUUCAACAACGUAGAAGCCAAGGUUCGGGUUAGGUAACCGAAUUUUGCCUUUAUUAUCGUAUAGCAUGUACAUUAUGUUCCCCUCUUUCUUUAACAUCCGAGCUUAUCUAAAUGUGUCAUAGCCAUGAUAAAUUCUUAACUCAUCUAUGAAUUCCAGUGAUGAAUUUUCUAGCAAAUGAAGAUUAGAGGCUAGACGAGUGAUAAGUGAAGUACAUCCUACUGGUCCCUGAAGACUAGGUACACUAAGCCAAUUUGAAACUAAAAGUGUAACAGGUGAAGUGGGUACUUUAUUAAUAGCAGCAUAUAAAAGUUGCAAAUCUCCUACUCUUACUUUCCUAAUAUCAUCACGAUAGAAAAGAUUGUACCCAAGCCAUUUGUGGAACAUCCUAAGAGUGGGGUGUUCCAUGUCACUGGUUCGGGCUUGACUAUAAAAAUUAUCUCUAGAUAUCUCUCUCCAGAACUGGUGUCUCUCAAAAUUGGGUAGGUCGGAGUCAAUGUUUAGGAUGCAUCUUGAAGAGAAACCAAGAUGGUCGCUCCGUUCUCUCCAAGACAACAUAAUCUCCUGUUUGAACAUCUAAAAAACAAUUCCCCCCUCAUAAUAUUGUAUAGUGCAAAGAAAUUCGAGGGUGAGAAGACGAGAACCUAGCUCGGUUAUAUUCCAAAAAUUUGUCCAACCUAGCAUCUGGAAAAUUAAGUCGAAUUCAGUAUCGAUACCUGUCUCUUGUAGCAAGAUUGGAUCAAGAGUAGGGGUAUGAAUGAAAUCUUUGUUCUUCAGUUGCUGGUAGACUUCCUUCUCUCUUCAGGUCUUUAGUCCAAGGUCUCCUAUCUUAAGAAGGACCUUGACUUGCUGAUUAGAUGAAGAUGACGGAGCUUGUGUGGGCGUUGGGUCGACGCUCAUCUCUGAUGGGUGCAAGGAGUGUCGGGAUGAACUCCUUGUACCUAUGUUCUUGAGAGCCUUCCCUGCGUUCUUCACCUUCUUGAACAACCUGUAAACAAAAGUUGACAAAAACACAACUAGUGGAAAAUGUGAGAGAAAAUGUUAGUGAUCAGCUGUCCGGAAUGUCAGUAGUCCACGGGUUAGUUGUUCAAGACAAGUUUUUAUUUUGGCAGAACCUCCCCCUAAACAACUUUUACUUCUGCUUAGGACAGCGGGAUCACUACUUACUAGGUGAAACUCACUCUCUCACUCAAAAACUACCAACUUCUUUCCCACUCUUCUCUUCCUCUCUACUCUCUUCUCACUUCACUACAAGAGCUCCUUCUCUGGAAACUGAAACUUGCGUGGUUUUUUGGAAUGCUUGUGUGAAGAAGAUGGAGGUAGAAGGUGGCUAUUUAUAGGAGGAAGAGGGGGCAGGGCAGGCGCCCUCUAUAGGUGGGCGGGCGUCCACCUUUGGUGCCCAUCCUGGCUGCUUUUUCUCCACUCCCUCCUUUGCUUAAUCUUUAAGCCAAAAAAUAAUUCAAUGGUGGUGGUUGGUCGAUGGAAAAGUACUGGUGAGUGGAGAUAUGUUGGUGGAUCAAAUAAUGUGAUGGGAUGUGUGUGAGGUGUGGUGUAUGACAUGUGGGACCCAAGAAGUGUGGGUCAUGCUUCUAGAAGCUUGCUAUAAUUAAAUAUAAUGCAGGAAAAUCUAUGAGAAUUGAAACUUAUUGAAAUUGAUAAUGGAAAAUAUUUUUGUGCCUCCACAAUAAUUAAUAAAUAUGUGUUGUUACACACCAUGAAUAUUAUUUAUAUGGGGCUUUUCAUUAUUAUAAUAAUGCUAUGAAUAAAUAUGACUAAUGCAAGAAUUAAUUAUGCAAGAAUUUAAACAAUGCGGAUAAAUACAGAUUUACCUCCCGGUGAGGGUUUGGGAUUUUUAGGUCCCCCAAGCUGGACCUCCAAAUCUUUUAAUCUUCCGAAUUACCUUCCUCCGGAGAUGGUGUCUCCAGUGGUUCUUCUUCAUGGACUUCCGUCACUGUAGGGUCUCUCUGGUCUGGGUUUGAAUGUGAAGUGUUCUUCCUUUCCGUUUAUGUUGAACUUGAUUUCUCCUUUCCCGACAUCAAUGUGGGCAUUGGCAGUGCUCAGAAAUGCCCUUCCAAGGAUAAUAGACACUUUUGAGUCAGGACUCAUGUCCAGUACCACGAAGUCUACUGGCACAAGGAAAUCUCUGAUCUUGACUGGAUGCCCAACGGGUGUCGAACUGAUUGAUCUGCUAGUUGUAGGCACAUUGAUGUUGGUUCUAGGGUCGUAUGCUCACGCUUUUUGUAGACUGAUGCUGGCAUCACACUGACACUUGCUCCGAGAUCACAAAGUGCAUUGUUGAAGUGUUGGUUUCCGAUUGAGCAAUCAAUAGUGGGACAUCCGGGAUCUUCCUUCUUCCUUGGUGGUAUAUUGAGGAUGGCCGCACUACAUUCUUCUGUCAGCUUGAUAACCUCAGUGGUGGGUAGUGGUCUCUUCUUGUUAAUAAUAUCUCUGAUGUACUUUGCAUAUGUAGGUACCUGUAUGGCAUCAAGCAGAGGUAUGUUGACAUAUAAUUUCUGAAUGACCUCUACAAACUUACCAAACUGCUCAUCCGACUGCAGUCCUCUGUUUCUUCUGGGAAAUGGCAAAUAGUUGGUGUCGUAAAAAUCUUUCCUCAUUUCUCCAGUUCUUGGUGGUUGUAGCAGAUCUUUUGCUUCAACUGGGCUUUCUUCUUCUAUCACUGCUGGUUGCACUGGUGCUGAUGUUCUUUGUUUCUCUUUUGGGUAUGGGGCAUCUCUGGUGGCUUUGCCUCUUCUAGUAGUUAUAUUCUUUACCUGCUCAAUAUUAGUAGCAAUAGGUAGUGCAGCAGCUAACUUUAUUAAUUUAAGCUCUACCCUUUUAUUAAGAGUGUUUUGCUCAUCAAAGGCAGUUAAUAGAAAAUCCAUUUUAUUGUGUAUAUCUUUUAGAGAUGAUUCAUUUGUAUCUAGCCUUUGUUUAACUUCAUCAUUAGUUUUUGUUUGUUGAGCAAUUAUCUCUUUUAAUGAAAGUUGCUUGAAAGUAUUACCUGAAUUCAUACCUUUGCUAUUGGGUUGACUCGAAGUGGUUUGAUAUUUGUGUGCUGUCUCAAUGGCCCUUUGAUCUUCUUUGAACUUGGCCCUCUAGUCAAUCCAAUAGAGCAAAUUUUCCAUCUUGGUUGAUAAUGCUUUUACUUCUUCUGGUAUUUCUUCAGUUUGAUGACGUUGUUGAGCUUCAUCUUGGAACCAGCUUUGAUUUUCUGCUAUCUUAUCCAAAAGUAUCUCUGCUUUUCCAAUUGUAAGCUCCAAGAAUGAUCCUUUAGCAGAUGCAUCUAGGCACUCACGAGCCUUCUGGGUUAAUCCAUGGUAGAAGGUCUGCAUAAGUAACCAUGUGGCCAUUCCAUGGUGAGGACAAUCUGAAAUGUAUCCUUGAAAACGCUCCCAUGCUUCUGAAAUGGUUUCUGUCUUCUGCUGUUGGAAACUGACAAUAUUUCCUCUUAAGGCAGUUGUUUUGCUUAUAGGGAAAAACUUUGAUAGAAAGGCAUCUGACAAGUUCGUCCAGUUGUUGAUGUUAUCUUGAUGAGUGUAGAACCACUUCCUCACUUUUCCUUCUAGUGAGAAUGGAAAAAGGCGAAGCAGUAUGACGUCUUUGUCAACUCCAUUGAUGUGGAUUGUGCUUCCAAUCUCUAAGAAAUUCUGCAAGUGUGCACUAGCAUCUUCAUGUGCCUUUCCACUGAAUUGUAUAGCUUGCACCAAAUUGAUGAGGCUUGACUUGAGCUCAAACUCGGGUACUCCUUCUUCAACUGCAAAUCUUGGAGCAGUUGGAAUGUUCUCAAGACUUGGAGCAGAGAAUUCUUGUAGGGUAUUCUGUGCCAUAGCUUCAGCAAUUGGUAGCUAACUUCUUCUCUUGAUUGCUUUGGUUCUGAUGAUGAAGAGUUGAAUGUACCCAAAGUCAAUCCUGAUAUACCCUGUAUAAAAAUAUAAACAUAGAAAAACAACAGGGUUUACCUGCCAAAGGAGAGAUGCCUUGUUAUGAUUUCUCACUUAGUAGUUGUUUAUGCAAUUAUUUCUCCAUAGUCUAGUCUAAUAUUUUAUGUGAAUAACCUUGACUGAUUUCCUGACUUUCCUUACCGUUCCUAUGUAUUACCCUUUUGCUCCCCGGCAAGGGCGCCUGAAAUGCUUGUUGACACUAGCUAACACCACUUAGAUACUAGGUUGUCAUCCCCAGCAUGAUGCCAGAGUGUACAAAGGUAUUUAUAAAUGUAAAGGCUCUUUAUAAAAUAAUCUAUUCUAUCCGCAAGCGCACAGAUAAAACACCUCAUUGUAGCAUUUCACCAGGAUAAGUAUUCCAGGUAUCGUUAUUUAUAAUUUUCUUAAGAGAACAAAAGGGAUGAAAUUAAAAUAAGGACGAAAUCUAUCAAGGCAUAGACUAGAGAUAAACUCGCAAGAGUACGAUUACUAAUGAGAAACUCGUCACACAGUCACUUACUUUGGCAGGGGGUAAACCAUAAAGAUAAUGAUAAUGAAGUAUAAGUUCAUGGGUGAAUAACACAACGAUUAGAAAAUAGACUACUCCUCAUAUAUGUAAGGUGACAUCGGAUUAGCUAGAGAAUGGAUUCUAAGUUAUCUACUAUCUACUAAGUCACAAUCUACUCUAGUUAUCUACAAGAUCAUGUAUAGCAUAAAAGACUCUUCAUUCAUGUAUAAGGAACAUUGCUAAAGUAAAUCAGAACAUCGCAAUACUUACUCCGCAAUACCAAUUCUGCCUGUCCUAUGAACAGAGGGUGGACUAUAUAAGAAUCAACGAAGCUGUCACUAUCGCGAACUACCACACGACCCGGCCAAUAGGAUACAUUUGUAGGUAAAUAACAUCUAAGCACCACGCCCACAUGUGAUCUACCACUUAACACCCUCGCGUCAAGAGCUAAGCGCUUUGCAAACUUAUACAUAAACUCGUUAUCAAUCAUAACUAUAUCAAAUAUAGAACUAGAGCAAACUAAGAGCAUAAUAAAUAGAGACAUAAUGUAAUUAGAACAAAGUAUUAGAGAAAGAUAUGAAUAAUACCAAUCUUUAUUACCGAAGAUCCGAAUCCAGAGCGUAGUGCUCUACUUCUCUAGUUGCUAUCUAAUCAAACCUCUAAACUUGAAGGAUUAGGUACUAGCUAAUUCUAAUUCUCUGUGGGAGAGAAGUCUAAACCCUAACUUUGAUGGCUACCUCUGAUAAUGAUUUCUCCUCUUCUCUUCUCUCCCCCAUGGGUGGAGAGGCCUUGGUUAUAUAGUCCUUUCAAGUGAAUCUGGGCCGUCGGAUCAAACCGACCUUGAUUGCAUGGUUUAGAUUCAUCUUUUAGGUCGGUGGAGCUUGGUCCCCGAAAAGAGUUCUGAUUGGAGUCCGACCCAGGGCGGGCGCCCUGCCCCCGAGCCCGUUCGGUCUCCCGUUCGUUCCCGUGGCUUCUGGACUCUUCUAGAUUGAGGAAAAUUGCACGGCACGUAAUUAUCUCGUUGUAAACAUGACAUGUGGGCCUUCUCUCCAUAUUCUCUGAUAACCCCCUGUAGAAAUAGAUAAACACCAAAGCUCGUGGAAUUCUAUGAGAUAAAACCCUAAUUCUAGAUGUUUUGUGCAUAUUGAUCCUUUUCCAUGUUUAUUUAAUUGUUAAUUUUAGUACUUAAGGACCGUCAACAAUGGGAAGACUACAAAGGAGAAGUGGUAAGGUUUGAAGACAUACAGCUUGAAUAGAACUAUCCUAAGGAGACCGUAGCACCAAGUUAGGUGUGGAGAGAGAAGAUAGUUACACACGAAGAGGAGGCGCCACCGGAACCACCGACUACGCCAUCCAGCGAAUCCCAGGACCACUGAGAAAACAGAGAGUCCCGUUCGGAGGACUUAAAAACGCCGAACGCCUUGCCAAGAGGUAAACUUGGUAGUUAUCGUUUUCCUUUCCAUUAUUUAAAAUAGUUUGCUUAGUUAAUCAGGUUCAUAUCAUCUUGAAAAGAAAAUAAAAAUGUUAAAACCAGUAAGCCCCAUGUGAGUAUACAAGUGAUAUAAAACCCAUAAGUACAUUCACUGUGAUGGCAUAAAAAAAUAAUUCUUAUGCUCUAUAAAAAUGAAAAUAUAAAAAUAGAAUGGUGAUCCUACGAAAGAAAGUAGCAUUUAUUGAGGAGGCUUGACAUGAUAAAGGCUAGAUAUUUAUGCUAACACCUAAAUCAGUUCCACAAAGCUUUGUUGUCUAUUUGAGCUCCACAGAAUUCAAGCAUCGAGAAGACCAGCAGACGGAGGACAUUCUAAUCGCUGUGAGGGUGCUGCCGACUUUCAAAUACACCUCCACCACCUGCUAGCUACAUCAGAAGAAAUUACGUCAAAAUCCAGCUUGAGGGAGAGCACCCCCAGUUAUCCCGUUAAGUAUUUCUAUCUAUCUAUAUACUUAUACUAUAUUAAAAUAAAAAUAUACAUAACCAUGAAAAACCAAAUAAAGAUUUUGUGCUUAUAUAUAUAUAUAUAUAUAUAUAUAUCUUUUGCUUAGUGUGCUUAAUAAAUAAAUAAAGUGGCUAUGCUAAACUAAAUCUUAAUAAUAAAACUCUAGCAUGGAUAUGAUGAAUAGUUGCUCUGCCUAAUUUUCAAAUUUGAAGUUCUCUCUCAAGUUUAGGCAUAACUGCUAUAAUUUAAAGCUUGCUCUAAACCUGAACUUAUGGGAAGAGAACUUGAUCUGAAGUCUAAGUUGUUAACAGAUAUGAUAUGGGAAGGUUGAGCUGCUGUUUAUCUAUUCUUAGAGAUGCUAGAAAUCUGGAUAAUUUUAUCUUUAAAAAUCUUUAAAAUAUCACAUGAUGAGUUCCUGUAUGAUGAGAGUUUAAAUUCCUACCACAGCCAUACAUACAUGCUUGCUAGACUUUGAGCCACACAUUUACUUUUUACUGCUUAUGAGCAUUGAGUGUGGUCAAGCUGUGUAGACCCUUAGGAGCUUAUCAUGCGGUUAAAAUCAAGAUUCACUUGCAUGUUCACUCACACAUGCUGCUUCUACUCCAGAAGUACGCAUCCACAUAUAUCCACUCAUUUCCAUCUCUAGAGCCACCCAAAAGUAUUCUACUCCUAAUCCGGGACAGAAUAGCCAAAAACAUUCUCCUAUUUCUGUUUUUCCCUGUGAAAUAAAUGCUCGAGUUAUCUUGGUUACUACCACUUGCUAUAUUAUUUCAGGAGAUGAGUGCUCUAAAAAAAGAGAGAGAAAGGAUACGAGGAAAUAAAAAGGGACAAGUGCCCUAAACCUCGAAGGAAAAGAAAAAGUGAGACGAGAGGUAAAAAUGGACAAGUGUAGGGGUGCAAUACCCACCUAAGAGGGAAAGAAAAAGAAAAUGUAGAGCAUCUCAUUCUCUUCAAAAGUUUCAAAGAGCAAGAAAGGUAUAUAUCCCCUCAAAAGAGCACAAGUAGAAUUAGACUUUCAACAUUGUUGUCACCAUACACCAUUCAUUCUCCACACAUGCACAUCUUGAUUGGACUUAUUGACUUGUUUCUCUAGAUCCAUGGUUUGACUAUGCAAUAAAUGUCUUGUAAGUAUGUAUACUCUAUCUCCCACCUAUGAGCUCCAAAUAUCAAAAGCCUUAUUAAAGUAGGGUGAGAGAGAAAGCAAGGUCACUAUGCUUCAUACCACAAAUACUACAUACUUUGAGAGAAGGCAUAUACCAUCACUGCCUUGGUAAGGAUACAGAAAUACCACAAAAGAGAGAUCUGAGAGAGUCAUACAAGGAAUCUCUGAGUUUUAUCUGAAAAUCUGCAAAAACUCUAGAGCUAUAGCUGAUCAAGAAUAAGAGACAUGGCGCUUGACUAGACCGUUCUAUCUUUCAACUACUCAAGACAGAAGUGAUGGUUACAAGUCCCAUGGUGAAAGGUAAAAUGAGUACAUUUUAAGUCUUGACGGUUUACUCUAACUCAGAGAUGAGACCUUAUUUGAAAGCAUGUGUACCAUCAAAACUCAAAGGCAUUACGCAACUUCUGAUCCAUCACUGAGAUUAUCCUUGCUCAGGGACGAGCAAGAGGUAAGCUUGGGGGAGUUUGUUGAUGGUCCUUAAGUAUCAAAUAUAAUCAACAAAUAAACAAAGAAAAGGAUCCAAAUGCAACCGACACCCAGACUUAGGGUUUUAUCUGACAGAAUUCCACGAGUUUUGGUGUUUUUCUAUUUCUGCAGGGGGUUAUCAGGAAAUAUGGAGGAAAGACCGACACGUCGGGUUUACAUAGAGAUAUCAACGUGCACUGCAAUUAUCCAACAUCUAGAAGAGUCCAGAAGCCACGAGAACGAGCGGGAGGCCGAGCGAUCCCGGGGACAGGGCGCCCGCCCUCCCCCCUUGGGCGCCCGCCCUGGCCUGAGAGCCUAUCAGGCUGAGUCUCAUGGAUCAUGCUCCACCGACCUAGAGGAUUAAGGAAAACCGUGCGAUUAAGGUCGGUUUGAUCGGACGGCCCAUAUUCAUUUGGAAGGACUAUAUAAGCAGGACAUCUGGCCCCUGGAGGGGGGACCUCUGAAACCCUAAUUCAUUCAUCCAUCUUGGGAGAAGAAGUCUCUGAUCAAGCCCUAGAGCCACCACAUCAACUAGAUCUCUAGUUUAGCAUAGCUACAUUGGAUUAGAACUAGAAGGAGUCAAUCUUCGAUUGGUUUCCGGAUCUGUCAAGAGGAUUCUUGGUAAUUCCUCUACUGUUCUUCAUUUGUUCAUCAUUAUUCUUCAAUAUUAUGAAUAUGACUUUCUUCUACUUCAAUAUAUUGAUUAUGACUUUGCUCUACUUGUUUAUAUUUGCAAUUACAUCGUUCUUAGUUUAUCAUAGUUAUAUGCUUGGCUUAGUUAGAUUGGAAUUAUAUACAUGUUUAGGAUCGUAUAGUGUUUAUCCAUGUGUACAGUGGGUAAAUGAUAAGUAUUGUGUAGGCGUGGUGCCUAUACCGUAUUUAUCUGUGAUUGUACCCUAUAUGCCGGAACGCGGGGUAGUUCGUGGUGGUGACAGCUCCAUUGAUUCUUAUAUAGUCCCCCUCCCGUGUAUAGGGCACGCAGAGCAACAUUAUUACAGGGGAGUGAUUGUUAUGUUUCUCAUCUUCCUUGAUAAUAUCACUAUGCAUGGGCGUAGUCCUGUCUCGCAAUGAUUGCCAAGUAUAAUUGCACUAACUAUGAUAUGCUAGACUUUAUAGUUAAAAAUAACUUAGGAAAUAUUCUUGUAGUUCAUCCUAAUUUCAUGCUAAUGACUUGCUAGAAUAUCUGUUGAGGUGCUUAUCAUUAUUAUAUGUGGCUAGUUAUGCUGAUCAGAUUAAUUAUCUUUGUCAUCAUUCAUACUUUAUCUAUAUUUUAUGUGACAUUUAUCCCUGUAUGAAAGAGAUAGAUAAAUGCUCUCUAUUACAUGUGCAAUGAUAGAUACUCAAUUCCAUAUUUUAUUCCAUAAUCAACAUUGAUGAUUAGCAAUCCCUUCCUAGUGGUAAAAUAUAAAUAACGAUACCUGGAAUACUUUCCGGUUAAAAUGAUACAUCGGUAUUAAUCUGUGCGCUUGCAGAUCUCAUUUAUUAUUCAUUCAGAAGAGCAAUUGCAUAUUUCAAUAUCGCGUCUCUCAUGUCAUGCUGGGGAUGACAACUUGGCUUAAGUGGCAUGAGGGAUAGGUUCGGCAUUUUUGGCGCCGUUAUCAGAAUUAGAAAACUAAGUCUACUUUUGGUACAUCGGCACAUGUAUGCCUCUUCAGCAACAAUUUUUAUAUCCUCCUCCAUCGGCAUCAGCGACCAUAAGUCUCAUCGGCAACAACCCGUGGUUGUCGUCUUCAACCCUAGGCCAGCAGGAUCCUUCCACCUAUCAUCAUUCCAUCAUCGGCAUCAUCCGAAUCGGCUAUCGGCACCCUUCUGUCGAUCUCGCACAGCAACUUCCCCACUACCGAUCAGUUCUCCUUAACCAUCUCGCCUCAUACCUAAAAACGGUGUCAACAGCUCUAUAGCGUUUGCUACUCCUCCCCUCUAGACACCGAGGAGUUCCCUACCCCAACUGGUGAUGAUGGUUGAUGCGGAGCUCCCCCUUGGCAUUGAGCCAUGGAGGUGCCCUAGUGGCUAGGUGGCCCUCAUUACCGGUCCUCCCCGCGUGCUGUGGUCCCACGCUCACCUCCAUCCGCAAGGUCAGCGCCCCUCUCCUCCCAUCCUAUCUGCUUUGUGAGCAUCUACCACACCAUCGAUUUAUUGGUGAGACUGCAUAUUGGUGGUGUGGAGGUCGCAAAUCGGUGACUUAGAUCCAUAGAGGAGACAGUGGUGGAACUGCUAAGCACCGGACAAGGCCACCCCUACAACCGUGGAGGAUUCAGACAAGGGGUUAGCAUGAUGACACGCGAGGAGGGAGAGAAGUGUGGUCUGCCUCACAUUGCGAAACAAGAAAAAGCUAGUGAGCAUAGCACACAAGUAAAACAACCGGCAUAUAAGUUUCAGCGACAUGUGGGCUACUCUGCUGUGCUUGUUCCUUGAGAUUUGCUUCUACGUUAGAGACAUACAACAUGCCUAUCUAGCCUCAGGCAGGUGCAGCUAUAGCAUGCUCGAGCAUGAGCAUGACUAGGUGUACCACACGAUUCCUAGAUCUGAGACACUCCCCAAGAAAAUAAAUGGAGAAAAAGGCUUGUGUGGCUGUCAGGUGCAUGAAUGAAACCAGACGGAAAUAAGACCUUUUGGGGGGGGCUCGAAAGGAUACCCAUGAUCUACUCCUUCCAUACCCAAAUUUGUUAACGUUUAGAACAUGAUUAUACUUACCAAGAAGUGAUUAAUGAGGGGUUAGUUUUCUAUCUCUGCUCCUGAUAAAUGAGGUUGCAGGUGCAUUUCUUUUGGGAAUGACCAUAGACUUAAAUGGCUAGCACAGCAAGUUUCGCAUCCUCCACCGUACGCCUGCAGUGAUUGGCUACUCGUAUAUACGCUGUUCAAGAAUAUAUCGGAUGACAAUCACAAGUGAAGUAUAAUAUGUAAAUGUAUAGGCAUUUCUUGUAUAAACGCUCCGAUCCCGUCAAGUGGGGGAAAAAACUGAUGGAGAAUUCACUACACAAAUAUUUAUUUAUAUUUUCUUGGUCUUUGAACACAACUCUUGCCACUAUAAGAAAUACAUGACUUUUUAAUGUUUAGUUAUGUCAAAAUAUAUGGAAUUUAUGUUACAAAUUAAGAUUUGUGACAUCAAGUUGACGAAAAUCAAAACAUGGAAAAGCCCGCGUCAUAAAAUAAUUAUAUGACAUUUGUUUGGUUCAUGUCACAAGCAUAUGACAUUGGUUUAUUGUCACAAAAUCGUAGGCCUUGCCACGUGGCAGCUGACAUGACAGAGAGAAAAAAUAUCACAAAAUGAGUUUUGGCCUACUAAAGACCACAUAACUCAUGGGCCUGAAAUCUAUUUAGAGUGAUGUUAGCUAGUCUAUUAUUUUCAAUUACAGCUCAUAUCGAUUUCGAGCCCACAACAAUUCAGCCUACAUAAUAUUUUUUUUACUCUUAUAAUACAUCCGGUAUUUUAUCCCACAUAUUCCAGCCCAUUUUUUUUCCCAAGCCCAUAAAAUUCAGCCUAUUUUUUCCGGCACACACAAUUCAGCCCAUAUAUAAUAUUUCAUCACAUAUAAUUGCAUCCAUAUAAUUUUUCAACAUAUCAAACAUCAAAUCCAAAUGAAUUAAUAUCUCCAUAAUAAAUACAAUAUCAUUACAUCAAUCCACCAAUUCAUUACAUAUGUAGGGUCUCAAGUCUCAAAUUUUCCAGCACAUGUGUAGUAGCAGCACAAUAGGUCAAUAGCCAAAAGCACAAGAGUAGUAGUGCAGCAGCCAAAAGUUAUGUGUCUCCAGGCCACAAAUUCAGUGUAACCAAAAUAUCAUCAUUGGAAGACAUGAACUGGAGGGUUUUACCCUUAGAUGCGUAAGUGCAUAAUGUCAUUCUAGUGAUAAGCAAGUAGCCAACUGCUUCAGUCCAGCUGCUUCAGUUUGGCCGUCAUGAAAGCCUUCUCAUCCUUUCCUUUUUGAAGUUUAGACCCUACAAGUAUACAGUAAAGGAUAAGCUGUAAUUAUUCAAAAAUCUCUCACAAAAUAUAUAGACUCAAAAUCUAGUGAUUUCACAGACAUGAAAAAGAUAUAUUUUACCACACAGCAAGACAUAAUUCAGAGUUAUUAGUAUUACUGGAUGUCACAUAAAUAUCUAUGCAUAAAUAUUAUAAUAAUACAAUGUUCAAAACCAAUGUUAAGUUAGUACAUGCCAUUAGUUUCAUAUAUAACAUGUGGCCAUCAUAUCCACAAAUUUGUUCAUCCAAUUACAUGGUUAUGCACAUUAUCACCCACCCAACCAUAAUUAACCAUGUCAUACAUAAUUAUAAUGUUAGUAGUCCUUUAUUUGAUAUUUUUCUUAAAAAUAAUGUCCCCAUUCGAUGGAUGGUAGGUUCCCCUCAAGUUUGAAUUAGCCAAUAGAUACCUGCAUCAGAGUCACUUGUAAUUAACUAUGUGCACUAUAUUACUAAAUAAGGAAGCAAUAAGGAGUUAAAAUAAUACUGAUUCUGGAACAAGAUAUAACAGUUCUAGAUUAAUUAGAUAGAUCAGCUCAGGACUACAUACUAAAAGCAUGUAGAUCUUUUACAUACACCUAUAACAAUGUUCUCAACUUACUAAUUUUGUGAUCUAGUUGUAAUGUCAUAGUGUCGUGCUCUAAUGCCUCACCUCUCGGGCCUUGUUUAGUUUCCAAAAUUUUUUGUUUUUUUUCUACUGUAGCAUUUCGUUUUUAUUUGACAAACAUUGUCCAAUCAUGGAGUAACUAGGCUCAAAAGAUUCAUCUCACAAAUUACAGAUAAACUGUGUAGUUAGUUUUUAUUUUUGUCUAUAUUUAAUGCUCCAUGCAUGCGACCAAAGAUUCGAUGUGACAGAGAAUCUUAAAAAAUUUUGCGAACUAAACAAGGCCUAAAGGAAAAGUAGCAAGCCCUCUAAUAAAGGAAAAGCAGCAAGCCAGAAACUACAACAUACGAACAGCUCCAUGGAACCACCGGCCCGAGCACUGCUGCUCGCUAUCCAGAAAGGCAGAUCUAGUCCGGCCGAAGCGAGAUCCAAGCUUAUGGACUGCUACCAGGCAUGUAGAGACCAAAUAAUAGGUUAAACAAUGCGAAAUCGUUAUCCCUAACCCUAAAAUUAAGAAAUGGGCUCACCUAAGACGACGCCGAUGGGUUUGUCCGAGAGCUCACCGCCAACGCACUAGCAAGCGCCGCGUGGCCGUGAGCCUCCUCGCGUGCACGCGCGGCCAGCAAAGGGCGCUAUGGUAGUGCUGCGUGCAGCUUUGACUGCGCACCUCUCCUACCAUCGUUUGCUUGGGCCAUCAUCGCGCUGAUCUCUGAGCUGUGCGGCGGGCGGUGGCUAGCGUGAGCGUGAAAGGCCGAGGGGAAGAAAAGAAAAGUGAAGCUAGGGGUUUGAGGAGCCAGCUUCUUGCUGGUUUUGAUCCUCUAAAAUUAAAGGCCAGCCGUCCGAUGCAUCUGGAUGGCUGAGAAAGCUCAGGGCCUUCCUAGGCUGGCCGUGGAGAAGUCGGCUUGAUAGCCUUCACCGGCCCAUACCCAGGUUGAGCGUUUCCUGGCAAGCAUAGUCGCAUGCUGUGCUAAGACGAGCUAAAUGCUAACCAAAAUAAGUUUCCUUUUUACGAUGGUUUUCAGUAAGCUUCUCUAUUAUUUAAUUAAUGUACUCGUUAGCACUAAGACUAAGCAAAUAAAUAUUAGUUGAUUCCACUUCGAGCAUUAAGAAAUAUUCUCUAGUUAGAUUGGAACCAAUGGAAAAAUCUUAUUAUGAGAACGAUUUUUCUUGUUUUUUCUUUUCUUUUGCUAGUAGAAAUAUAUUAAAUUCUAAGAUAUAAAAAAUUAUUUCAAUGAAAAUACAGUCAACAACAAAGUAGUAGAACUCGUCAACAUCUACAACUUUGAUUUUGGUCUUUUUUGCAUAUGAGUUUGUUUGAACAAUUCAAAAUUUGAAUUUCAAAAUACGAGCACUAUGACAUAAUUUUUUUAUAGCAAAUGACUUCAAAUGAAUCAGGCGGUCCAUAAGAGAUUAGUGGUCGGUUUACCAAGGUGGCCCAACUAAAAAAAAACAGUUGGGCUGAAAUAAACGUCCAAUAAAAAAGAAAAAAAUCUGACGUGGCAACAGGGCAUAUCAACAUCAGAAAUAUUAUUUAAAAUAAUUUAAUAAUUAUUUUUUGACACUAAAUCUUUGUCAAAAGCUCAUGACACUAAAAAUAGACCUCAUGACGUACAAAAUAGUGUUACAACAUGAACUUGAAAUGGGUGUAUGACAUAUAUUGUGACGUACAAUUUUCAAAGGUCACUAAACCGAAAUUCCUAGAAAAUAACGACAAAAAAUAGAUGAUAUAGUGACGUAAGGACCUAUCGUCAUACUAAAUACGUCAAAAAGCCACACAUCUCUUGUAGUGUGCGCAUUUACAAGAAUCCAACACACAACUGGCCACUUAAACAAGAAAAGAUAGGCCUUGUUUAGUUUAGGGAGUGAAAUCUUUUCGGGUAUCGUAGCAUUUUCAUUUUUAUUUGGCAAUUAUUGUUCAACCAUGGACUAACUAGUUAGCCUCAAAAGAUUCGUCUCACAAAUUAUAGGCAAAUUGUGUAAUUAAUUAUUAUUUUUUUCUAUAUUUAAUGUUUCGUACAUGUGCUGUAAGAUUCGAUGUGACGGGAAAUCUUGAAACGUUUUUGGGUUUUGAAGUGAACUAAACAAGGCCAUAGUAUUGAUGUCCACUAGCUAAAGCCAGCCUCAUCCUGAAUCCUCCCCAGGAUCUCAUGCACUGCAGCUGCAAUCUCCUCCACAGAGCCGAGCUUGCAAUCAACCUCAACCUGCAAUUAAAUCCAAACUAUAGGUCAGUGAAGUCUCAGAUAAUCAGAGGCACCAAUUGAUCAUUAGUACAUAUGGAGUAAAAUAUAUGUAGUAUACGAAGUGUCUGUGUAUAAUACUAAAUAUUAACCGUUCGUCACUGACCUUGAGGCUGAAGGCGUACAUGACCAUGGUACCAGCCGUGCUGACGUUGAGAUGCAAGGUCGUGAGGCCGAGCUGCUGGAGGCCGGCCGCCAGCCUCAGCAACUGCCUUGGCCGCCGCGGGGCCUGAACCUUGACGCUGGCGUGUCCAUCCACCAUGCUUGCCUCAAUGUCGGCGGUGACGACUGACGACGACGGUGACCGAGAGCUCCCGGCGGACACCUUGAUGGUGUGGUUGCCGGCGCCGCUGUGGGAAGAAGAGGUAGCGGAGGAGUACUGUGGAAAGCUGAAGAAGGCAGCAAAGGGAUUGCACGAUUUGCUGUUGCUGCUGUGCUCCUGUAGGCUCCUAUGCACCUCAAGGGAUUGGAGCAGCUGCUCAAGCUCCCUCACGUAGUUGAUUGCUCCCCCAACAAUAGAGGCUUGAUCGCCCUAAAACAAUUUUGAAGAUCAUGAAAAAUGCCGGGCAAGAAUGCCUAUAUAUAUAUAUAUAUAUAUAUAUAUAUAUAUAUAUAUAUAUAUAUAUAUAUAUAGUAGGCCAACAAUUAAGGGGAAAAAAAGAGACAAUGUAGUAGUAUAAUAUUUUAUUAUGAAACAAAUUAAACGAACAUAUACCCUUUGCCCAUAGGACGGUGGCAUGAGGGAGCGGAGCACGGCGAGGUACUCGUUCAUCUGCCGGCGGCGGUUCCGCUCAACGGCAAUGUGAGUCAUCCGCUGGCUCUCCAUCUCCUCCUCGUUCUUGACGACCUUAUUAGCCCGUCUCCUCUUUCUCUUGGCUGUCGUCGUCAUGACCGGCGAUGACGGCGGCUCAAUGGCCGACGACAGCGCGACUUCGCGCUCCGGCGAGGCCUUGGAGGAGCCCACCACCUUCCCCGACUCCUCGGCAUUGUGCACGAGGGAAGCGAGCAGGAAGGGGUCCCAGUCGCCGGCGUACGGCACAUGGUUAUCGCCAUGGCCAGUCGCAUCUGACCAAAAAAAAGGAGCCCCGUAGGAGCAGUAGUCCCUGUGCCCGUAGCCUAAAUGGCCUUGGGGUUGGGACGGAUGCACCACGGCAUCCAGCAAUGCCAUUUCCAACGAAUAAACGCGGCCGGGAACAAACGCGGGCUAGGGCCUAGUGUGGCAGGUACUACGAGGCUAGCAGAGCUGAGAGGACAGAGAAUGAGUGUGGCUUAUCAGGAGCGAGGGAGGAAGCGCCUGGUUUAAUUUAUAAGGCCACGGGAACGAAGGUGGUAGGGAAGACACGAGAGGGCCAGCCAGGUGAGGUGAGGACGUGAGGUGCCCUGGUUUUUGUGCCUGGGGGCGUGACACCCAAUUCAAUGAUUUAAGUGGCAACUAGCUAGGAUUUUUUUUUUUCAUUUCCUUUGCCUCUGACUUCUUCUAGGUUCUUUUGCUAAUUUGUACUGUAGCGUUGUAGCAGCGAUGGAUGGUCAUUACCUUCAUGCAGUUGCUUGCACUGAUAAGAAAAAUUAAGUUAAAUAUAUGCAUGUGUCUGUUUUGUGACAGGGCUACAAAGUAUUUUAGGACAACACGAUUAAUGUCGUCCUCAAUGUUCUUCGUGUCCACGAGCUACACGACAAAUGCCUCCAACUGCUCCUUCGUGGCAUAAGUUGGCAUCGCCAUUGGACGGUGGCAAGGUAGAGGUGAUUGUCACGUCGCCAUAGUCGUGCUCCACCUGUGGCCUACAUGGAUUUUUGGGCUUGGCAGGCUAGUACCAUCGAUUCAUCCGGUACUUCAGCACCAUAUCGUCAUGCCUCUCACUUAGCUCUUUAAGAAAGAUAGCUUCCACUAGUCUAAGGCGGCGUCCAUAACAAUCCUGAUGAUCAAGCAGGCCCUCUUUGCCAUCCUAGUCCUCCACUUACCCAUCUUUGAGAAGCCACUCCUCGUGGACGUUGAAGCUUUGGGGACGAGCUUUGCCACAGUGCUCCACACUUUGAAGUUCUGCUGGAUUAGCGCUUGUCCACAAUUCUGCAACACCAGUGGAUAGCAAACUGUUUGGCUUUGAUUUCAAGGUCCUGUAACAUCUCAAUAGGCUCAACACAUUGUGUGAUGCCCUGUCUAUAUGUGAGAUGGGCAAUGCACAUGCCAUCCUGACUGGAUCAGCUAUCUAGUCUAACCCCUCGUUCUAAUUCUUUGUUGAGUUAUGUUGACAGCUUGAUACCGACCCUGCUCUCUGUGGCCUUCCACAAAACCAUCGAGGCCAGUGAGUGUAAUGCACCAUGGCAUGUGCACAAAGGCCUCACCUAUAGUCACCCUCCAUGGGUUACACGUCUUUAUUCUGGCAUUGUCCUCCCUACUAUCCAUGAGGGCAUCCACAAAUCAUUAUAGCACUUCUACGGGAACUUCUUAAUCUAGUAGGAUCGGUCACGCGUCCAUGGCAUCAUCGGCACCUAUGCCACAUGCCAGCACAAUAAAACAAAGCCGCUACACUUGGCACGUCUCCUCUAACCUCUCGACAUUCCUUCCCAAGUGUGGAUAGACAACUCCAUUGACUUCAUUGAGGGCCUGCCCAAGAUGCAUGUAAAAGCAUCAUGCUCAGUAUUGUUUAUCAUCUCUCCAUGAUACCCAUUUCAUCGCCCUCAUCCACCCCUACAUGGUGUCCUCCGUCUUUCUUGUAAUGUUGCCUUGUCCUGUUCCUUGUUGCCAAGGGAAAUGCUAAGCUCCCAAUGGAGUCAUCUUUCAGAGGAAGAAGAAGGCUUUAUAAAUAGUCAUUUGCAAGAUCAGUUCACCAAAAAUACUAGCCUAGUAAAUUCUUUCUUAGGGUUGAUUUGCUUAACAAAAACACCCAAUUCCUAUGGUUGCUUCACUUAAUGAGACCAACCCUAAAAAACAAAUUAUCAUGGUCGGUUCUCUUAAGCAAGCUACCUCUGAAAAUGAAUAUAUUUAUAGGAUCGAUGUUUUUCUAAUGGAACUGUUUCCGAAAAUACUUUUAUCAGGUGUGGUUUAGAAGCUACAUGGCUCCCCGUCCUAGUUAGAGAUGGUUUCUUUUGUGAAACAUCUCUAUAAGAAAUUGGUGCCGACUGUAAAAAAAGAUUUGUGCAGUAGUGUGCUUUUAUGGAGGCUAAUCAGGAAGAUCUUGCUUGAUGUUAUGGAGAGUAACAAUGUGGAAGAUCUCGCUUGAUGUUACAUUUGUAUACUUCGAGCAACCAUGAAAACAGACGUCUCAGCAAACAGGUGGAGGACAGCGAAAGAUGCAUGUACCUAGAAGAAAAAAAUCAUUUUCCUUUUUAGACUAAUGAAACAGCACUUUAUUUGCCUUUAAGAACCAUUUCGUUUCCCAUGGAUAACCUACUACAUUACUAUAAGACAUAAGAAGAAUUCAGGAGGCAUCAAGCUAACAGGAGGGACGAAUCCUACUGAUUAUAUAUAAAUUAAAUAAUUAAUCGUAGAAAAAAAGUUACAAGAGCCAUCGAGAGAUUUAAAAGAAUGGAAAAGGGAAACUGAAAUUGAAAAAUUAGCUGAAAGACGUUAGCCAUUAGGAGAGGAGAGAGGUUGAUAAUACUUUGCUCGACGAAUGACUAGAUCAAACAGCUCAUGCUUAAACUUUGCCGGACACACCAAUGUUGCAGGAUCUUUCUAGUUGAAAAUGAAAUGAUUUGUUGUUGUUGUCCAGAUAUAUACUCUACCACAUCGGGUUCAUGAUUUUUCCCUAAACAAGGUACUACAAAGGCAAAGGAACUGUUCCAAGAUCUGGAAAGGGCCCUAUCUGAAACUUGUAAGGCAAGUCUAUACCAAUAUUCUUUGGAAGUGUAAUGAAAGAAUAGGUGUUUAAAAGUGGCAUCUACUGCCUCAUCACAAAGCACAACAUGAUACUUCCUACAAUCCAAAAUUAUAAGUCAUUUUGACUUUUCUAAGUAUAUUGCUUUUGCCAUGUAUCUAGAUAUGAUAUAUAUCUAGGGCACAGCAAGAUCUAUACAAGUGAAAAAGCCAAACAACUUAUAAUUUGAAACCAAGCCAGUACAAUUGAAGACUCAUGUUUUUCAUUUCUAUUAGUAGAAUGGGAACAUGUAUUACAUACUUAUACGAGAAUGCAUUAAGAGGAACUAGUGGUAUAAGUUGCAUUUUGAAGGUUAUUCAAAGUCCAGGGUGGCAUAUACUCGUUUGUGAAUCACAGAAAAAGAAAAAUCCUUCUCUAUUUUACAUGUUGGUAUUCCCUAUGCUAUGCAUUACAAUUCUAAGAUAUGUUCAUAGGCAGAGACAUAAAUCCUAUUUUUUAGAAAAAAAGAAUAUAUUAAUAUCCCAGCCUCUGCAUUGACUAAUGCAUAUAGCUAUUCAUUAUUACAAACACACACAAAACGGUCCACGGAAUCUCAAAAACAAAGUUUUGAGCCAUGCAAAAUUCUAUUGCUGCUCAACAAAGUUUUGAUGCAAAUCUUUAAAAUGUUGCAUGAUGAGUUCCUGUAUGAUGAGAGUUUAAAAUUCUACCACGGCCAUAUAUACAUGCUUAUUAGACUAUGAACCAUACAUUUAAUUUUUACUACUUAUGAGCAUUGAGUGUGGUCAAGCUAUGUAGACCCUUGGGAGCUUGAUGUGGUUAAAAUCAAGAUUCACUUGCACAUUCACUCAUACAUGCUACUUCUACUCCGGAAGUACGCAUCCACAUACAUCCACUCAAUUCCAUCUCCAGAUCCACCUAAAAUUAUUCUACUCCUAUCCAGGAGAGAAUAGCCAAAAACAUUAUCCUAUCCCUGCUAUUCCCCGUGAAAUAAAUGCUCGAGAUAUUUUGGUUACUACCACUUGCUAUAUUAUUCCUGGAGGGUGAGAGCUCUGAAAAAAAGUGAAUACGAGGAAAUAAAAAGGGGCAAGUGCCUGGAACCUCGAAGAAAAGAAAAAGUGAGACGAGAGGUAAAAAUGGACAAGUGUCCGACAGUAGAAUUAGGGGUAUAAGAUACCCACCUGAGAGAAAAGAAAAAGAAAAUAUAAGGCAUCUCAUUCUCCUCAAAAAGCUUCAAAGUGCAAGAAAGGUAUGUAUCUCUUCAAAAGAGCAAAAGUAGAAUUAGAUUUUCACCAUUAUCACCAUCAUCACCAUACACCAUUCAUUCACCACACAUGCACAUCUUGAUUUGACUUAUUGACUUGUUCUUCUCGAUCCAUGGUUUGACUAUGCAAUAAAUGUCUUGUAAGUAUGUAUUAGCUGCCUCCCACCUAUGAGCUCUAGAUAUCAAAACCUUAUUAGAGUAGGGUGAGAGAGAAGGCAAUGUCACUAUGCCUCAUACCACAAAUACCACAUACUUUGAGAGAAGGCAUGUACCAUCACUGCCUUGGUAAGGAUCCAGAAAUACCACAAAAGAGAGAUUUGAGAGAGUCAUACAAGGAAUCUCUGAGUUUUAUUUUGAAAAUCUACAAAAACUCCAGAACUAUAGUUGAUCAAAGAACAGGAGACAUGACGCUUGACUUGACCAUUCUAUCUUUUAACUGCUCAAGACAUAAGUGACGGUUGCAAGCCCCAUGGUGAUAGGUAAAAUGAGUAAGUUUUAAGUCUUAAUAAUUUACUAUAACUCAAAGAUAAGACCUUGUUUGAAAGCAUGUGUACCGUCAACUUUCUAAGGCAUUGCAGCAAUUUCUGAUCCAUCACUGAGUCUAUCCUUGCUAGGGGACGAGCAAGAGGUAAGCUUGGGGGAGUUUGUUGACGGUCCUUAAGUAUCAAAUUUAACCAUCAAAUAAAUAAAGAAAAGGAUCCAAAUGCAACCAACACCCAGACUUAGGAUUUAUCUGACAGAAUUCCAUGAGUUUUGGUGUUUGUCUAUUUCUGCAGGGGGUUAUCAGGAAAUAUGGAGGAAAGGCCCACAUGUCGGGUUUAUAUAGAGAUAUUAACGUGCCGCACAAUUUUCUAUCAUCUAGAAGACUCCAGAAGCCACGGGAACGAAUGGGAGGCCAAUUGGGCCCGGGGGCAGGGCGCCCACCCUCCCCCCUUGGCCGCCCGCUCGCCUCUAGUGGCCAAUCACGUUCAACCUCGCGGAUUAUGCUCCACCGACCUAAAUGAACAAGGAAAACCAUGCGAUUAAGGUCGGUUUGAUCUGACGACCCAUAUUUAUUUGGAGGGACUAUAUAAGCAGGACACCUGGCCCCUAGAUGAGGCAACCUCUUGAUCCCUAUUCAUUAUUCAUAGAUAGAGCAAAAGCUACGGUUUGGAGAUGAGAGCUCUCCUCUCUUCUGUAAACUAGAGUAGAUCUAGAUAGUAGCGAGAUGGAGAGCGAGGGAGGAUUGGAGGAGAGGCCGGCCUGUCGGUUCUUUCUCUUGUUGUACUUUGCCAUGAUCAAGCUCUAAUCAAGCUUGCUCAUGGGAUGACUCUGGUAAUCUACUUCUAUUUCAUUAUGCAAUUACUAUUCAUGUAUGUUCUGGUUCACAACUCUUUUGAGUACUUUUAAUCUAUAGGACCCUAUAGGUUAGAGUUGUAGUAUAGGUGUAAGCGUGGUGCUUAGACCUAGAUUACUUGUGGAUAUCCCCUGUCUAGCUAGAUCGUGUGGUAGGCCGCGUAGGUGACAGCUAUGUUGGUCCACUGUAGUCCACCUCCCGUUAGCAGGACUGGUAGGGUUUAUCGGCCUAUGGAUAAGUAUCCUUUGUGGUGUAUUCUUAUCACGUGGUUCGUCCCAGACAUAGACAUACCCCUUUGAAGUAGAGAAACUAUAGUUAUCCUCUCUAUUCUCCUACCAUCGCCCAUAUACUAGAUUGCUCUACUCUCUAUUCCCAUAUUAUCACCCAUUGUUAUCUUACCUUUAAUAUUGUUCUUAUUCAAUUCUACCAUCUUUCCUAUUACACCUACCUAUCUAUCUAGGUUAAGUUAGAGCAUAGAUCAGUUCUCCCGUUUCCUUGUGGAUACGAUAAAACCUUUAACCGGGUAAAAGCUACAACGAUAUCCAUGCGCUUGCGGAUUUAUCUUUGUGCGUAUAAAUACCAUAGUACACUCUAGUGCCAUGCUGGAGAUGACAACCUAGUAUUCAAGUGGUGUUAGCAAGUGUCAACACUCGUCAGGUUUCUAAGGGACAACGUAAGCGUUUUCGCAUGGAAACCCGCAGACAUGCCCGAUGUCCCAUGAAACCUGAUCGAGCACUCCUUAAACGUCUCAAAGACCGCAAGACCUAUCAAGCAGAAACUACGACGGUUCGCUCAUGACAAAAAGGAGGCUAUUAAGACAGAGAUUACACAGCUUUUAGCAGCUGGAUUUAUUAAAGAAGUGUAUCACCCCGAUUGGCUCGCCAAUCCAGUUCUUGUAAGAAAAAAGAAUAAUGAAUGGAGAAUGUGUGUUGAUUACACUGAUCUCAAUAAACACUGUCCUAAAGAUCCUUUUGGUCUCCCCCGUAUCGACGAGGUGGUCGAUUCAACGGCUGGAUGCGAACUACUCUCUUUCCUUGACUGCUACUCUGGUUACCACUAGAUCUCGCUAAAAGAAGACGACCAGAUCAAAACUUCCUUCAUCACUCCCUUUGGCGCGUACUGCUACACCACUAUGUCCUUUGGACUCAAAAAUGCCAGAGCCACCUAUCAACACGCUAUUCAGCAAUGCCUCCACGACGAGAUACGUAAUGACCUCGUCGAGGCUUACAUCGACGACGUUGUCGUCAAAACCAGGGACGCGAGCACCCGGAUCGACAACUUGGACCGCACUUUUAAAGCGCUAAAUAAAUACAAGUGGAAGCUCAACCCCAAAAAGUGCAUCUUCAGGGUCCCCUCUGGUCUACUGCUCCUCAAAAGUUAAGGUGAUGCUCGAUAUGCGACCACCCAAGAAUGUCAAAGUUUUGCACCCAACAAAGUUUUGAGCCAUACAAAAUUUUCAAAAGGAAAGACUAAAUAGCAAUUCUAUUGCUAAAUCUCCAGUUGUGUCUUGCAAACACCUCUAUCGUGGUUGUCUCAAUCAUGACGCAAACUGCCUUCACUAAUUGGCGAUCCUCCUCCUUCUGAAGUAAGGACUAGAACCUAGUCCAGUACGUCCCCUUAAAGAUAAUAUAUAAAUAAGAUGGUGCUAAUGCCUUGUCAAACACAGAAACACUAUAUCAUUCCGUGUUUUGGACCCAUAAGAAUUUGAGAUUUUAUUUUCCUAUUUAACCUCUCCGACCAGCCUGUAACAUAAUUUUGAACACUUAUUGGAGGUUUUAGGUUAAACGAAACAUGAAUAACUCUCCAUAUAAACUUAGCAAAAUGACAGUCAAAGAAUAGAUAUUGUAUGGUCUCAUCGGAGACAUAGAAACAACACUUCCUAUCUCCUAGGCACUGUCGUCUAGCUAAAUUAUCCUUCAUUAAAAUCACGCCUUUGUACAAAUACCACAUGAAGACUUUAAUUUUGAGGGGUAGUUUAAGUUUCCAAAUUAAAAUGUUACAAGGUAAAGCUUGUACAUGUAACAAAGUUCUGUAUAUGGAGUUGACUGAAAACAAUCCGUUCUGGUGUAGCCCGUACACAAAACGAUCUCUUUGGUUUCUUAAAUUUAUAUCUGCGACCAUGGUCACGAUACUAUGCCAUGCCUAUAAAUUAGCCCAUCAAAGAUGUCCUAAAAGCUAUAUUUAACGAUAUAUAUCGUAGACAACACCGACCUAACAGAUGCACUUUUCUUUCUCACAAUGUUAUAUAGUGUCGAAAAGAGCGUUUUCAAAGGUGUGGCGUUAUCCACCUAUCCUCCCAAAAACACACCUGGGAUCCGUCACCUAGAUCAAACCUACCUAUUGAAAGGAACUCAUCCUUGACCUUCAUAAGGUCAGCCCAAAACUGAGAGUCCCUGAGAUUGUAUUGAACCUGAGUCAAAAUUUUGUCCCUUAAAUAUUUAUUUUUAAGCAAUUGUUGUCAAACCCCAUCACCAUUUAACAAUUUGAAAAGCCACUUAAUUAGAAGGCACAUAUUAUGCACACCUAAAUUUAACUCAAUCCUCCUUGGUCUUUCGGUGUACAUACUACUUCCUAUUUUGUCAAUCUAUAUUUUUUCUCGUGCUCAUCACUUUGCCAAAAAAACCAAGAUCUAAAAAAUCUAGCUUUUUCAACACCCCCUCUAAGUAUCUCAAAGAAAGACAUCAUGAACAUAGAAAGGCUGCUUAGGACUGAGUUAAUGAGAACAAGCCUUCCUCCCACUGAAAGCAUUUUACUCCUCCAACCACUCAGCCAUUUUUGAAAUCUUUCUUCCACAUGUUUCCACUCCUUAUUCAUUAGUUUUCGAUGAUGCAUAGGAAUUCCUAGAUAUCGAAAAGGGAAAGAACCUACAUUACACCCAAAAAAAUUUGAGUGUACUCUAAUUGAUUAGAACUAGAGGCUCCAUAACAAAAGAAUUCGCUCUUAUAGAAAUUAAUCUUGAGUCCUAAUAAUUGCUCAAAAACACAAAGCAAGAGCUUCAUAUUUCAUUGGUUGCGAUUAAUAUCUUGGAGGACCAUUAAAAGUAAAACAGAGUCCACGAUUCAAGGAUAGUAUUGCACAUGAGAUAAUAUAACCAUGGAGAUCAACAUCUACUCCUCCAUGACUAAGCAACAAGAGAUUGGAGACAGGAAUUAUACAUCACAGCCCAAGUAUUCUCUCUGUCUGACAGCAUGCCAAUCGCCGGCCACACCCGUUCACUGUGCCAACGUGUCUGUACCUGUAAGGCUGUAAGCUGAGAAAGAGGAGCAAAUCCCUUCCUGCUCUGGUACACACCUACGCACGGAUUGGGAAAAAAAAAACCAACACCAAGUGAUUAAUAUGUGCAAGAAAACAAAUAGGGGCACAACAUUGCAGAAGUGCAGAUGAUCAUUCGCUCUUAACGAAGUGGGAGAUCUGAAACCAGCGACGGGAAUAAGAGUGAAACUAGGGGCAGAACCCCGGUUUGGAUUGCUGACGAUUUUGUUGGAUCUCCAGGUGCUGGAGACGGACUAAACAAUCCCAACAUGAUUUUUUUGCGGCUCUGACACGCCUGGAAUCUAGCUAGUGUGGCCUGAUUGUACCAUUCUUUUCUGGUUACAUCACACUCUGAUGCAGCCCCAAGCCCAAGUGUACUAUUAGUGCUUUUCUAAAAAGUUAUGGCUAAAAUUAUUGUUGGCUGAUUUAUUGUGAGAGAAAAACAUUGUUGGCUGGAAGAGAAAGUACGGCUAAUAAGACAAGCGAACGCGAGCACAUUUAUAAAUAUAGCAAUUAAUGUCUAAUUAUGGACUAAUUAGGUUUAAAAACUCAUCUCGCAAAUUAUUCUCUAGUUGUGUUUUUAGUUUCAUAAAUAAUCUACAUUUAAUACUUCAUGCAUAUGUCUAAAUACUUGAUAUGAUAGAGACUGAGGUUUAUAAGAGAGAACCAAACAAAGCUUUAGUCCCUCAUUCCAUUAAAAAUGUUGUUUUUGACUUUCAGACUUCUUGUUUGACUAUUCGUCUUAUUUUUAAAAUUUUUAUAUAAAUAUUAUUUAUUUUGUUAUGACUUAUUUUGUUAAUAAAAAUAUUUUAACAAUAAUUUAUUUAUUUUACUAUGUGCAUAAAAAUGGAAUAAGACGAAAGAUCAAACAAGAAUUUUGAAAGUAAAAAACGACACAGACAGUGAGACUGAGGGAGUAGACUAGGUAUAACUUGGUGUGGGCUGUGGACUUUGUUUUUGUCCAUGAUAAAAUUGAAGUUCCAAUACCAAAGAUGAAAGUUUUCUCUUUUUUUAACCCUUCAUUGAGAAUCUGUUGAGCGACUCAAGUAUGUAUAAUGCUACUAUAGUAGAGUCGAACACAAAAUUAUCGAACUGCAUGAAGUAUGCUCUUGGCAAUAUAGCAACCGAACUUGUAUAGCUUUUAAAGAGGAGAAAAGCAUAAGCUAACCGUUUUCCUUAUGUUUUUAUAUGUUACAAAUAUACUUUUUUUUGCUGUGAUUAUGUUGCUUGAUUUGCCACCCUACCUAUGUUCAACAAAUUUGAUAGUAUAUCUUCUAUAGAUGCGUAGUUGCAGAAGCAGUGACAUGCAUGAGAUAUAUAUGACAAGCAAACAUUGUUGCAGUAGGUAGAACCAAAAAUUUCAACUAGUAAUAUGAGUUUCUUUUAGUGUUUUAGCAUUCAAAAUUUAGUAUAAACUUUUCAUAGUAAAUAUCUUCUCGUAAGGUGUCGGCGUCUAGACUCAUGGUCAAGACACUAACAAGUAUAAGUCUGCGUGACUACCCAAACUUGGAUGGUGAUGCAAGUGAGACACAGAGGAUUUAUACUGGUUCGGGCCAAGAAUGCCCUACGUCCAGUGCGAUUGGGGGUUCUGUAUAACCUUGCACCCAAAGGUGCUUGUAGUAGGGGGUACAAGCAGGUUGCGAGAGAGGGCUAAGUCCCAGGUCUCGACUUGGGGGUGGACAGAGUGCAGAUUGCUGCUCUGUGAAAGAGUGUUGUGUGCGCGUGUGUGAACCUGAUCCUAGUUGUGAGCUCUGGCUCCCCUUUUAUAGCCUCAAGGGGAGACAGGGAUUUACAUGGGUAGAUUUCCCUUAGUGGAAGAGUUACAGCCCCGACCCUGUUGAAGCCUGUCCGUCUUGUCCUUGAGGGAUGGUCGCUCCUGUGGAGGUUUACCCAGCCCUGUUGGAGUCAUGGGGGUCGGAUCGCCGGUGCUGCUGCAUAUCGCGUCAAUAGUGGGAAGAGGUGUCAAAUAGUGGUGCUGAUUAACCUCCCCCAUUCCCUUUCUACUGUGAGGCGGUACGCCACAGUAAAAGAGGUAAGGUCGCACAGUGAAAGAGGUGAGGCUGCAGUGCUCGGGGUGGUUGGAACAGUCGUCACCUUGCCCUGCCGCAGUAUGGGAGUUAUCGCGUCUGUCAUGUCGUGGGUACGGGCGCCGUGCGGUGGAAGUCUUGCUGCCCAGGUGGAGUCAGGUCCGGCGCCCGAGCCUGGACGGGGUCGGGCGAGACUGAGCUUGCGUCCGAGACCCUGAGGGGUCGGGCGAGUCGGAGCUUGCGUCCGAGACCCUGAGGGGUCGGGAGAGUCGGAGCUUGCGUCCGAGGCCCUGAGGGGUCGGGCGAGUCGGAACUCGCGUCCGAGGCCCUGAGGGGUCGGGCGAGUCAGAACUCGCGUCCGAGGCCCUGAGGGGUCGGGCGAGUCGGAACUCGCGUCCGAGGCCCCGAGGCGAGUUGAAGGAGCUGGGGCCCGUACCCCGGUGAUUGUGGUUAGUAUGUUUUUUGCAUUUUUUAUUGCUCUGGUUUGGGUAUCCCUUAUUAUGGUACCCAACAGUAGCCCCCGAGCCUCUGAAGUGGUGGGUUUGCCUCUUUAGAGGUUCUUUCCGGGGACUGCUUUGUUAAUUGAGAGCUUUUUCUAUUCUCUGGAGGGUGCGCGCGAGCGCACCCGCCGGGUGUAGCCCCCGAGCCUUUUGGAGGAAUGGUGUUAUUCCUUCAAAGGCUUUUACCCCUUUACAGCUAUAGUGUUUUAAGGGAUAGGUUGCGUGUUCUUUACACGUAGUGCCUGUUCCCAUGGUGCGAGGAAGCCCCCGAGCCCUUUCCCCGCAAGGGUCGAUCAGGUUCUUUCUCGUCUUGUAAUUACGUCCCUCAUUCUUCCUUUCGCUCGGAGGAGGGGUGGGUCGUGCCGUACUACCCUCGAUGGGCGAGUGACGAUGCUUCCCGGGAGCUGCAGGCGGGUAGAUCCAAGUGGAUGUCCGAGUCCCAUUCGAUAGGGGUCGGCUAGUGGCCUUAUGGGCUCAUCUCAAAAAGUACCCGAGGGCAGUCACGGUGGAUGUCGGAACCGUUCGUUAGGUUCCGAGGGCUCGAUGCCUCCCUCGAUGGGAUCCCACUCGCGUGACACCCGCGUGGGUCUCGGAUAUGACUUGUAAAGAUGCGCCGACUCCCUGUGGGGCUCGGACCUUGGCCUCUAUUGUGCUCAUCUUCAGUCAUCCCUCGCUCAGUCAUCCUGAGGCGACUGUUCGAACCUGUGUCGCAGGUCAGUCUCGCAACCUCUGGAACGUAGGUGGCCAUGGCCUGGGGAUUUUGGGCCUCGAAAGGCUUUCUUCAGACUCGUUCUGUAGUGUCGGGGUCGGGCGAUACGGAAUCUGCGCCCGACGGGAAACCGCCUUGCAACUUUAGCUUGGGGUUUUGAUGAGGUCGGGCGAGACGGAAUCUCGCGCCCGACGGAGACCUUCCUGCGACGCUUGGUCAGCGGGGGGUCGGGCGCCGCGUCCUCUGGAAGGAACCGUCCUGACAUAACUUUUCAGGGCGCUUCUUUUGAGGCGCGGCGCGUGGGGACUCGAAACGGCCGUGCCGUCUCGCCCCGGCCGGAUGGGACGUUUCGCCUGUGAAAUUAAUGCGCGUGUGCGGCGGGCGCGGGAAUCGGAGGGAGUUGGCGCUUCGAAUUUUUCACCUGGUGGGGAGUGGGCGACGGUUUCUCUCUCUCCUGCUUGGCCUUCCUCGCAGGGGCGUGGUCGUGGCUCGCCCCUUCUAUAAAAGCGGACGAUGGGGGCUUGGUCUCUUUCCUCUCGCUCCUGCGCCACAAAGCCCUUGCCUCCAGUCCUUUCCUCCGCCGCCAUCUCCCCCACUUCUGCUGCGCAGACACUCCUCUUCCUCCCAAAGCCAUGGUCGGCGUUGAGGCGUGGCCGCCCUGCAACGUGACCAAGUCCGCGAUGGAGGCGCGCGUGAGGGCCGGGAUUCUCCGUCCUCUCAAGGAUGUUGAGUUCCCGGAGUGGAUCGUUCCCUCGGCGAACGACAGGGAGCCAAACCCGCCACCGGGCUAUGUGGUUUGCUUCCUGUCGUUCCUAGACCGGGGGUUCGGGAUUCCGGCCGGCCGCUUGAUCAGGGCGAUCCUCCACUACUACGAGGUGGAGCUACACAACCUGAAUCCCAACUCGGUGAUGCAGGCCGCCGUCUUCGCCACGGUUUGCGAGGGAUUCCUGGGGGUUCUAGUCAAUUGGAAUCUCUGGCUUCACCUCUUCAAGGCGAAGAUGGUGGCCCGCUACAUGGGGAAGGAGAAGUUCCCCCUGCGAGCCGGCGGCUGGACGCUGCAGCUUCGUCAGCAACGGGCCGGGCUGUAUAUCUGGAGCUUGAUGCCUUCGUCAAACUGGGGGUGGCAGAGCGGGUGGUUCUACCUCCGGAACGACGGCGGUCUGCUGCCGAAGUACACCGGGAAGAUGGUGACGGAGGUUCCCAUGAAGUGGGCGUGGGGUGCUCCGGCCGAGGAGCAGAAGAGGCUCGCCCCGCUUCUCGCGGGGCUUCAGAAGUUGCGAGAUGUCGAAGUCACCGCGGCCACGGUGGCAAUCGCCUUCCACAAGAGGAGUUUGCUUCCGCUGGCGCAGCGCCAGGUGCCCAUGUUCGAGAUGACCCGGGGUGUCCCCUGGGCAGGGACGAGGAUGUUAGCCGAGCCGAUAUCGGCUUCGGACAUCACCGCCCGGGUGGAGAGGACGACUCACUCGGAUAUGAAGAAUUCCCGGGUGGUUCCGAUGCGCCCUGAGAAGGGUUAUAUUUCUCUGGUAAGUGUGGAUAUUCGCGUUUUCUUCUCUUUUUCUUUCUGCGUUUUUCUUGAUCCCUGAUUGUUUGCAGAGGAUGGGAGUCGUCAAGGAUUCCCCACCCCCUGUCCCGGAGGACAAGGAGAUCCGGGCCAAGAAUCAGGCUCGGAACGAGGAGCAAAAGAAGGCCAAGGAGGACAAGAAGGCCAAGCCAGCGCGGAAAGCACAGCGGUGGGAGAUCUCCGCCAAGAAUCAUCGUGAAGCCGAGAAGGCGGGGGUCGCCCCGCCCCCCUCUCCCGAGACUUCGGUCUCGGAGAUAGAGGGCGGGGGCGGCGACGUCGACUGGCUUGACGAGCUGAUGGAGGAGGACGACGCAGUCCCUCCUGCCGGGGGGAUCGAGGCCCCGGAGGGGUCAAAGGCCUGAGGUGGGUCGGAGGCCCCCGAGGGGACCCAGGCACCGGGGGGCGGACAGUCCGUCCCCCACAUCAUUGUGGAUGACGAGGACAGCGCCCCUCGUGAGGAUUCAGCCCCCGUGGGCCCUCAAGAGGGGGAGAAGGCGUCGGGGACCGAGCCCGAGGAGCCACCUCAGCCGGUAGUGCCGGAGAGUCUGGCCGAGCCCUCCCCAUCGUCCUGAGUGGGUACCGGUGCCCUGCUGGGGGCGUCGCAGGCCGAGACCACCAUGGUGCCCCCUGCGCCGUCGGCAGGCGAGGCGUGGGUCCGACCGACGGCCCCUAGCGCCGCGGGAGACCCCCAAGGAGCUCCGAGCUCCCAUAAGAAGUCUGCUCCCCGAGCGAGGUACAUAUAGGAUUUCUGAUCCUUCUGCUGAUUUUUUGUUUUUCUCUUUCUUCUAACCUAGUGUUAUUCCCCCAGCCGUAAGCAAAAGGCGCCUUCGGUGGCACUGGCCCCCCUGAAGGCUGUGAAGAGGGGGGCUCAGUCGACUCCCGGGUCGGCUAGGCCCGUGUCGCCGCCGCCUCCGAGCUACGAGGAGGGAGGGCGCCACCAGGGGCAAGACACGGGGGCGCCGAAGCCCCAAGGACCGGAGGAGAUGACCGUUGCCUCCGGGGCUGUGCCUCCCCCGGAGGAUGCCGAUCUGGGAGGUGCGGUCCGACCCGCGCACACUGAGGAAGGCCGAGCUAUCGUGGCGUCCAGCGCGGCGCCCGAGGCCCCCGUGGCGGGAAGGGAGGAAGGUGCCGGAUGGGGCAAGAGCCCCGUAAUCUGGCCCAACCUCGGCGAUGCCGAGGGGGGAGCCAGAUUCGUUCUGGAUGACCCGUCAGAGAAUUACCUCUAGCAGGGUCUGGAUGCGUGUGGGCGUGUUGGUGUCGAGGCCCUCAACCGAGCUUCUCAGCUCGUGGCCCGUGAUAUGUACAAUCUGGCUCAAGUAAGAUUUUUACCCGUGUUGUGAAGUAGUUCUAUCCUUGCCUUGCGAUACUAACUCCCUGUGUGACUUCCGAUCUUGUAGGCGCUCAAGGCCACCUCCCUGGAGAAGUCAGUAUUUCUCCGUCGGGAAAGGGAUGCUUGGGCGUCCUUUGAGAACGAGAGGGCCACCAGGGAGGCGGCUGAGGGAGAGUUCACGAAGGAGUGCGAGAUUUCUGCCGAGCUUCGACAGAAGUGCUCGGCACUGGCCACCAAGACUCGGGAGGCUCGGGACAAGGUCGCCCCCCUGGAGGAGAGAAUUUGGGUCCUUGCCCAGGAAUCCGAGGUGCAGAAGGCGGCGGCUGAGGGGUACAAGGGUGAGGUUGCUCGGCUUGAAGCUUUGCUCGCCGAAAAAGACCUUGCCUUGAACCAAGCUUAGACCGACCUAGCCGGGGCUCUGAGCCAGGUGGCCCGCUGGCAUCAGAGCUCGGUGGAGCACGAGAAGCGUGCCGAGGGUAAGACUUGCGCCCUUUACCUUGGACUCCUUUAUACUUUUGAGUUAGCCUUUCCUGACUUUUUGCUUCUUACUCUGUUUUUCAAUCAGAAUUGGAGAGGAAGGUGGUCGAGAUGACCUCUACUGCCGAGGCCCUACAAAAGUCCCUUGACGCCGAGGCUUCAGACCGCUCGGCUCUUGAAGCCGUGGUCACCUCGGCGUGUGAGGGGCUCGGGGUAUCGGCGUCGGGGUCGUCGCUGCGGAGUCGGGUCGAAGCCCUUUAUUCCUGGGCCGGGGAGAGGAUGAGGGAGGCGCUCCACACCGGGGUGAAGAAAGCCCUGGCGGUGGUGAGCUCUCACUAUGCCGGCAUUGACUUGCCGGCAGUCUGUGAGGGCUACGUUCUCCUGGAUGACGAGACUGAGGCCCAGGAGGAGGUGCAGAGGCUUGAGGACGCCGCGACUGUCCCUGGAGACGCCUUGGCCGCCUUCUUCGAUGAUGAGGUGGAGCUUCCUCCCCUCGGGGCUCAAGGACCUGGGCAAACAGGGCAGUAGGACUCUUAGUUUUCUUUUUUCUUUUUGUGGGUGUUGAGGCCAGUAGACCUUGUAUUAUACAAUGUUAAUGUUGAAUGUAGAUAUUUGUGUAAUUGCAAUUUUUAAGCUUUUUUCCUAAAUGUCUUGUUUUCUUUUUCCUCAUGCUGAUCCGACCUCGGCAGCGCGAGGUCGGGUAAGCUUCUUGCGAUAGCCAGAGACCCCGAGCCUAAGUCCUUUUCCUUUUUCCCUUAGUAGUUUUUAGAAGUCCGAAUCCGUCCCCCGAAUCUAAGGUGAGUAGGAGCGGUCUUUGCUCGUGAGCGCUGACUUUUCCUAGAGCUCAUGCCUUAAGAUUUGUGGGGCGAGUUUCCGGUUUCUUAAAUCUUUUUAAGAGAAAAGGGGAAGACCUUGGGUCGGAGUUCUUUUAACUUGCACGAAAAAAGGAAAAAGAUUUGGAGUUGACACGGGGGGUUCCCCCCCAUGUAGCCCCCGAGGGAGGCUCGGACUCUGCUGGGCAGGUCCGAGGCUCCCUAAUAAAAAAGGGCCAUAUAACUUAAACUUUCAUUUAUUCCUCCAAGGUGAUGAACAAACGAAGAAAUUUUUACAAAGUUCUAAGGGUAAAAGCGACGUAGCUGUUCUAUGUUCCACGCGUUUUUGGAGACCUCCCCAGCUUCAUUGGCCUUCCUAGGUGCCGGGUCGGAGAACUUCGGCGAUGACGAAGGGUCCUUCCUAGGGGGGUGUGAACUUGUGACGACCCUUGUUGCUCUGUCUGAGCCUUAGCACCAAGUCGCCGACUUGAAAGGCUCGGCCUCGGAUUCGUCGCACGUGGUAUCGGCGUAGGACCUGCUGGUAUUUGGCAGAGUGUAGGAGGGCUACAUCCCUUGCUUCAUCCAGCUGGUCCAGCGCGUCUUCUUGGAACGUUUUGCCGUUAUUUUCGUCAUAAGCUUGUACCCUCGGGGACCCAUACUCCAGAUCAGUGGGGAGGACGGCUUCCGACCCAUAGACCAUGAAGAACGGGGUGAAGCCUGUGGCUCGGCUUCAGGAGGUUCUCACACUCCAGACCACGGCCGGUAGCUCUUUGAGCCACCUUUUUCCAAACUUGUUCAGACGGUUGAAAAUCCUGGGCUUCAAUCCCUGGAGGAUCAUCCCAUUGGCACGCUCCACUUGACCGUUGGUCUUGGGGUGAGCCACUGCCGCCCAGUCCACACGUAUGUGGUGUCUGUCGCAGAAUUGCAAGAACUUUCGCCCGGUGAACUGUGUGCCGUUGUCAGUGAUUAUGGAGUUCGGCACUCCAAAUCGGUGGAUGAUAUCUGUGAAGAACAACACCGCCUGUUCAGCCUUGAUCCUUGUAAUGGGUUGGACUUCGUUCCACUUGGAGAACUUGUCGAUUGCGACAAGCAAGUGGGUGAAGCCCCUGGGCGCUUUCUGCAGAGGCCCGACCAGGUCGAGGCCCCAGACAGCGAAAGGCCAGGUGAUGGGGAUUGUCUGCAAGGCCUGGGCGGGCUGAUGUAUCUGCCGAGCGUAAAACUGGCAUCCCUCACAGGUCCUUCCGAUCUCUAUGGCGUCGGCCACAGCGGUGGGCCAGUAGAAACCUUGUCGGAAGGCAUUUCCUACCAACGUCCGAGGAGCGGCGUGAUGGCCACAAGCCCCCGAGUGUAUGUCCUGUAGGAGCUUGACCCCCUCUUGACGUGGGAUGCAACGCAUGAGGACGCCCGAGGGGCUUCGCUUGUACAUCUCCCCAACAAGGAGGACAAAGGUCUUGGCACGGCGAGCCACGCAUCUUGCUUCAGCCUGGUCCGGGGGCAAAGUGCCGUUGACCAGGUGUUGAAGCAAAGGGUAGCGCCAGUCGGGCGAGUCGUCAGAUGCAGGUGCUUUGGCUCGAUGUCCAUGGCCUCUUGUUCUUGAGCGGCAGCGUCUUUGGGGUCGGAACUCUAUUUGCUUGGGGGUUCGUCCGACCCCCCGUCGUCCUUGUAGUCGACGGAAGGCUUGUAGAGGUCGCUGACGAAAACAUCCGGGGGGACAGUGGCCCGCUCGGAUGCCAUCUUGGCGAGCGCGUCGGCAGCCUCAUUAUACUUCCUUAACACGUGGUUAAGUUCGAGGCCGUCGAACUUUUCUUCCAGGCGUCGGACCGCUUUGCAGUACGCGUCCAUCUUGGGGUCAUGGCAGCUAGACUCUUUCAUGACUUGAUCGAUGAUGAGUCUAGAAUCGCCUCGAACGUUGAGCCGUUUGAUCCCGAGCUCGAUCGCGAUGUGGAGACCGUUAACAAGGGCCUCAUACUCUGUUGCAUUGUUUGAAGCGGGGAAAUGGAGUCGGAUUGCGUAUCGCAUCCUCACCCCGAGGGGUGAGAUGAAAACAAAGCCCGCGCCGGCCCCGGUUUUCAUCAAAGACCCGUCGAAGUACAUGGUCCAGCACUCGUGCUAGAUUUGAGGUGGCGGGAGCUGAGUCCCAGUCCACUCUGCCACAAAGUCUGCCAGGACCUGAGACUUUAUGGCUUUUCGAGGCUCAUAGGUGAUCCCAUCGCCCAUGAGCUCUAUGGCCCAUUUAGCAAUCCUUCCGUUGGCCUCUCGGUUCUGAAUCACUUCUCCCAAAGGGAAAGAUGAGACCACUGAGACCGGGUGAGAUUCAAAGUAAUGGCGGAGCUUGCGUCGGGCCAACACAACUGCGUAGAGUAGUUUUUGGAUCUGGGGGUAUCUGGUCUUUGUGUCGGAGAGCACUUCACUGAUGAAGUACACCGGCCUUUGGACCGGCAGGGUGUGCCCUUCUUCCUUCCUCUCGACCAUGAUAGCUGCGCUGGCCACCUGAUCAGUGGCUGCGACGUAGAGAAGAAGUGGCUCCACCUCGGCGGGGGGCACUAGGAUGGGAGGGUUGGUGAGCAGAGCAUUGAGCUUGUCAAGGGCUUCCUAGGCCUCGGGGGUCCAGGAAAAGUGCUCAGAUUUCCUAAGUAACCUAUACAGAGGCAGCCCUUUUUCCCCGAGGCGAGAAAUGAAACGGCUUAGGGAGGCUAGACAUCCCAUUACCCUCUGUACUCCCUUUAGGUUAUGAAUCGGGCCCAUAUUUGCGAUGGUCGAGACCUUUUCUGGGUUGGCCUCGAUCCCCCGCUCAGACACAAUAAACCCGAGGAGCAUGCCUCGGGGGACCCCGAAAACGCACUUUUCGGGGUUGAGUCUGAUCCCUUUUGCCCUAAGGCAUUGGAAUGUUUCUUCCAGGUCGGCAACCAGGCCGCUUGCUUUCCUGGACUUGACGACAAUGUCGUCUUCGUAAGCCUCUACCGUUUUGCCUAUAAGGUUCCCAAAAACCUGGAGCAUACAUAUUGAUAUGUAGCCCCCGCGUUCUUGAGGCCAAAAGGCAUGGUUACGUAGCAAUACAUUCCGAACGGGGUGAUGAAUGAAGUCGCGAGCUGGUCGGACUCUUUCAUCUUGAUUUGGUGGUAGCCGGAAUAAGCAUCAAGAAAAGACAAAAUUUUGCAUCCCGCGGUAGAGUCAACUAUCUGAUCGAUACGAGGUAAUGGAAAGGGAUUCUUUGGACAUGCUUUAUUUAAACUAGUAUAGUCUACACACAUCCUCCACUUCCCAUUUUUCUUUUUAACUAGCACGGGGUUGGCUAACCACUCGGGAUGGAAUACCUCCUUGAUGAAUCCGGCCGCCAGCAGCUUGUGGAUCUCCUCCCCGAUGGCCCGACGCUUCUCCUCGUCGAAUCGGCGCAGGCGUUGCUUCACGGGCUUGGAGCCGGCUCGGAUGUCCAAAGAGUGCUCGGCGACUUCCCUCGGUAUUCCAAGCAUGUCCGAGGGACUCCACGCAAAUAUAUCGGCGUUUGCGCGGAAAAAGUCGACAAGCACCACUUCCUAUUUGGGGUCGAGGCUGGAGCUGAUCCUCAACGCCUUGCCUCUAGAGGUCCCUGGGUCGAGGGAGAUUAGCUUGGUCUCUUCCGCCGGCUCGAAACUCCCGGCGUGCCGCUUGGGGUCGGGGACGUCCUGGUCACAGUCGCCGAGGCCGGUGAGGAUGGCCAGAGACUCGGCCCGAGCCUUGGCCUGCUCAGUGCUCUCGACGUCGCACUGGUAGGCGUGCUGGCUGGUCGUGCUGACGGUGAUGAUGCCCUUUGGCCCCGGCAUCUUGAGCUUGAGGUAAGUGUAGUUGGGGACGGCCAUGAACUUGGCGUAGCAUGGUCGUCCCAGGAUCGCGUGGUAGGUCCCUGGGAACCCGACCAAGUCGAAGGUGAGGACCUCCCGUCUAAAGUUGUCGGGGAUCCCGAAGCAGACGGAUAGAUCGAUCUGUCCGAGGGGGUGGGCACGAUGCCCGGGCACCACUCCGUGGAAUGGCACGGUGUCGUUCCUCAGCCGGGACUUGCUGAUCCCCAUGAGGACCAGAGUCUCGGCAUAGAGGAUGUUGAGGCCGCUGCCUCCAUCCAUCAGCACCUUAGUGAGACGGGUCUCGGCGAUGAUGGGGUGGACGAUCAGAGGAUAGCUCCCGGGAUUGGGGAUCCGAUCCGGGUGAUCCUGUCUGUCGAACGUGAUCGCGCUCUUGGACCAUUUGAGGUACGAGGGCACGGCUGCGCUGACUGCGCAAACUUCUCGGAGUUCGCGCUUCCUCUGACUCGCAGUGAGGCGAGCUGCUCGUCCCCCAAAGAUCAGAAGGCAGUUCUUGACCUUGGGGAAAACCUCCCCCUGGGGGUCGUCGUCCUUGGGAGGCUCUUCGGCACUCUCCUUGGUGAUGAUGUCGGUGUAGUACCGACGGAGGACGGUGCACUCCUCAAGGGUGUGUUUGGUUGGCCCCCUAUGAUAGGGGCACGACUUCUUCAACAUUUCGUCGAAGAGACCGGGGCUAGCAGGAGCCCUCUUGGGGUUCUUGCGAUCAGCUGCGGCGACUAGGUUGUCGUCCGACUGACCUUGCUUCCCCUUGCGGCCCUUCCUCUUCUUCUUUGGGUUGCGUGAGCCCGAGGCUUCCAUGGCCUCGGCCUUUUGUUUCCCCUUGGCUGCGCCGUCAGAGAAAAUGGCGCCCACUGCCUCUUCGCCUGAGGCGAAGUUGGUGGCGAUGUCGAGCAGCUGGCUAGUGCUUGUAGGGGUCUUGCGUCCGAGCUCGUGUACCAACUCCUUGCAGGUGGUACCAGAAAUGAAGGCUCUGAUCACGUCGGAGUCCGUGAUGUUGGGGAGCUCGGUGCACUGUUUGGAGAAUCGCUUGAUGAAGUCUCGGAGGGACUCAUCGGGCUUCUGCCGGCAGCUCCUGAGGUCCCAGGAGUUCCCAGGGCGCACGUAUGUGCCCUGGAAGUUCCCAACAAAGAUCCUGACCAGGUCAGCCCAGUCGUGGAUCAUACGCUCAGGGAGGUGCUCGAGCCAUGCCCUGGUCGUAUCGGCCAGGUGGAGUGUGAGGUUGCGGAUGAUGAGCAGGUCAUCGUCCGCCCCGCCUAACUGGCAUGCUAGGCGGUAAUCCGCCAGCCAGAGCUCAGGAUUGGUUUCUCCUGAGUACUUGGUGAGGUUGGCGGGCUGUCGGAAUCGCACUGGGAACUUGGCCCUCUGUAUGGCCUCGCUGAAGACGCGGGGACCCGGAGGCUCUGGUGACGUGCUGCGAUCGUGAUCGGGGUCGUAUCUCCCGCCUCGGCGCGGUCGGUAGCGUCGGGACUCGGCUUUGUCCCUGUCACGUCGCCUGGCCUCGAGGGUGGCCCGCACGUCCGCGUCUGCUCCGAUGCGCUCGUGUACCGACAUGGCCUUGUUGCCCCCUUGUGGGUCAGGGGGCGGCGGACCCUGUAUCGUUGGUGCCUUGUUAGGAGGGGGUGGGUCCCCACGACGUCUCGUGCUAUGGGAUUGUGAGGCAGAACUUUCCGCGUUCUGCACCACAGCCUGCUCCAGGAGGCCACGCAGCCCCUGGCGCACUCUCCUUCCCUCAGGAGUCGAAGGCUCGGGCAUCGCCCUGAGGAGGAGCGCGGCAGCCAUCACAUUCUGGCUGGCCGUGCUGAAGACUGGGGCGUCUCCCCCUUGGUCCUCGACAAUGCGACGGUUGACGUCACGGGCGCGACGUCUGGCUUCACCCCUGUCCCCGCGGCCUGACGGCUCUCGGACCAGGCCUCGCAGAGUUGGCGGAGGCACGUGCGUUCUUCUUCGAGCCUGGCCUCCAGCUCAUCGAGUUGUACGAGGUCAGGACGGUGUCCUCCAGCGGGGGCAGAUGCUACCCCACGGGCUCCGAGAUCGGUUCUGGGAGUUGGAUUGGGAGGUGGAGUUGCGUUCUCUUGCCUAGAGGGCCCUACGUCCCCCUGGGCGUUAUGCGGCGUGCCUCCGACUUCCAGGUUGAAGCACUCUCGUGACGGGUCGUAGCUUCCGUCGUCGGAGUCGGAGUAGCCGAGACAGUAGUCGCUGGCUUCCAAGAAGCGCAUGAAGGUCUCCGGGUCGCCACACCCGGAGAAGUCAGCGCCAGCCCACUCGUCGUCGCCUGAGGUAGGAUCCUCCGGGUAUGACGAAACGGGCGGUGUAGAGAUGAGGUCCAGUGUAGACCUCAAGUGGUGACCUGGAAGUUCCGCGUACGCACUUAACGAAGUGCUCACGGAAGAGGCGUAGGUGGCGGCGGCAUUCCUGAGCCCAAAAGUUAACUCGAGAGGUGCCGCUGCUUCUCCUUCAUCCGUUGGUGGAGGAGGAUGGGACGUUGAGGCCCCUUUGUCCCCCUUGCGGGGGACGGGCGCGGGCCGUGCCUUCCCCUUCGAACGGGGUGGGACGGGUGGCCACGAUGAUCCUCUAUGGGUCCUGGGAGCGGAGCUUGAUGCCCCGCGAGCCCUUCCUCUAGCGCCUGUCGGGCCGGAGGAGCGGGCGACCUGGUGAGGAAUAUGCGGGGGACGACCGGACUGAUCCUGGCCUCAGUGGUGGGGUCGGAGAUCCUAGAUCUCUGACGCCCCCGCCGGGCGCCCCCCGCACGGUGUCCCGAACGGCUCCCACGCACUGACUGCGGUGGGAUCGGCUCGGGAGUAGGCUCGACAUCACCACGUGGCGGGAGGAGGACCAUGUCGUAGCCGGAACCGAGGGACAUGAACUCCAAACUCCCAAACGUCAUGAUGGUGCCGCGGCGGAGCGGGUGAAAUCCGUCUGCCAUCCAAAUCUUCACAGUAGGGACAGGUGGAUGUCACGCAGAAGGCCCCUACCUGGCGCGCCAACUGACGGCGUCUAGACUCGUGGUCAAGACACUAACAAGUAUAAGUCUGCGUGACUACCCAAACUUGGAUGGUGAUGCAAGUGAGACAUAGAGGAUUUAUACUGGUUCGGGCCAAGAAUGCCCCACGUCCAGUGCGAUUGGGGGUUCUGUAUAACCUUGCACCCAAAGGUGCUUGUAGUAGGGGGUACAAGCAGGUUGCGAGAGAGGGCUAAGUCCCAGGUCUCGACUUGGGGGUGGACAGAGUGCAGAUUGCUGCUCUGUGAAAGAGUGUUGUGUGCGCGUGUGUGAACCUGAUCCUAGUUGUGAGCCCUGGCUCCCCUUUUAUAGCCUCAAGGGGAGACAGGGAUUUACAUGGGUAGAUUUCCCUUAGUGGAAGAGUUACAGCCCCGACCCUGUUGAAGCCUGUCCGUCUUGUCCUUGAGGGAUGGUCGCUCCUGUGGAGGUUUACCGAGCCCUGUAGGAGUCAUGGGGGUCGGAUCGCCGGUGCUGCUGCAUAUCGCGUCAAUAGUGGGAAGAGGCGUCAAAUAGUGGUGCUAAUUAACCUCCCCCAUUCCCUUUCUACUGUGAGGCGGUACGCCACAGUAAAAGAGGUAAGGUCGCACAGUGAAAGAGGUGAGGCUGCAGUGCUCGGGGUGGUUGGAACAGUCGUCGCCUUGCCCUGCCACAGUAUGGGAGUUAUCGCGUCUGUCAUGUCGUGGGUACGGGCGCCGUGCGGUGGAAGUCUUGCUGCCCAGGUGGAGUGGGGUCCGGCGCCCGAGCCUGGACGGGGUCGGGCGAGACGGAGCUUGCGUCCGAUACCCUGAGGGGUCGGGCGAGUCGGAGCUUGCGUCCGAGACCCUGAGGGGUCGGGAGAGUCGGAGCUUGCGUCCGAGGCCCUGAGGGGUCGGGCGAGUCGGAACUCGAGUCCGAGGCCCUAAGGGGUCGGGCGAGUCGGAACUCGCGUCCGAGGCCCUGAGGGGUCGGGCGAGUCGGAACUCGCGUCCGAGGCCCCGAGGCGAGUUGAAGGAGCUGGGGCCCGUACCCCGGUGAUUGUGGUUAGUAUGUUUUUUGCAUUUUUUAUUGCUCUGGUUUGGGUAUCCCUUACUAUGGUACCCAACAUAAGGAUUUCCUAGUGCUAUGACUAGUGGCAGUGUUUUAUUACUAAAUUAAAAACACUAGGAGAACUCCACCAAUUUGGUAUUGAUAUAUAUAUAUAUAUAUAUAUAUAUAUAUACUUAUUUAUUUAUUUAUUUAUUUAUUUAUUUAUUUAUUUAUUUAUUUAUUUAUUUUUCUAAUACUUAAUUAUAAAAAUUUCAGUCUGCCUAUCCAUUUGUGUCCGGGUAAGUUUAUUUUGCCCUUGAGGGCAUAUGCUCUUACUCUCCUAUCCAUUGGAUUCGCUUUGAGAAGUGUGCAAACACACAUCUCAAUGCAAAACUGCUUCGAGAUAUGUGUUGGCACACUUCNNNNNNNNNNNNNNNNNNNNNNNNNNNNNNNNNNNNNNNNNNNNNNNNNNNNNNNNNNNNNNNNNNNNNNNNNNNNNNNNNNNNNNNNNNNNNNNNNNNNNNNNNNNNNNNNNNNNNNNNNNNNNNNNNNNNNNNNNNNNNNNNNNNNNNNNNNNNNNNNNNNNNNNNNNNNNNNNNNNNNNNNNNNNNNNNNNNNNNNNNNNNNNNNNNNNNNNNNNNNNNNNNNNNNNNNNNNNNNNNNNNNNNNNNNNNNNNNNNNNNNNNNNNNNNNNNNNNNNNNNNNNNNNNNNNNNNNNNNNNNNNNNNNNNNNNNNNNNNNNNNNNNNNNNNNNNNNNNNNNNNNNNNNNNNNNNNNNNNNNNNNNNNNNNNNNNNNNNNNNNNNNNNNNNNNNUCAGCAAUCCCGAACAACAAGGCGGGCGCAGCAGCGGCAUCACCGCAUCACUUCUAGGGGGGCGUCCGCGGCGUCGGAGGGUAGAUCGUAAGAGAAGACCUGGCAUGGGAGGCGCCACGCCUUGGUGGCCCCAAAGCACAUGUUGUCGAGCGCCGGCACCCAGCUCUCGCCGCGCAAUCGCCUUGCGUCGCUAGAUCCUAGCACGGUGGCGGCCCCGCAUGGCCCGAUCCGACCCUUGCCCUUCCCCACUCCGGCGGCGGCAGCGGCCACGGAGACCGCCGCCGCGCAGAGCAGGAGGACCAGCACGACUGGCGCCCGCGGAUCUGGUUCUUCUGGCCAUCUUCGGAUGCAGUUGUCAGGGGUCCGAAGGGAGUCCCGAAUAAUCCGGUGCUGCUUUUCUAAUCCAGCUGUGGGAUUGACGAAAGGUGGUCUUGUGGGUGGGCCCAUAGGAGCAAUGAGGUUCUCUCGUAAACUUCUAUUUUCCACAAUUUAGGGCCUGUUUGGCAUGGCUCCAACUCCACACAGAGCAGCUCCACUCUAGAAAUCCAGCUGGAGCUGACUCUGAGUGGAGUUGGAGCUGUCUGAUAGGUGUGUUUGGCAAGAAUAGUACUCUGAGCUCCAGAGUUAUGCUUUAUCACUGUGUCUUGCCUAUUUUACCCUUGCCUUCAAUCACAUAUGCACAUGUGACUGUUUGGUUGUUUGCUUUGAAAUUGAACUAUGCAUGUACGGUGCAUUCUUAAAAAAAUGAGAACGUAGAAAGAUAAUUAUGGGUAAAAGAAUAUUUGAUGCAUAUAAAAUUAAAUUCAAUAACAUACAAGAUAAUUCGAAAUAAUAAUUCUUAGAUAAUCCGAAUAAUCCAUGAAAUCAAAUAAUCCGACAUACCAACUCAACACAACAUUCUACUAGCACAGCACAGGACAAUUCUACACAACAUGUUCUCCAAAACCAUGAACUCACUGUUCUUAAAAAACACAGCAUAGAGAUGGGGAUGGGGAUAAGGAGCAAGGGUUGGGGGAGCGUCCGCCAUCAGUGUGGAUGGGGAUACCCCGACCCCUUCUCCUUCGCCGGCCGACGGUGGAUGGAGAGGUGCCCUUAUUCCCCUUCUCUAGGGUUAGGGUUGCAGAUGACCUUCUCCUUGUCUUCUCCUUCGCCGGUGGAGGAUGGAGGGAGGGCUAGGGAAGAGAGAAGGAGGGAGGGGCGGGGAAGAGAGGCGGAGAGAGGGGGGCGGCGCCGCCCGGCCUGCUCGUCCCCUAGAAGCAAACGGCGGUGACGGGAGUCACGGCGCCUCUACCGCGCGUGAGGAAGGGUGUCGGGUCGGCGCUCACGCGUGAAGGGGAAGGGGACGGGACUUACGCGUGAAGGGGAAGGGGUCGGGUACGGAGAAUAGAAAAAAUAACGAUUCACUUGUGUAACUAGUGGCAAUUGCGGGUAAUUUCACCCUAACUCCACGUCUUGGUCUGUUUUGGUUAGUUUUGGAGUAGGAGAAGAGGUACUCCGAAAAUUUGUAGUAGAGCUCCAAAAACUCUAUGGAGUUGGGCUGCUCCAAUAUUUUCUAGAGUUGGGGUGUUUGGCUUGCUCCACUUGACUGUGGGGUAGAGUUCGGCUCUGGAGCCAUGCCAAACAGGCCCUUAAUGGUCGAACUUUUUAAGAUGCACCUUGAUGCUUGGCUAGAGGGCAUUUUCCAACUCACGGCCAGAUUUGAUAGCUUUUUUUUCUCCCGUGCAACGCACAAGUAUUUUUGCUAGUAUAUACCUAUUAGUAAAGAGACAAAAUUUUAGGCUAUUUUUUGUCCACCUACCCCUAACUAUCAGAUAAUAGAGAGCUUCUUUACACAGACANNNNNNNNNNNNNNNNNNNNNNNNNNNNNNNNNNNNNNNNNNNNNNNNNNNNNNNNNNNNNNNNNNNNNNNNNNNNNNNNNNNNNNNNNNNNNNNNNNNNAACACACACACACACACUCAUAAACCUUCACUAUUCUUUUUAAACAUUUUCAAAUUAUACCUCUAUAACUAAAACACACACAUAUAUAUAUCUACAUAUAUAUAUAUAUAUAUAUAUAUAUAUAUAUAUAUAUAUAUAUAUAUAUAUAUAUAUAUAUAUAUAUAUAUAUAUAUAUAUAUAUAUAUAUAUAUAUAUAUAUAUAUAUAUAUAUAUAUAUAUAUAUAUAUAUAUAUAUAUAUAUAUAUAUAUAUAUAUAUAUAUAAUCCGUGCUCAUACAAGUUAGAAUAGCUCUUAUCUCGGACGGUACAGAGUCCGAUUCUAAAACAUAUUAGGUUAUGUAGGUGACCCGGACUCAUAAGUCUUCCUAAGCCUACCGCACCCACAAAUUUCAUAGUGGAAAUUGAACUACGAAAAUCAGUUUUUUUUUGGAAAACUCAAACUUUUCCUACUCCUAUCAGAAUUCCAAAUUUAGCCCAUGUCAAUGCAUAAACUCAUGAAACAGUUUUUUUCAACUUUCCUACAUACGUGAUCGUUUCUAAUCUAUGUGUUUGCAACCGUUUUUUUUAGCUAUUUCCAAACUAGAUGAAAUAAUAGCAAUAUAGGUAAAAUAGAAAAAAAAUAUGAUCUCAAUGUAGGAGAAGCCUACCUUAGUUAUCACGUGUCCUCUCCUUGAUCACCAUGUCAUUGCCGAUGCAGUGUGUCUUUGAGUCAAGUCCAAUUCCAUACCGAUCAUUAGAUUCUUCGUUUUGAUUUCUCUUUUUCCUUUUGAGAGUUCCAGAAUUUCAUAUUUUGUUUUCAAGUCCAAUAUUAUUAUUAGAGUCAAUAGGAAUAGUACCACAUUGUAUUUUCACAUAAGGUGUAGUCUUAUAUACCUCAGCUCAUGAGGUCCAAGGUAAUAUAUCCAAUUCCACCAUUUAUAUUCUUCUUCAUGGUAUCAUUCGUCUAGGUUUAGAUUCUAACCCUAGCGGCCGCCGCUUCCGCACCGUGCGCCCCUAGGGAGAGGUAAAUCUCCGCCAAGGGCAGUGCCCCCAUUUAGGCGCCCGAUCCUAUUGAUCCGGCUGCCAUCGUUGUCAUCGCACAGUAAAUCGAGAUCUCCCCUAUGUCAUUGUCGGGCUGGCACCGCCACCUCGUCCCUAGGCUUGGUUGUCGCCGACACCUUUCUGAUCUUCAUUGCAUGGAGACAAAUAGAUCUCGCCCCGUAUUGUGCCACCGUGGUGGCGGUCAGGCUCGGCCACACGCCCCGACCCUGUGCUGCCAUGGCGGCAGCCAGAUCUGGCGUAUCACUACUGUCGGGCGGAUCUGCCUAUCGCCACAGUGCCUUUGGCCCUGCGUGUUCGUGACUCACUUGCGCCUUGCGCCGCCUGAUCGAGUCGCACUGCCACCGUCGUGUUGUCUUGCUGGGUACAUCCGAUCUCCUGUUGUUGUUGUUGUUGUAUCUUUUUGGUUUGCCUGAUCACUAAUUGGGAUUGAGUCGUCCACCGCCUAUCGACCUCGCGUGUUCUACUCCAGCAUCGGCAUCGACUUCAUCAACACCAUCUCUGAGUACUACAUGCAUCUUCUCCGAGCAAUAGGGUUGUUGAUGUGUCACCUCAUCGGGUCGAAACACUGUCGCCCGUGUGUUUGCUUCGCCGUUACAUCUAAAUCAUCGUCACCUAUGCAUCAACGACUGUGUUGCGCAAUCCCUAAUGUGCCAUCCAUCUCACAUGGUCUUUGUCCUACUGAUUGGGUCUUUGUCAUAGAGCUGCCACUACCCACGUCGUCACUGAGACCUACUCACCGACGCGUCUUCUCCCGCAUUGUUUCUUCUUCGUCCAACGCAAUCACACGGUUGGGCCAUCUCCAUUAUACGCUCGGUAUUGGCAAUACUGACACGUGCUUUCGUAUAACACUCUAAAAUUUCUAUUUUGGAUUGUUAUUAGGAAAACACUAAAUUAAAUAAAGGAUUUAAAAUUUUCUAAAACAUUCCAAGAUUUUAUUAAUUGUUGUUAUUAUAAAAUGAGAACAAUGUGAAAUUUUAAAACUUUUAUAAUGUUAAGUGAAGGGUGUUUUGUUUGAUGUUGUGUGGUUUGUGCCCUAGCUUUGUUUAGUUUGUGUCAGAAAAAUUAAUUUCAAAAUUUCUAGCAAACCACGUUAGGUCCUGUUCGGUUUUUAGAAAAUAACAUCUAGAAAGUCAAAUUUGAGUUAAAAACAACAAUUUAAAAUGAGUUUAAAAUAAAAUAUGUUUUGUUUUCAAAAGCAAGAAAGAAAACAAAUUCUAAAAUAAUCUCAGAGUAUUGAAUGAAAUUUUGUUUGAAAUUUGGUUCGAAAAUAGUUUGGAAAAGUGAUCUAAGACAUUUUGAAAUGAAAAGGAAAGCCCCUUCUCCCUCUUUCUCGUUUCGGCCCAGCAGUAGCUGGCGGCCUAGCCCAGGCCGGCUCCUCCCCCUUUGCCCUCGUGCAAAGGUAGCAGGACACCGGGCCAACGUCGCGCCCCCGCUCGCCCUUGGGCCAUGGCUCAGUGUUGAUAUUUGGGAACGCAAUAAGGAAUUGAUCCGCAAACGCACGGAUAUCGGUGAGCACUUCACCCGGGAGAUUAUCCAGAGUAUCGUAUUUAUUUUUUUACCACUAGGAGAAAGAGUGCAUCUGACUAACCUGGUCUAUUAACCCUUUAGGCAACAAAGAAUGUUUCUCGAUGUGAGUGAUAAAUAGAGAAGACUACAACCGUAAUCUCCUUUUAACCUUGGUAAGGAUGAUCUACUGUUCUAUUGAGGAGGCUAACGGAAUCUAGACACCACAGAGGAUGUUCAACCCGCACCUAUAAACCCUAUCCUUCCUGCUAAUGAGAUAUGGUCUGCAAAGGUAACUCGGAAAUGUCACGUUCCUCGCUACUACCACGGUCUAGCUAGUCAGGGAAUAUCUAUGAGUUUCCUAGCCUAAACACCACGUCUACGCUAGAGAUGAUUACUCUAAACUCUACGCGAAGAGAUUAAAGUAAACUCAUAAACCAAAAGAACAAUAAAACAAGAACUUACUAGAAUUUAGAAGUCGAAAUACUGAAGAAUCCUAGGAGCAAGCUUCGGGUUAGGAGAACUUGAUCCCGCUGGUACAAACUCGAAGUAGACACCGACAGGCCGGGCUUCCUCCGAUCUACACCUCCACUCUAUCUCUCUCAAUCUAGUAGAAACUAGAAGAUCUAUUUCUACUUACAUUGGAUGCUAAGCCUAAAAAUAAAUUUUAUUUAGAGGAGAGGUAUUCUUUCGAGGGCUCCUCUCAACUCUAUGAUGAACUUGUCACCUCCAAGGGCCAGGGGGUCUGGUUUUAUAGUCCCCUCAAGUGAACGUGAGCCAUUGGGUCAAACCGACAUUGAUUAGGCGGUUAUCCUUGAUCCUUUAGGUCGGUGGAGCGUCAUCCGCGAAAAGUCCCGAACCAAGUCCAGGAGGGGGUGGGCGCCCAGUGCCUGGCCCCGUUCGGCCUCCGCUUCCUUCCCGUGGCUUCUAGAGUCUUCUAGAUGGUAGAAAAUUGUGCGGUGCGUUGAUAUCUCUAUGUGAUCCCGACAUGUGGGCCUUUCUUCCUUAUUUCCUGAUAACCCCCUGUAGAAAAAGAUAAACAACAAAACUCGUGGAAUUCUGUCAGAUCAAACCCUAAUUCUAGGUGUUGGUUGCAUAUUGGUUCUUUCUCUUGUUUAUUUGAUAAUUAAAAUUGAUACUUAAGAACCGUCAACAAAUACCCCCAUACUUAGGCUUUUACUCGUCCUCGAGAAAAGGAUGGUUAAGAACAAUAUCUGGGGUGAAACAUUCUCUUCAUAUUUGCAGGGUACUAAAAUCCACUGUGUACUAUAGUCAGGGAAGUAUAUGGUUAAGAGUAAAGAUCCUUUCUUCUCAAUCCUGUCACUUGGAGUUUUUGUAUAUUUUUGAAAAGAAAGUUAGCAUACCUUUUAUCCUCAUAGGUUCUCUCUGAUCACUCAUUAUCUUUUAUAUAUCUCACUGAGGCUGUUUUAAUUUGCAAAAAUUCUCAAGCAUACUUACUUUGCAUUUAUUGCCUGUUCAAAACGGGAUCCGAGGAGGGGAAUGUCAUACUCUUAGAUCAAAGACUUUGGAAAUUAAAAUCUUUGUCAACUCUUGCUGGCAUAUUGCUUAUUAGAGGGACCAUGGGCUAUCAUUUUCUUUCUUUCUCUUCUUUUUUUAAGUGGAUACCGAGGUACCCCUAAUUCUACUGCUGGACACUUGUCCAUUUUUUUCUGCGAGGUUAUCGAGCACUUGCUCCUUUUUAUUUCCUCGAAAUAUCCUUAUUUUUGCAUAGCCCAUGCCUCUAAUGCAAUAAUACUUCAGAAGAGUGAAUCUUUCUGAAUAAAUGCCUUGAUCUUAGGAGCAUGAUAAAUAUCUCAACAAGGGUCUAAAUCAUUUUGAACAAACUCAAUAUAGAGUAGAUAGCUCUUAUAAUCAUAAUUAAUAUUUUUAGUUUUAUUAGGCAUAUAAAAUACUAAGGAUGGUAGCUAGAAUUUUAAAGAUUUUGAAAUAAAUUUUCCAAGCAACAAUGAUAUCAAGAAUAAGAAACUCAUACUCUACCAAUCUCACAUUCCACAAUGACUUAAGUAACACAGGGUUUUAAAAUGAUUUUUUUCAAUAAUUUCAAGUUUCAGGAAAUAUCACAGAGUGAGAUUAAUCAUGAUUAGAAACAUUUUAAUCUUUUUAAUUUAUCAUGUAGGAAACAAUAUUCUGCAUAAUCUAAGUAUAUAUGUGUAAAGUGUGCAGAGUGUGUACCUGAAUCGUGGAGUGGUGUAGUCGAAGUGUGUUUGGCAUGUCGAGGGAUCUCCCCCAUACUUGUUUUCUGCUUUCUUGCACAAAAAUAAAGUAGAGACACACAAGACAUAAUAAUAAUAAUACUCUUUAUUAAUCUUGAGACAUUUAUUACAAAUAACUAGUAGCAAACUGACGAUAAUAGUAGCAAACUGACGAUAAUAGUAAACCUAAACCGAAUUUAAAGAUAGAUAACUAAGAUGCAUUGCCUCAAGAUCUAAUCUAGAUAACUUAGCGGUGCUCUAAUUCCUUGAUCUUCUUAUUGGCACUGGCAAGAUCCUACCUAAGGCCUAGUAUAACGGUGUUGUGGUUAGAGAGCUGCCUAGUGAGGGAAUUAACUCAGGACUGGAGGUCUAUGAUAACUCUGUCUAGCCUGCGAACGUCCUCAUCAAUAUCCACUAUAGUCUUGCGACGCUUGGGAGGUGUCUCAAAAGCAUUGAGAGCAUGCUUCGGGGCUGCCUUUGGAGGGAUGAAACGGACUUUGGCUGCUCUAAUCCCUUCAAAGUAAGGUCUCUCCUCCUCCGUAGUGUAGCGAAUGCUGCUGAUCUCGCCGCUUCGGUUGGUCUUGACUCCAACGACCCUCUCAUUGGGUUUAGGUGGAAGGAUCCUCGUGCCAGUUGGCACCUUGAUGGUGGUCUUCGUCUUGGAUGAUGAUCCCUUGAGGAGUAGGGGUUGUGGCGGUGCGGUGAGAACUGGUUGAGCAUGAUAGGAUUGGACGGAGCUGCGUUGGCGUAAUGGCAUGGCUUCUAGCUAUCGCUCUGUGUUGGUCGGGACGAGAGCACGGGCGUCGGGGUCUUCCUCAGGCUUCAUGUUGAGGUUGAAGGGGACGACUUCCCAAUCAUCGUGGAACUUCUCGGCCAUUGGAGCAGCGAGGGAUUAAACAAACUCUAAUUGAAGAAGAAGAAGAAGAAGAGAAGGCUUGGUGGAUUGGUAUUUGAAAACUGAUGUCAGGGGUCUAUUUAUAUAGGGGUCAAAAAGUGCCUCUAGGGGUUGUUCUGGUUGCUCCCGUCGAUGUGCGUGAGAAACUUUCCAUCUGAGGGAUUAUUCGGAUUAUCAUAAGUGUAUUUUCCAUAACAGAGAAAAUCGGGACCGAGGGGGAACAGGAGCUGGGCGCCCGCCCACUUGAUCAGGGCGCCCGCCCUCUCUCUGGCUCCGCUGAGGGCCCGCUUCCUCAAGCGUGUUUCUAGAUGCAGACUUAAUUAGGAAAAUAUAUAUAUGACCCAAAAACGUCAGACUAAAAGGGUCGGGCUCUAAUUCUCCAUGGGAAGGAAAAAAUGGACUACGUCUAUUUCUUCUAAUUCUUUAUUGGGCUCUAAAAACAAUUUAAGACGUUGACCAUUUACCUUGAAUAACGUACCUUCGUUAUUUUGAAGUGUGAUAGCUCCGUGGGAUGAUGAAUUGAUUACCUUGAAUGGUCCUUCCCAUUUGCUCCGGAGUUUUCCAUGCCCAAAAAGCUUCACCCUGGAAUUAAAAAGUAAUACCUUAUCUCCGGGUGUGAACUCCUUCUUCUUGAUUCUCUUGUCAUGCCACCUUUUGACUCUUUCUUUGUAGAUCUUCGAAUUGUGAUAUGCUUUCUCUCGCCAUUCUUCCAAUUCUGAUAGUUGCAUUCAUCUAUGAUCUCCAGCAACAUCUAGGUCCAUACUCCAUCUCUUUAUCGCCCAGUGUGCUUUGAAUUCUAGUUCAACAGGUAGGUGGCAAGUCUUCCCGUACACCAAUUGGUAUGGACACAUUCCAAUUGGGGUCUUGUAUGCUGUCCGGUAUGCCCAGAGUGCAUCGGGUAGCUUGUCUCUCCAAGCCGUUCCUAUUUCAUUUACUGUCUUCUGAAGAAUAUUGUUGAUUUGCUUGUUGGAAGUCUGUGCUUGGCCACUUGUCUGAGGAUGAUAGGGGGUAGCGACGUUGUGACGGAUUCCAUGUUUUGAUAGAUAUUGCUUGAAGCGUUUGUCGAUGAAGUGUGCUCCUCCAUCACUUAUUACUACUCUGGGGACUCAUUUCUUCAAACAUCCUCUUUGAACUGAUGUUGUCGGCAUGCUUGCAAGGUAGUGCCUCUACCCACUUGGAGACGUAGUCAACUGCCACCAAGAUGUACUCACACUUCUUUGAUGGAGAAAAUGGACCCAUAUAGUCUAUUCCCCAAACAUCAAAGAGCUCAAUCUGAAGGUUGAUGGUGAGUGGCAUUGCAUCCCUUGUAUUUAUGUUUCCGUGCCUUUGACAUGGCCCACAUCUUCUGAUAUAUUGCUUCGUGUCUUCAUACAUUGUAGGCCAGUAGAAUCCACACUGCCAGAUCUUUGAAUGUGUACGGAAUGCUCCAUAGUGACCCCCAUAUGGUGAUGAAUGACAUCUGUCGAUGAUCUUCCAUACUUCCUUAGUGGUCACACAUCUCCUGAGUAAGCCAUCAGAGCAUACUCGGAAGAGGUAUGGCUCAUCCCAUAUAUGUGAACGACUUUCUUGAAUAAGCUUCUUCUUGUUUGCUCCUGGUGGUACAUACCCUGAAACCAUAAAAUUAACACUAUCUGCAUACCAGGGGUCAGACCUGUUAAUCCCGUAGAGCAUGUCGUCCCGGAGUGAAUCAUUGAUGGGGGUUUCCUGUGGAUUCUUAAAAUACAUUCUAGACAAGUGAUCAGCAACAGAAUUUUCUAGUCCCUUUUUAUCUUUUAUUUCUAAAUCAAAUUCUUGAAGUAAUAAGAUCCAUCUAACCAGGCGAGGUUUAGCAUCUUUUUUAGUGAGCAAAUAUUUUAGUGCAGCAUGAUCAGUGUAAACAAUUAUUUUAGCUCGAACUAAAUAAGAUCUAAAUUUGUCAAUGACAAAGACAACAGCCAGAAGCUCUUUUUUAGUGGUUGCAUAGUUAAGUUGAGCUCCUGUCAAAGUUUUACUGGCAUAAGCAAUUGCAUGAUGCUUCUUAUCUUUAGUUUGUCCCAAUACUGCCCCCACAGCAUAAUCACUAGCAUCACACAUAAUUUCAAAAGGCAACGACCAAUCAGGGGGUUGAAUGAUUGGUGCAGAGAUGAGUGCUUUUUUUAAUAAAUUGAAAGAUGUUAGACAAGCAUCAUCAAAUUCGAAAGGAGCAUCCUUGGCUAGCAAAAGAGUAAGUGGUCUAGCAAUGAAUGAAAAAUCUUUUAUAAAUCUAUGAUAAAAACCAGCAUGGCCAAGAAAGCUUCGAAUUCCUUUUAUAUUCACAAGUGGAGGCAGUUGUUCAAUUACUUCAAUUUUAGCUUUGUCUACCUCAAUACCUCUGUAACACCCCAGUGUUAUGGUUGCAUUGAUCAUGUGCAUAGCAUAAGCAUCAUCAUUUACUUAAAGCAUAUCACGAUCAUCAUUUAUCUUGAGCCAUGUCAUUCUAUGCAAAAAUAUGAUUUAAAUUGCUUAAAUAGGUUUCCUAUGCUCAUGAUUGAGUGAACCAUGUUUGUGUUUGUGCCCAAUGCUUUGGUAAUUAGUUUAUCUAUGCUUCACUUGGCCUUGGGAACAAUGUUCAUGUUGGUCACUUCUCCAAAAUAUGCUUUUAAGUCAUACUUAUGUAAAUAGGCCCUAGAAACCUCUUUUGCUUAGGCUUUUAAAAAGUGUUUCAUAAAAUGUUUGCAUGUCAAAACUUCCUACAGCAAAGUUGUAGCAAAUUUUAUAAGGAACAAAAGUCCUUUUAUGUCCAUCUCAUGAAAAUGAUCACAAAUAGCUCAAAAGUGGCCCACAAGGCAGAUUUGGGGCUGUUUCCAAUACUUAGAAAAUUUUCUAAGUCCUGGAUGCACUGCAGUUUGCUCGAGGGGGUAUUGUUCAUCUUCCAGUUUGAUUUCUAGGCCGAAUCAAGCUUUGAUCUUGUAAGCAAUGUUGGAGUGCUCAUGUAGCUCUCCAGCAUGGAGCAAUUAGCCAGCAAAAUCAUCGAGUGGUUAGGGAGUAAAUCGUCGUGCAAAACCGAGUUUCAGUCGGUUUGGAGAACUGAAUCGAGCCGCCGUCAGUCAGGGGGAGCUCGCCGGUGUUGCCGCGUGUCGGGACUCGUGGCGUCCGUACGUCGCCGUUGGCCCCGCUCGUCAGUCCUCCGCACGUCCUUCAGCUCGCCACGGCGUCCCCGGUCGCGUGGACAGCGCCAGUCCACUCCCGGUUCGCUCUCUCUCGCGUGCGUCGUCGUCUCCGCGUCGCCGCCGUUGCUUCGGCGAGCUCGCACGCGCGCGUCUCAGUGUCUCCGGCCAAGCAACUCAGCCCAGCGCUCCGCAAGCCUCUCCUCUUCCCCGUCGUCAAGUUGGCUGCGACUGCCGAGCCUUGGUGAGCCCGCAUUGCCUUCUCCGACGCGAGCUUACCUCGCCGGAGUUCCGCCAUGGCCACCGGCGUCGUGGCCAGGGCUCUGUAGUCCACCAUUCUUUCUCAUUCUUGUUCCAAAAGCUUCGCUAGGUCUUGCUAUUGCUCGUCCGCAUUCUCUUUUGCUCUGUCUCCGGCCAGAGACGCCGGCGGUCGGCCGCGCACCACCGCCGUGCCGCCAUUCGCGAGGGCAAGGUACCUAGAGUUCGGUAGAGUUAGGGUUUUGGGUACCGCUAGAUGCGGAAUGCAGUGGGGAGCACGAUGGUGCCCUUGGCCAGCGCCGAGACCUCGCCGUCGACGAGAUCUCCGGCGGUCAAACCGCGCCCCUGCUUCCGGGUCACUGGCAGGUGGGGUCCGUUGACGCGCGGGUCCCCUCUGUCAGUCUCUCUUUCUCCUUUGUUUAAAUCAGGGUUUGAACUGUUUUUGUAAAAAUCAUAUCUCUAGUUCUGGUGAUCCAAAAAUGUUGAGACAAAUUUUGUGGUGUUUCUUGAGAUGGCUAGUAUUUAAUAAAAAUAUAAAAUGAACCAUGUUUUCUGAGAAAUUAUUUAUUAAGGAUUUAAUCUUGUUAAUCAUGGAUAAAUGUAUAUCUCUUGUUAUACUGCUUAGUUUACUCUGAAAAUUUUAUGGUAGCCUUUGCAUGGCAUUAGAGUGCUCUGAUAAUUAUUUCAUGAUUUUUGGAGCACUGCAGCUUUGUUAUGUAAUUUAUGUUUGAAAUGUGGCUUGUUUCCUUGAUUAAAUUAUAUAAAUUAAUUGGUGCUUAUGCUGGUGUUCUAUUUUAGUAGUAAACAUGUUUAUGGUAUUCCUAAGAUAUAAAUAAUCUGAAAUCUGUUGUUUGACACCAUAUAAGUCAUGUUUUCCAAUUUAUGAAAUAAUUACCUUGGCACAUGUUAAAUACAUAUCUUUAAUUUAGUAUAUGCAAUUGCUCUGAAAUUUUUAUGGUGAUGCUCUGAUGUCAUACUUGUGCUUCUGUAAUUUUUGUAGAUUUUUCUGAGCACUUUGACUAGUAUCUUGUAAUUAUGCUCUUAUUUAGGAUUAAUUAAUAAAUGCCUUGUCAAGUAAAUGUUUGGGGGUUUUCAUUUGGUGUUCUGGUAACCUUGUAAUAUGUUUGUGCUCAUAAGCCAUGUGGAUGGCAUGGGUUAUGUUUUGGUUAUGUCAUUAAAUAAUUAUUUAAAGGGUUAAAGGCUGUUCUGGACAGCAAGGAAAGGAUUUAACUUUGCUUAAUGAUAACUUGACUUUCUGUGAAACUUGUCUAAAUCAAAGUUGUUCUAAACUUUUUGAACUAGCUGUGGUUUAAAUUUGAGGUCAUUUGGCCAAGUAGUUUAAAAGUUAUAGCUGUUCCAAUUUGGGUUCCAGAAAUAGGGGUUCUCUGUUUUUCUGGGACAGAACCUGGAACUUUGUUAAAAUGACUAGAUUAAUGUUUGAAUCUUGCUGUCAUGUUUAAAGAUGAGUUGUAGAAAAUUUCAUAAGCUUUCCAGAAUGUCUUCACUCAUGUUUGUUGGACCUGUAUAUCAUUAGUUAUGAUUUAAUUACUGGGUAUACUUGUUUUGUGUUGCCUGCUGUUUUAGUAUCAUGGUAGGUUGUGGGCUGAGUUGACUUAUUUACUUUUGUGAGAUAGUGUAACUUUUACUCCGUAAAUGAGUGUCCAGUGAGUUACUUGUGUUAUCAAGCAUUCAUCUUUAGCAUGUGCAUCUUCUUAUUAUUCGAGCAUGCAAUAGGUGCAUCGGACGCGACAGCCUCCUACGAGCUUCAGGCGAAUCCCGAAGGUCAGAAGGGCAGUCAGGAGGUGGAGGUCCAGCAAGCCGGACUCGAGGAGCCCGAAGAAGAAGUUGAGUGCCCGAAUCACGAGCCGGCAUCGUUCGUGAAAGGCAAGCCCCGGAGCAUUCUAAGACUCCCGUUAUUUUCGAAAGUUUACUUAAUAUGUUGUAUCUAUUGAUGCAUUACGUAUAGGAGUUGUGAUGAAACUGUUGCUGCAUUCUACUCUAUCCUUGUCCAGAUAACUCACCACACCCUGGUCGUAGAGUUAGGAUCGAAUAGCAGCUUAGUCAUGCUUUAAUCGGUAGAAGUCGGGUGAUAUCCUGUCACCUGCGCGAUAUAGGGUUAUGUCGUAUCACGAUGGUCUAUAUGUGCUAUCGUGGAUGGAACCUGAUUAAUUUGACUUAAGCCGGGCGGAGUUUUGCAAGUUUGUAGUAACUCCGUCUGUGGCAGCUAAGGACCGAUCGUUGUACGUCCUCUUGUCAUGUUGAACGCAUGCCUAACACUUAGUUGGCCGGAUAACUCGUUCCGACCGCGAAGCCGAGUAGUAUGACUCAGGCCGGAAGACCGGCAAGUAUAAAGUGCGCACUACCGGAGGAAGUGCGGUGUGCGGGGGACCAUUGGCGUAAGUCCAAAGGCAGGUGAGUUAAAAUUCCUGACCUCCCUGGCAGAGUUGUAGCCCUGGGAGUUGGGCGCUGAUCGGAGCCGCGAUUCCUGAGUUGUACCAAAGGUGACCCGUUGGCUCUCCGGCAGGGGAUGCUUGGGUGAGUGCUAGGAAUAACCCUCCAGCUGGAUAGGAAUUCGAUUCGAAUCGCCGUCUCUCCCGGUUAGUGAGAACUUGACAGAGCAGCGGCAAACGUAGCAUUCACUAAUGAAGUUGGUUCAUGAUAAUGAUGAUAGCAAGAAGAACAUAUGAUGAAUCUGAUAUGGUUAUUAUUGAUUGUAAUAAUCAAGUGAUGUGCUACAGUACAGGUGCUAAUCUAGUGGUAGGCUGAUGAUAAAUAAAUAUGAUGCUUUCAAAAUAAUUCAAUUGCAAUUUAAGCUCUUGGCAAAAGGUGAGUCAACCAGCUCCACUUGAGGUUUAGCCUUGCAUGAUCCUUGGUGUCUUUUAUGUUUUACUAGACGGGUAAGUCUAGCUGAGUGCAUUCUCGUACUCAGGGUUUAUUCCCACCUGUUGCAGAUGACAUCUUUUAUGACGGCUUCUGCAAGACCUGUCUCCAUCCUGCUGGGGAUGAGGACUAACCGUUGGGCACGGUUCUCUAACAAUCUCGUCUUUGAUGCUUUUGGAAGGACGGCAUAGACUCUGGCAGUAACAAAAACUUGUGGACUAAACUUUGAACAAGUGUGUGUAACUAUUUUGCUUCCGCUACUUCGAACUUGGGUUGUAAUAACUUAAUGACUCUGAUGUGGUGCCGCUUCGACGACAAUGAAUGACCAUGUAACAUUCGUUGUGUUUAUGUUGAACUAUUACGAUCUUGGUUUGUUGCGAGUUGGUUUGAAGUCCUUCGUGAUUUCGAUUGACUACCGGGAUUAUAUGGGCUCAAGUUUAGAAACUUGAUUGCUUGGCGAUCGUUUCUGCACUUGAACUCUUAUAAUUUGGUCGGUUCUGGGACAACCUCAUUCAGACACUAGGUGUCCCAGCACUAUUCCUUCCCUAACCAUGAAAUGACAUUUUUCCCAAUUAAGGACUAAGUUUUUUUUCUUUACAUCUUUGCAAAACCUUGUCUAAGUUUUCAAGACAACUAUCAAAAGUUUUUCCAUAAACAGAGAAAUCAUCCAUGAAAACUUCCAUAAUCUCUUCAAUCAUAUCAAAAAAUAUAGACAUCAUGCAUCUUUGAAAAGAAGCUGGUGCAUUACAUAACCCAAAAGACAUUCUUCGGUAAGCAUAAGUUCCAUAUGGGCAUGUAAAAGUGGUUUUGCUUUGAUCAUCAGGAUGGAUCGGGAUCUGAUGAUACCCUGAAUAUCCAUCUAAGAAACAGAAGAACGAAUGGUUCGCUAAUCGCUCUAGCAUCUCAUCUAUGAAAGGUAAAGGAAAAUGAUCCUUUCUCGUGGCUUUGUUCAGUUUUCCAUAGUCUAUGCACAUCCGCCAUCCUGUGACAGUGCGUUGCGAAAUUAGCUCGUUCUUUUCAUUCAUAAUAACAGUCAUGCCUCCCUUUUUAGGCACAACUUGAACUGGGCUCACCCACUCACUAUGCGGCACAGGAUAUAUAAUCCCUGCAUGCAGCAACUUUAUAACUUCCUUUUUAACUACCUCUCUCAUAGUGUUGUUAAGUCUACGUUGGGGUUCUCGAGAAGGUGAAACAGAAGGAUCUGUUUAAAUACGAUGGGUACAAAUCAUAGGACUGAUUCCUGUAAGAUCUUAGAGUGAGUAGCCGAAAACUGAGUGAUGUUUCUCAAGAAUGGUCAUCAAUCGCAGAGUUUGCUCCUGAGUGAGUUUAUCACUAAUGAUCACAGGGAAAUCUGGAUUAUUGUUUAGGAAAGCAUAGAUAAGACCGGGUGGUAAAGUUUUAAGCUCUAUGGUAGGUCUAGGUGUUUCUGCAAACUCAUCUAAGGGUUCAGGUUCAGAAGGUUCGGCUUCUUCUUCUAUGAAGAAAGGAGUUUCGUCUUCUAAGUCUGAUUCAUCUAAAAGCUCAAGAGAUGCAGCCUUUACCUCCUCCAUUGGAUCAGGCAAAAGAUAUGACUCGGCCUUAUUAUUUAAAGAGUGUGAAAUUGUUAUCGGGAAUUUAAAGGUUUUUCCAAAAGAAAUGUGUAGCUUUCCAGUAUGACCUUCAUAAAGGAGUCUUCUAAAAGGUUGUCCUAUCAGUAGGUCGAAGUCCCAUGUAUCAAAGAUAUAGAAGUUCAAAUGAACCAUGGAGCCUUCUACUGUAAGAGGUAGGACAUUAAUAAUUCCAAGACUGGGGACUAAUCGUCCCGAAGAUUCCUUUAUGACCUUUGUUGUGGGGGUUAAGAACAAGUUUUUAAAUAGUUUAAGUGCAAAAGAUUCAGACAUGGUGUUGAUCUCCACAACAGGAUUAUAGAGAGCAUCAAAUCGAUCAGAAUUAUAAGCACAACGUAUAGUUAUAGAGGGUGUGUCCAAAAGGAUCACAUCAGAGGAAAGCUCUGAUUCCUCCAACCACUCGCUACUCAUGACUGAGAUAAGCUCUCUUAAUUGAUAUUCACUUGGCAAACAAAUGCUAAGAUGGCUGUUUUGGGGUCUGUUAGUAGAAUGGUAGUUUGAAAUGUUUCCAAAAUCGGCAAAAAGAUCAGAUUCUAUAUCCAGCAUGAAGUCCAGUGGUGGAAUUUCUUCCUCUUGUGGCUCAGAACUUGGAAUAGCUAAAGUAGAUGAAGAAUUUGGCAGAGUGUCUACUUCGGCUUCGUAGGUUUCAUCAUGAAGGGUAUUAUCCAUCUCAGCUUCUAGGAUUCUAUCUAGGAUCACUCUAGCUUCAUCAGUAGGGAUGCGAAAGAAAGAAACUCUAGACAUUGUGUGUAGCAUUUGUUUGUGAUCUUUCUGAAGACCUCGAAAAAAGUGAAAUAAAAGAACAGGGUCUUCAAGAUUAAGGUUUGGACCAGAUUCUAAAAGAUCAGAAAAACGUUUCCAGGAUUUUCUCAAAGUUUCAUUAUCUUUUUGUUUAAAAGAUAGGACUUCGAGUCUAAGGUCGCCGAUACGGUCGAGAGAAUAAAAAUCUAGACAAAAGUUGGCUCGUAAAACUCCCCAUUCACCUCGUUGUUGACUUACCUUCUGACUGUACCAUUGUCUAGCUUCUCCCCUUAAGGAAAAAGGAAAAAGCUUCCAACGUAAAGUUUUAUUAGAAAUGCCUUCAAUGCGAAGACAAUCACAUGUUUGCUCAAAAUCUCUAAUAUGAAGGUAAGGGUUUUCGUCUUCCUUUCCCGAAAAAGAUAGGUUUUGAAUCAUGGCAAUCAACCUAGAACUUAACUUAUACUGGGAUGUUUGGAUAGGCUGUGAUGACUCCCAUGGUAAAAGGUCAGUUUCCGAAGGUGUUGCAAAUUGGUAGAUUGAUUUAGAAUCUUGGUUUUUCAUAAGGUAAGAAAAUGGAUAAAGAAUAUAAAAGAUAAGAAAAGAUAAAAGUAUAAAUACAAGCUAGUAGUAAGACUCAAGGUUAUCUCAGCAAACCGUCUUUCUCCUCGGCAACAGCGUCAGAAAUGCUUGUUGAUAUUUGGGAACACAAUAAGGAAUUGAUCCGCAAGCGCACGGAUAUCGGUGAGCACUUCACCCGGGAGAUUAUCCAGAGUAUCGUAUUUAUUUUUUUACCACUAGGAGAAAGAGUGCAUCUGACUAACCUGGUCUAUUACUACUAACCCUUUAGGCAACAAAGAAUGUUUCUUGAUGUGAGUGAUAAAUAGAGACGACUACAACCGUAAUCUCCUUCUAACCUUGGUAAGGAUGAUCUACUGUUCUAUUGGGGAGGCUAACGGAAUCUAGACACCACAGAGGAUGUUCAACCCACACCUAUAAACCCUAUCCUUCCUGCUAACGAGAUAUGGUCUGCAAAGGUAACUCGGAAAUGUCACGUUCCUCGCUACUACCACGGUCUAGCUAGUCAGGGAAUAUCUAUGAGUAUCCUAGCCUAAACACCACGUCUACGCUAGAGAUGAUUACUCUAAACUCUACGUGAAGAGAUUAAAGUAAACUCAUAAACCAAAAGAACAAUAAAACAAGAACUUACUAGAAUUUAGAAGUCGAAAUACUAAAGAAUCCUAGGAGCAAGCUUCGGGUUAGGAGAACUUGAUCCCGCAGGUACAAACUCGGAGUAGACACCGACAGGCCGGGCUUCCUCCGAUCUACACCUCCACUCUAUCUCUCUCAAUCUAGUAGAAACUAGAAGAUCUAUUUCUACUUACAUUGGAUGCUAAGCCUAAAAAGAAAUUUUAUUUAGAGGAGAGGUAUUCCUUCGAGGGCUCCUCUCAACUCUAUGAUGAACUUGUCUCCUCCAGGGGCCAGGGGGUCUGGUUUUAUAGUCCCCUCAAGUGAACGUGAGCCAUUGGAUCAAACCAACAUUGAUUGGAUAGUUAUCCUUGAUCCUUUAGGUCGGUGGAGCGUCGUCCGCGAAAAGAGUCCCGAACCAAGUCCAGGAGGGGGCGGGCGCCAGGUGAACUGGGCGGGCGCCCAGUGCCUGGCCCCGUUCGGCCUCCGCUUCCUUCUCAUGGCUUCUGGAGUCUUCUAGAUGGUAGAAAAUUGCACGGUGCGUUGAUAUCUCUAUGUGAUCCCGACAUGUGGGCCUUUCUUCCUUAUUUCCUGAUAACCCCCUGCAGAAACAGAUAAACAACAAAACUCGUGGAAUUCUGUCAGAUCAAACCCUAAUUCUAGGUGUUGGUUGCAUAUUGGUUCUUUCUCUUGUUUAUUUGAUAAUUAAAAUUGAUACUUAAGAACCGUCAACACUCAGCAUCUCAGCCCAACAGCAACCCAGUGCCCGUGCCUGCCUAGCAGAGCCCUGUGCCCGUGCCACUGACCGGUGGGUCCUCCCUAUCAGCGAUAGGGCCCUUUCCCACGCCGCCGCCACCGUUGAUCCAGCUCCUACGCAUACCAAGGACCCCCGACCUAUAAAGGCCCUUCCCCUAGUGUGCCGCGCCCCUCCCUGAACCCUAGGGCAGCCGCCGCCGCCAUAUGUACCUAGCCGCGCCACCGAUAGUGUCGUGUCGUCGAGCUCCGAGCCACCGGCGUCGAUAUCCUCCCCCGUUGUGUCUUCGUCGACGAGAACCACUCUGCAAGCUUUGCACGAAGGUGAGGACCCCAUCGAUGCCCUCGACUUAAGCCCCCCAUCCUCUACAACGCCCUCUUGGCGAGCUCCGGCGAGCUCGUGCCUGGAUUCCAUGGCGCCACCGCGCACGCAGCGCUAUCCCGACCAACUGGCACUGUCGAGAAACCUCGUCGCGAGUUCGCGAGGCCAUGAUGCGCAUCCCCGUGCCAUCCGUGUGCCCGAUUGAGCCCCAUCGCGGCCACGUCGCUAUGCUCCAGCGAGCCGCCGCCGCUGCCAUCACUUGGUUGCCCGAUCUGGAUUUUGUGGUCAGAUCUGCCCCCACCGAGUCAGCGCUCGCAUUAACAGGUGACGUGGCGCCACGUUGGCAGUGAUCAGUCAAUAGGUCAAAGUCGUUGGUCAGCACUGCCAUCUUUUCCAAAAAGGCCCCUAAGCUUUUUAGAAAAUAACCCGCAGUCCUUUUAGUUCAAAAGUAAUUAAAUUUACGCCCCUGUCUUUUCUCUUUGAGCCCCUACGCUUUAGAGAAAUAGUGCCUGCAGUCCAAAACCUUAUAAAUACCAAUUUUUAUUUAUUUAAAAUACGAAAAAUAGUUCUACUUAUUGAUAAUUUUGCCACUAACCUAGUUUUGGCCAUAGAAUCCGUGUUUUAACUCCGUUUGACCCCGUUCUUGUCGCGUUAAUUUGGUAUAGACGUAAGCUACACUUUAGCAGUGAUAGUUACCUCGUUUGACCAUUUUGAUUUUCACCAUAAAUUCAAAAAUGAUUAAUUCUUAACUAAAUGCCUUUAAACCUAUAAAAACAAUUUAUGUUUAUAACUUUGGUUUUCAUAAAACAUAUAUUAAUAUUAUUAAUACCAACAUAAAUGUCUUCUCAAUUAUGACCUACUUAAUAUAUUCUUAUUCCAUAAAUGCUUUGUUUGACUUUUGUCAUGAGUUUCAUGUUUUCUAAAAAUUAUAAAUGAUAGCGAUAUAAUAAUAUUAAAUGUUUAUAAAUAAAACAUGACUAAAGUUUAAUCUCGGCUUUUACCAUUCCUUAUAAAUUGGUUAAUUUAGCUAUGUAUCCAUCAUCUCCUUUCAUCAAAUAAAAUGUGACAAGCGUAUAGUUUGUCUUUUUCGUUAAGUUGCAUGCCUCGAUAGCCAAGUCCGUUUAAGGAAUAGCUCCGUUCUCAAUCGUUCUUCCAUUAUCUCGAUCAUAGCAGCGAGUCAUGGCAUUUAGUAUGCUCUCUUUCAAAGCUUUUCUUUUGAUUGUCGUUUGUUCUUAGUCGUGAUUUUUAUUUGUCCAUUUUUGUUCUUGGUUGCUUUGAGUAGAAGAAGCGUGGUUCGUUAGCGCCGAAGACCAGGAGCUGAGGACCGACAGUUGCAGUAGAAGAUGGAGAUCUAAAAGAUAGAAACUAAAGACUUCCGAGAAGUUGUACACUAGGAAUAAAGGCAAGUGCAGGCACCCUUUGAUCAUAUUGUACCUAUGAACUUUAAAUAUAUUUACUUUACAUUGUAUGAGUCUUAAUACUGCAAACUCUAAGGACUCGACUAGCCCUUUACUACUAUUCCGUGUAUAUCUAGGUCUAUACAUGGGUAGUAUAGUGAAUAGUAGAUAUGCUUAGCUGCUCUGCUCAUCUAUUCCAUAUAAUAAAUGAAAGUAAAUAAUCUUGCUUAAUAAAUUCUUCAAUGAUGAUUAAUGUUUAAAUGAUGAACAAUGGCCACUUCGAUGAUGGAGAUGUUGCGGUGCUUGCGAGCAUCGUGGUUUGUUGAGGAAAGGGGAGCGAGUAUUGGAGCUUGGCCUGGUUUCCAGGGGUACUCGUUGCCGCCCUCCGUAAGGACUUAGUCAUGGAGCGGCCCCCUGGGACUUUACAGCUUCAAGCUAUAUGACUCUGGCUUGACGUAGUAUCAGGACCUCUACGUAGGGUGUGACUUUCUGGAUAGGCGUAAAGAAGUAGCUUGGGUAUUCAUAUUAAGAGGUCGGUCAGUUCGGGGUCCCAUUGCUAUGGGCACGGCUGCCGCGCGCCCCGGCCAAAACUUACGAGUUGCACUCUAUUAGCUAGAACCUGUGAAAAGUCUCAUAGUGAAACCCUGCCUGCUCACCUUGGUAGUGUUUUGGGGAGUCUCGACCCCGAGCAAAUGGGAAUUAUGACUUGAAGUGAAAGUGAGGAGAGUUUGAUCAAACUGAUAUAUCAGUCGUGCUUACAGUCACGAGUGGCCCAGACUCUCACAUGAUGAGCAAAUUGAAAUCACAUGGAAUUUGGAGGCGGAACUUGGUUGAGGUUGCUACCUCGUGCUUUGGCGAAAUGGUUAUUUCAUGUUGGCAGGAUUGUUAUCCUGUGUUCUUAAUUGGGAUUGUUAUGUCAUGACCUUAAAGGGGUUGCUACCCCGAGUUAGUAUCCGAGGUUGCUACCUUGAAAAUUUUAAUAAUAAUAAUAAUAAUAAUAAUAAUAAUAAUAAUAAUAAUAAUAAUAAUAAUAAUAAUAAUAAUAAUAAUAAUAAUAAUAAUAAUAAUAAUAAUAAUAAUAAUAAUAAUAAUAAUAAUAAUAAUAAUAAUAAUAAUAAUAAUAAUAAUAAUAAUAAUAAUAAUAAUAAUAAUAAUAAUAAUAAUAAUAAUAAUAAUAAUAAUAAUAAUAAUAAUAAUAAUAAUAAUAAUAAUAAUAAUAAUAAUAAUAAUAAUAAUAAUAAUAAUAAUAAUGAUGACUAAUAAUAUUAUUAAUUUACUUUUAAUUAAGGGUUGGGAUGUUCUACUCAGUUGUUUUAAUAAUAAAGUUGUAAUAAAAUUUUACCAACUAAAAAGCUCACAUGCAGUUAAACAGUGUUAGCUUUUCUUUUGAUUAAGCCUUGCAUGUUAUUAUACUUUCUGCCUGUACUUAUUGAAUUCGACAUGAACUCACCCUUGCUAUUCUCCCCACACCCCUAAUAUGUAGUAAAGUGCUGCUCAGAAGAAGGACAAAGAUGUCAUGGAGUUUUCUAAAAGUUGACGUACAGAGCUCCUAGUCAGCCGUCCCUGAGAAGAAUGGAGCCUAAAAAGUUUACGAACUGUUUCCACGUACUGUGAUAGUUGUAAGUAUUAAUAUAAAUAUGUUUUCCGCUAUAUAUAAUAUUGUUUCUGAUAUUUUUAUUCUUUUGUUGUAUGUGUGGAUUUUCUGGGCACACAUAUGACGACUCUAGUCCACUUUUAAAAAACCAGGGUGUUAUAUUUCAUCCCCGACGCGGUGCUAGUUCUGGCAAAUCCAGCUGUGCUUUGGCGCUUAGGCGGCUUGACUGCAUCGACUUCCGCAUCGACCCUCCUAUUUCCACCCUGUCUGCCUCGAUUGCGUCGUUCCCGUCCUGUCUGCCUCGAUUAUGAAUAUUUUGGCAGUGAUGUUUUUUAGAAAAUAGUCAAUUGUUAAAAGGCCCAUAAUGCUAUAUUUAUUAUUUUUAUAUUUAUUUAUUAUAAAAAAAGCCAAAAACUACCUGAGUAAGCGCAAACAAAAAGGAAAAAAUGGGAAACACAUGUAUAUUUUUUCUUAUCAUCGUUUUCUAUUAAUAUUUGAUAGUUUCUUUUUUCUCCAGUUGCAAUAUACGGACAUAUUUGCUAGUGUAUACUUAAAUGUGGUCAAAUUCUUAGGCCUUGUUUAGAUGCGAAAAGAUUUUAGAUUUCGCUACUGUAGCACUUUCGUUUGUUUGUGGCAAAUAUUGUCUAAUUAUGGACUAACUAUUAUAAAAAGAUCCGUCUCGCGAUUUAUAGUUAAACUAUGCAAUUAGUUUUUUAUUUUCAUUUAUAUUUAAAGCUUCAUGCAUGUGCUGAAAGAUUCGAUGUGACAGAAAAUCUUAAAAACUUUUUGGUUUUUGGGGUGAACUAAACUCUUAAUCAAUAGCAAAUCUAUGAGCUACUCAGGUGAGUCAAUUAGAAGUAAAUGCCUAGAGCACAAUGUUUACUUCUGAUGUCAUUCAAUCACUCCUAUAUCCCGUCUGGCUCUCGCUACACUCCACUUGGUUCGGUAGUCAAAUGAACUGAACUUUUUUAUUAGGUAUACCAACUGGAAAAUUCAAGGUCCGACACCACCCAGCCUAGCUACACAUUGUAUCUGGUUUCAGCAAAACCACAUAACCUUGCGCCGCAUUACAGGAGUAAGGAGUUGUUACUAUUUAGAUCGUACGGUACUAGGAUAUGUGCAAACAAGAUGCAGACAUAAAUUAAACAGCCUUGGCGAAUCUUGGAGAGAAAUCAUGUGGUGGAGUAGGUAAUAAAGGAAUGAGCUCUUGGUUCAGUGGAAUGUCAGAUUACAAAGUUUGGAAGCAUUAUUUAGAUCUGCCGUCUAAGUUUUGUUUGGUCAGCCACGCCUAUAAUAAACAAACUAACAAUCAAGAUGGAUCGAUGAUUCAUUGUACUUGGUGUGUGGCUUUCAUAGCGCAACUUGGCGCCCUUGAUUUGUUUAAAUCAUGCAUACCGUCUCUAAAGGUUUUGUCGCUUUGAUUCUAUUUGAUGCAUGCAUACGAUGGAUGCUGAUGUUGUUUAGGCUAUUAUAUCAUUUCAGAUAUAUGUGGUCAGGGGCGGACCCAAGAUCAAGCGCGGGCCCAGACUGAUAUGAAUGAAAUUGCUACAACUAAAUUACUAAAGCCUAAUCCUUCAUUGUUCAAGUGAUUUACUAUUGAUUUAUUUGGUCAAGGCCCAGGCUGCAGCACUGGUAGCCCGGGGCCGGUGUCCGCCACUGUAUGUGGUGGCUUGUUCCAAUGCUGCUCAAGUUCUUGUCAAAAAAAAAUGCUGCUCAAGUGGCACAUCAUUAUUGGUUAGCUACAAACCAGUGAUGAUAAAUUGAUAAUGUAUCCACACUACUCAACGGCUAUAGGCUUAAAUCAAUCAAAGAGCUAGGUAGGAACAACUGAAAGUGAUACCUGUUGGAUUUUAACUGGACUUGGCUAAAGGGUCUCUAGCUCAGUUGGUUAGAGGAACCCAGUGGCACUCCUUAGCUUCUGGAUUCGACUUCCCAUGGACCGAAUUUUUAGGCUAAGGUUAAAAAAUCUCCUUUUCUAUCCCAUGCCAAAGUAUAGGUCCGAGGCUCGGUUCUCACAUGGGCUACGAUGCCGCUAUGUGUAUGGGUGGGGUAGGGGUUUGGGGUCUUCUUCUUAAUGUAAUGCUCGGGGGCUCUCUUAACCUCCGCAAGUCAAGUUUUUUUUAAUUGAGCUUGAUUUUAUUUAAUUAAAAUAAAGGCAAAUAAUUUUGAAGGCGCAUAUUACUGUACAAUAAAGGUGUGGUCCUAUGUGCGAUUCUAACUUUUUUUUGGCGGGAAAGGCUGAGCUUUAUAAAUCAAGAAGUGUUACAUCAUUUGCCAAUGACCUUACAGCAAAAUCAGGUACAUGUUGUAGCUACACUGCUGAUGACAAAACUUUACAAGCAUGUUUUGCUAGAAGAUCAACAUCCAUAUUUUUUUUAUCUGAAACAAGUCUGCUGUGAGCACUUAGCGUGCAUAUUCUCUUCUCUUUUAUGAAAGUAAACUCAGCCCCCUAAAGUUCAUGCGUGAGCACUCGUGUUUCCGUUACUUGUAGGGUCAUACGGGACCUAUUAUCAGUUUGUGAAUUCAAGGCCUGAAAAUUGUAUAACAAUCAAUUUCGGCGAUAGCCGGGUGAGGUAUCCAUUGUAUAGCUAGAAGAAGAGCCUCUCUAUAGGCAAGUAACUCAGCCUCUACAUCAAAACAAUCAAAUUGAACUUUUGCCGAAGCUAGUACCACAUCUGCUAUUUCAUCCCUCGCUAUUAUCCCAUGGCCUGCUAUAUUAGUUUCCUUGUAAAAAAUAACAUCAACAUUAAUUUUCACCCUACCAGGUUGAGGAGGUUUCUAACGAUAGAUAGAAUUUCUAGCAGAAUAAGUCCUAGUCUUUUUUUUUCUUUUCCUGUGUGUACCCACUAUUCAUUUGCCUUUGUUAUCCUCGGGCUGAUGCUUUUGUCGGAUUUGUAAUAGCGAAGCUUUUGAUCUGAAAACGGACAGAAUCUUCAAUUGACAUCUGCUAGCCUCCCUAAGAGAUUAUGGGCGCGUUUGAUUUGCUGACUCAGGAGCGCCAGGCCGCCGAGCCAGGCCUAGACCAGCCAUGGCUUGGCUGCCAUGGGCCAAGGCUCUUGUUUGAUUGUAUUUUAGGAAAAACAACUGGCCUAGGUGAUCUUUUGUUUGAUUCCCAUUUAAAAGCCUGGCUAACAGUCCACACUACUUGCCUGUGCCCAAAAAUGGCCCGCGCGAGCUCGAGCUCAGCCUGGCUCUGAAAAAACAAGGAGAGAAGCGUUUCUGGAGAGACAGGAGAGAGAAGGUAUUUUGCAGCCCAAGAGCUAGGCCAAGAGAUAGGCCAAAUAUGCCAAACACAAUUAGAGGAAUCUUGGCCCAUAUCAAAUGCGUCCUAUAGGCCCGAGGACACGUGAUGAGCCCUCAAUUGGCAUCUGCUAGCUCCUGAGAGAUUGUAGGUCCGAGGACACGUGAUGAGAGCUGGACUCUGCUUUUGGCUUUGAGCUUUCUACUUUUCCAAAUGUGUGCAGAGACAUUUUAUUAAGGGAGACAAAAGAGAAGCGGUUAGUUUUGUAGUUGUUUCAACCAAACAGCUUACAACUUUUUUACAGCAUAUAGUUCACAAUAGUUUUUCCACAACUUACAACAGUUUUUCCACAUCUCAUAGCUAAUCCAAACAGACCCGUAACAUGUGCAUUUGGCAAAAUUUUCCUAGGGUCAUUUUUGGGUCAUCAUUGCAUUUGAAAUGAUUUGCACAAAUAAGUGUGUAUCGUACAUGCAUAUUCCUAGUUCAAAUGCAUCAAAAAAAAUGCAUCAGAAAUCAUAUUCCUCAGGGUACCACAUUUUCUUCUGGGAGAAGGGAUAUUAUCCUUCUAGAAGAACAACGUGUGCAUUCACCUGGUUUGAAGAUAUUUCUUUUUUAGCAAAGGUUCCUUUACAACUUUGAAUAGGUUGACUGCGAACCACGCAUUCGCUUUACCAUCCUUGAGAGGUACGAAGGCAACAUUAAUGACAAUUUACAUAAAUAUAACUGUUCCUACAUUACCAUAAUAAAAAAUGUUCCAGAUGUUAAGAAUGAAAGAGAGUCUUUAAGAUUUGCCUCUCGGUAAGAUUAUAAGAACUCUCCAACGGUUAUAAUUACAAGAUGAAAGUGCUACGGCCAGGCAAUCUUGAAGUAUAUAUUCUGUGGACGCAGUAGAUCAAGCAUAAGCAAGAGAAGUUCGACGAUUGAAUUAAACAAGUGAAACCCUUCAGAUUGGGCCCAUGUGCGACCCUUCAGAUUGGGCAUUAUGCACACUAAACAAGUGAUGAUAAUCGUAAGAUUUGCUUGCAACAGUGUACAAGAACGUCACUUCCAAGUGCAACCAGACUGUAACUUCUUGUUGCACCUUCCAAGUAAAAGAGCUCACAGCCAACCUCUGAAGCAGACACAUCCGGCUCGCUGCUCAAAUUACUGAGAAAAAACAAAGUGACAAAUGCCUGCACGAGCAAAUAAGAACAUGCAUCAGCAGGUGAUCAUGGGAUUUCCCCUGAAAUUUUCGGCCUGAUAGUGUCCAGUGCAAGUGUACAAAAGGGCCUCGUCUGGGCCAAUACAGAGUGUAUAAAUGGCCACAAGGCCGAUGAAAAAUGUCAGAACAGAAACAGCACAGAAACCUUUGCUGAACUGAAAAUCAGGAUAGAAAUAAUAAGAAGGCCAAGAGCAUUCUCGGUGUACACUCAUGGACAAGCCCAGCCAGGUUAUCAUCUAGCAGUCUGUUACAUUGCCGUUUCAGUAGCUCUGGUAUUUCCUUCUUUCCCUUCUCAUGUUCACCAGAUUUAUGAGCAGUACAAUGGAUCAUAUGCAAAUUAUUUUCCUUUCUACUGCAAUAGUACAUCGGUGUCUAUUAAAAUUUAUUUAACGAUAACAAAAGGAAGAAAAGCAAAGAUGUAAUGACAUACCAUGAACUAUCUCAGCAUUUAUUUUGCAGCAGGGUACCAUACCAGAGAACAUAGUUUCAACUGAGGAGCUACGAAUUCGUGAUGAGUUGGAGGCAGAGAUAGAGGACGACUUGGAACAUGAAAUCAUCGAUAGCAUGUGCCGCCUCGCACGCCACCUUCAGAGGCUGUAUCAGCAGAGGAAUAUAAGAGAAUUUACUGGAUCUGUCACUGAUUACCAGUUUCCACAGCCCCAUGCAGAAAAUGCACUUCUUCUGGAGAUGAAUAUCAGGAUAAAAUUGGAUGACCAAAGCCAGAUUGACAUAACCAACGUAGAGAAAGAUGAUGCUGCCAUUCAACCAAAUUCAUGUCCCAGUUCUGAUGAAUCUGACAAAAGGUCAUUGAAGAUAAGGCACAGUGAUGCAGUUCCCUGCAGGAAGCAUCCCAACCAUCCAGUUGUGCCAUGGAGAUAAGUUGAAUGGACAAGAAUGGGUAUUGCAACUGAAUAACAAUAUGUCAUACAACUUGGGAUGUUCUGUUUGCGCAAGAAAUAAACAAUAUCAUGUAAUUCUAGUAUAUAUUAACAUAGUAUGAAUUCUACAAUGCAUUAACUUGUUCAUGGAGAAACCAUUAAAAAUCAUUAAUAACAUGGUUUUAAUUCUAUAAUUAGCAAUCAGAUGAUUACUACCAACAGAAAAAAGCAUUUGGGACUCGAAUGAUAAAAUAGAGUUAAGUGAGGUAGCUGAGGAUAAACAGAAUCAGAGCUGAACUCUUGGUGACGCCUUGUUUGUUUGAGCUUAUCAGCCGAAUCUGCCAGCCGUUCAGCAUGUGUAGAUUGCCCUGAUCUUUGUAUUACGCAUUCCCCUUGUGAAAAAGGUGCAUUUCUGAAUGCCUCAACGCGGAGUGGCACAUCCCCGGACUGCAUAAUUAAGAGAGGGACUUGUGAGUGAUAAUCUGCUGUCCCCCUUUUCCCUUUGACCUACGUUUUGCAGGAACAAGUGGUCAGCCUCAGCUGCAACUGUAGAAGUAUGGCAAUAGGCCAUUGAAUCACUCAUAGUUGGUAGAAGUACACCAUAGUUGGUAGUACACCAGCUAGAGUAGAGGGCUGGUAUGUGCAGGUACAAGAGCAGUUGAUGGCUGAUAUAAGCCAUGUAGAGUAGUUGUAUGGAGUGGUGUAGUCACCAUCCAAGUAGUGUAUAUAUACUCUACCUAUGCAAUGAGAAAAGGCAGUUCACUUGCCACCAUUUCCUGUGUUCAUUCUUCAGCCAACGCUGAAAACAGUGUGCUGUGUGUGUGUGUGUGAAGUGAGUCCUGCUCAUCUUCUACCUUGGGACAGGGGAGAAGGAGAGGAGAAGAGGGGAGCAGGUCCUGCUCACCUCGGGCAAGUGCUGGGCCAACACGUGGUAUCGGAGCCGGAAACCGUUGCUAGGUCCAACGACUGGCAAUGGCGGACGCGGUACUGCAGGAAGGCGGCGGCGGUGGCACGCUCCAGCUAGGGCCGCAGCAGGUGGAGGUGCGCGUGGUGGAGGAGUAUGGCGGGACCAACUCCUGGCCCAUGCUCACCCACACCAACUACGGCGAGUGGGCGGUCCAGAUGAAGUGGAAGUUCUGCGGCCGCAAGUGGUGGAAGGCGAUCGAAGAAGAUGACCGGAGCGAGGAUGCCCAGGUGGGCAUCAUGGAGGCGCUCAUGGCUUCCACACCGGCAGAGUACCAUGAGGCGCUCGGAGCGAAGGAGACCGCGAAGGAAGCGUGGGAGAUGCUGGAGUCCUUCCGCGUCGGCUCGGACCGAGCCAAGCGGGCCAAGAUUCAGCAGUUGCGUCGGGAGCUCAACGACAUCCGGUUCAAGUCCGGUGAGUCGGUUGAAGAAUUCGCGCUUCGACUUCAGUCGCUAGCAAGCCAGCUGGCGAGCUAUGGCAAGUCGGUGGACGACGAGGAUCUCGUUACCAAGCUCUUGUGCGUGGUGCCAGCGAAGUACUCGCAGCUCGCCAUGUCCAUUGAGACGAUGCUAGACAUCUCCACAUUGUCUCUUGAGGACGUGCCUGGGCGGCUACCAGUAGUGUAGAGUCGCAGCACGGCGGCGCAGGAGAAGGAGAAGCCCAAGCUCUUGCUGUCCGAGGAGGAGUGGACGGUGCGCAUGAAGGAGAAGCGUCGAGCAGGGGAAGGCUCCAGCCGUGGCGGUGGUGACCGCGGCGGCGGCGGCAAGCAGCAGGGAAAGGGCUCGGUGGACAAGAAGGCAAGAAGAAGUUCACCGAACCGAACGCCUGUCGCAAGUGCGGCAAGGUCGGGCACUGGGCACGCGAAUGCCCGGGUCAAAAGCCGGAGAAGGAGGCGCAUCUAGCGGCUGCGGACAGCAACGGCGACGAGCACGCUCUCAUGAUGGGGGAGUACUACGCGCUCCAAGGUGAAACAGGGAGGCGGAGGCGGAGGAAGGGACUGCUGCGUGUACCAUCGAUCUUGACGAGCCACGGGCGCAGGUCCAUCUGGGGGCAGUUGGCGACGAGCGCGAGCAACCAUAUGACGGGGUGCCGCGCAGUCUUCUCCAAGCUGGAUGAAGAAACCACCAGGAGCGUCAAGUUCGGUGAUGGCUCCCGGGUGGCGAUCCGCAGCCAUGGCACCGUCCUGUUCCGGUGUCGGAAUGGCGAACAUCGGGCGCUGACGGAUGUCUACUGGAUCCCACAGCUAAAGACGAGCAUCAUCAGCCUCGGGCAGCUGGACGACACGGUGCUAAGGUGGUGAUCAAGGGCGGUGUGCUGCGGAUUCGUGACCAAGAGCGGCGGUUGCUGGCUAAGGUCACAAGGUCGAAGAAUCGGCUGUUCUUGCUGGACCUGAAGGUCGAACAGCUGCUAUGCCUGGCGGCACAGUGCACGGAAGAGUCGUGGCUGUGGCAUGGCUGCUACGGGCAUUUUUACUUCAACGCGCUGGGCAAGCUGGCGGCGAUGGUGAGGGGAAUGCCCAACAGCUGCCUGGUGGGGAAGCAGAGAAGAUUGUUGUUCCCCAAGGCGCCAGUUCACGGCGACUUAUGCGGACCCAUCACUCCGGCCACGCAUGGCGGGCGGAGGUACUUCCUCCUGCUCGUAGAUGACUGCAGUCGAUACAUGUGGCUGCAGCUUCUGGCGAGCAAAGGCGAAGCAGCGGACGCCAUCAAGCACUUCAAGGAGACGGUGGAGGCGGAGUCUGGGAAGAAGCUGAACGUGUUGCGGACGGACCGUGGCGGCAAGUUCACGGCGUAGAGUUCGCCACUUACUGCACGGAGGAGGGGUGGAACGCCAUCUCACGACACCCUACUCACCGCAGCAGAACGGCGUGGUGGAAUGUCGAAACCAGACCAUCGUCGGGAUGGCAAGGUGCAUGUUGAAGGCCAAGGGGAUGCCGGCGGCGUUCUGGGGCGAGGCAAUGAGCACGGCGGUGUUCAUUCACAACAGCUCCCACAAAGGCACUGGAGGGGAAGACGCCAUUCGAGGCGUGGCGUUCAUGCACACGUUCGGGUGCAUCGGGCACGUGAAGAACACCAAGCCCGGCCUCACCAAGCUUGAAGACAGGAGCACCAAGAUGGUGUUCCUCGGCUACGAGGAAGGGUCAAAAGCCUACAGGCUCUACGAUCCAGUCGCCGGGAGGGUGACAGUGUCCCGCGACGUCAUGUUCGACAAUGCGGCGGCAUGGAGAUGGGAUGAGGAAGAGACGGCAGAAGGAGAGGGCGCGCACGGGAUCAGCGGGUCCUUCGUCGUUGAGCAACUUGUCAUCACCAGCCAGGUCCACACGCCAGCAGGAGUCGUGGAGGGAGCGGUUGCCCCUGGAGCAGGGGAAGCAGGGGACGGGGCGCCAACAGCAGGGGAAGCUGAGCCGCCCAGUCCAGCCACGACGGGCGGUACUCCGUCUCACUCUGCUCUGGGACAAGAGCAGGGGACUCCGAUGACGGCUCAGAUCGAGUUGCCACUCCACCUCCAGACGUCACCGAGUUCAUGGAUGCCUUCCACGACGGCGAGGUACAAUUCCGCCGCGUGGACAACAUCCUCGAUGAUGCAGCAACUCCAGGUUUGGCAGCACAGCAGCUAGGUGAAGAGGAGGAGCUUAUGAUGAUGAGCACAGAGGAGUCGGCCACCUUCACAGCUGCGGAGCGCGAACCGGAGUGGCGGCGGGCUAUGCUCGAGGAAAUGCGGCAGAUUGAAGCAAAUCAGACCUAGGACUUGGUCGAUCCACCGGCAGAAUGCCGGCCGAUUGGACUCAAAUGGGUCUACAAGGUGAAGAAGGACGAGUAUGGCGCGGUGGUGAAGCACAAGGCGCGGCUCGUCGCUCGGGGGUUCGUGCGGAGAGAGGGGAUCGAUUUCGAGGAGGUGUUCACGCCAAUGGCACACAUGGAGUCGGUGCAGCUCGUGCUAGCCAUGGCGGCGGCCAAGGACUGGGCAGUCCACCACCUCGACGUCAAGUCCGCUUUCCUCAACGGCGACUUGUCGGAGGUCUUCGUGAGGCAGGCUCCAGGCUUCGUCGUGAAGGAGGCCGAGCACAAGGUGCUCCGCCUUAGGAAGGCGCUCUACGGUUUGCGGCAGGCGCCGCGGGCCUGGAACUCCAAGCUCGACACCACCAUGGCGGAGCUCAAGUUCGCACGGUGCGCCACAGAGCACGCCCUAUACACCCGCCGACGGGGGAAGGAAGAGCUUGUCGUCAGGGUGUGCGUUGAUGACUUGAUCGUCACCGGUGCGUGGGAGAAGGACAUUGCAUCCUUCAAAGUCGAGAUGGCUGCACGGUUUCAGAUGACCAACCUCAGCACGCUGAGCUACUACCUCGGCAUCGAGGUGAGACAGGGAAGCAGGGCAGUCACGUUGGGGCAGCGCGCCUACGCGCGGAAGCUGCUAGAGCGGGCCGGCAUGGCCAACUGCAAGCCUGCGGCGACCCCGAUGGAAGAGUGGAUCAAGCUGUCGAAGCAGAGCGCGACGGAGAAGGUGGACGCGACGCACUACCGGAGCAUUGUCGGCGGGCUGCGCUAGCUCACCCAUACUCGGCCGGACAUCGCGUUCGCGGUCGGGUAUGUGAGCCGGUUCAUGGAAGAUCCGCGGAAGGAUCACUGGAUGGCAGUCAAGCGGGUGUUGCGCUACAUCCAGGGGUCGGUGGACUAGGCUCUCGUCUUCCCUAAAGGCGAUGGGUCUGAUGGAGGCGAGCUGGAGCUCACGGCUUUCAGUGAUGCGGACAUGGUGGCGAUGUCGAUGGACGGCGCAGCACCUCAGGCGUGCUGGUCUUCCUCGGCGCAGCACCUGUUGCCUGGCAGUCGCUAAAGCAGAAGACGGUGGCGCUAUCGACUUGCGAAGCAGAAUACGUCGCCGCCGCCACCGCAGCAUGCCAGUUGGUGUGGAUGCGCCGGCUGCUGGGGGAGCUCACAGGUGCUGAGCCCCGGCUGCCAGCGCUGAAGGUGGACAACCAGCCAGCAAUAGCGCUGGCGGCAAAGAACCCUGUCCUCCACGACCGAAGCAAACACAUUGAUGUGAAGUUCCACUUCCUUCGUGAUUGCGUCGAGGAGAGGCAGAUCGUCAUCGAGUUCGUCGACACAAAUCGGCAACUCGCUGACAUUCUCACCAAGUCACUUGGCAGGCUUCGGUUCAUGGAGCUAAGGGGGCUGAUGGGCAUGGAGUUCAAGGGCUGACAAGCAGGAUUAGGGGAAGAUUGUGAGUGAUAAUCUGCUGUCCCCCUUUUCCCUUUGACCUACGUUUUGCAGGAACAAGUGGUCAGCCUCAGCUGCCACUGUAGAAGUAUGGCAAUAGGCCAUUGAAUCACUCAUAGUUGGUAGAAGUACACCAUAGUUGGUAGAAGUACACCAGCUAGAGUAGAGGGCUGGUAUGGGCAGGUACAAGAGUAGUUGAUGGAUGAUAUAAGCCAUGUAGAGUAGUUGUAUGGAGUGGUGUAGUCACCAUCCAAGUAGUGUACCAACAGGUACAUAUUUUGUGUAUAUAUACUCUACCUAUGCAAUGAGAAAAGACAGUUCACUUGCCACCAUUUCCUGUGUUCAGUCUUCAGCCAACACUGAAAACAGUGUGCUGUGUGUGUAUGUGUGAAGUGAGCCCUGCUCAUCUUCUACCUUGGGACAGGGGAGAAGGAGAGGAGAGGAGGGGAGCAGGUCCUGCUCACCUCAGGCAAGUGCUGGGCCAACAGGACUCAGUCCCUAUAGGCCUUUUCCAUGUAUCUCUUUAGCAGGCAUCUCUGCAAAACCCUCCCUCUUCUCUCUCUGCUCUCUCGUGCAAGGAGGGAGAGUUCAAGAUUGAACCCUCUACCCAUAGUGGUUCAACUCUCUCUCCCUCUACCAACUACCUGAGUUAACUGAUGUGGUUCAACUCCCUCUCUCUCAGACGUACAUGCAGGUAAUUGCGGCAUGGAAUGGUCCUCAAUGAAUUGCGGAGAGCUUAUUUACUAAAUUUUGCAAAUCAAUUAUAAUGUUCGAUCUCAGUCUGAGCUUCUUUUGUGCACGGAUGUGUAUGCGAAAGACUACUAUAGUUCCAUGAUAGCCACUGGCAAUCCAAAAAAAAAUAAAAAAUUGGAAGUUACUGGCAAUCCAAUUGGAUUUGCUCAUCUCCUGAUGUUGGGGAAAGAUCUUCAUUACUAAAUCUGAUCAACCAAUACAACAAAAACUACCAGUUCGCAUUUGAAGGGUAACCAUCCAUCUGCCUGAGAGGGUCAGUGAUAUUGCCCCAUACCACUGACAGUUGGAUAUCUAGUAAUUAUCAUGAAUUAAAAGGGUUAACAUGAAUAAGAACAUCUGAAGUACUAAAAGAGGAUCGUCUAUUACGGAACCCUAAAAUAGACUCUUCUUUUCUUUUGUAAAGGCGUUUGUUUUGCUGAUUCUAAGACUUGAGAGAUAUGCUUGGAGCGCUGCAAUCUUUUCAGUUCUAUGUAAAUACCAUCUAAUUUGAAAAAACUAAAUGUUGACUUGAUAGGUUUCUUUAGCAUUUGUGUUGGCUAUAACAGCUUUUGCUUCUGAUAUCUACUACUUUUAAUUGGCUUAGAAAACUUUAUUCCAUAAUCAUUGGGGUACUAUACUAUAUUUAAGUCAUUUUUUAACAAUCACCUUCCUAUGAUAUAUAAUUAAUUAAUGUAUCAUGUAUCCUCAUUAUUUAGGUAGCUAUUCCUUCUGAAACAGGUAAACAACAAAACAUAAUACACAGAUGUGCAUAUAUCAGCUGAUUUAUUAUCACAAACAACAUAUACCUCAACUGAAGUGAUGAAAAAUAUAAAUUAAACAAGUGCUGGCAGAAGCAAUUACCAAUAUACAAGCGGGAGUCACAACUCACAAGCCUUGGUACGAACAAGUAAUUAUCAAUAAAUCUGUUUUCCAAGCAUGGAUCCUCCAUCUUCUUUCAGUGGUAGCUCAGUUAAGAAACAACAAAGCUCUCCUUGUGUCAUGUGGGGCCACAGCCCCUCUAGGAGGAGAGCCAGCCGAGGUCCAGCUACCCUAGGGCUCAACACCCAUGACACCUUGCAUACUUGUGAAAGGUUUGUCAGUAAGGUUAAAGGGAUAGAAAUGGUCUACUGCAACAAAAAAGGCAAAGUGAGAAGCACAUGUAAACAUGUUUGAUUUUUUUUCAGAAUUAAGGGUAUGAAAUAGGAAAAACUCGGAUUUGCCCUUAUGCUCCAAAAAACAGUUGCAAAUGGUGCUAAACAUAGAAACCACAAGUGUUUCCUUCUGUUUACUGAUGACCCUGAAACAAUAGGUUUAUAUAUGAUAAGUAGUGUAUUGAGAGUGAGAGUGAGAGAGACAGAGAGAGAGAACGAAAAAGAGAGAGAGAGGGAGAUAGAGAGAAUAUAUUUUACUGUGUGGUCGUAAGAGAUUCCAAAAAAAUAAAAAUGUGAUCCAACAUUAGACCAGUUAUUCCAAUGCUUUCUAGGUGCUCAGCAUACACUCUACAAUCUAUAGGAGUCGACGCAAGGUGCCACUCUUCAACCCAAGUUGUCAUCGUUCCUCAGUCCAGCUCUGAUUCACACUGCAGCAAUGUUGCUGAGCUUUGUCACCAGAAAUACAGGGUGGGAAGACAUAGGGCAUGAACUGGGAGUGGGCGCACUCGUGGCAUGCCUGAGAUCUUCGAUAGAGAGAACCUGCAGUGGGUACUGGCGUACUGCCAUCCCCAUGCCAUAGCUUACUGUUUGAGAAGGGAGAGGGCUAGGCCCAAGCCGUCAAUGAAGAGGAGCCAUGUCACUCCACGAGUCCACGUCAUCAGUGGUCACUAUGGGGUGCCCACAGGAGCGGUGGCUGCUCUGGCAGGCAUGGCAGCACGAGGACCUGUAGGCUGUAGCCAAGAUCCGCGAACUGCUGGAAGCUCACUAGGAUCCAAGGACAGUGACGCUUAUUGCCUCCUCCAGCAACUGCAUCUAGAUAUCACACCAAAAUGGAGGCCGCAAAACCAUGUCCAACUGUGGGAGAGAGAAGGUGCCUGAUUGUAAUUGAGAGAUGAAGGGACGGAGAAAGAAAGAAUCACAAGAAACGUGAGGUACUUAGGCUAUUUGCCACAGUCAGACAUCUUGGACAAAAGAUGUUUAGGUUCCACUGGCAUGAACAUAUCAACUUCUGAGAACCAGUGGCACAAACCUAAUAAUAAUUUCAAAAGGAGAUCAAUGUCAGAACAGUAAUUGACGCAAUCAUCCUCAAACUAUUACCACCAUCAACUUGCAAUUGCUACAGUGCAUUUUCCCAAUCCAAGUAUCCAACUAUUGUAGAUAAAAUAUUUUUUUGCCGUAUUCAAGUAAUAAACUUAUAUUCUGAACAGGCAAAAAGAAUUUACAUACUACGUCAUCCUGCACACACAUAUUAUUGAGGUGGUGAGUCAUAUAUAUGGGAUUUCAGGAACCCACAUAUGCCCAGCAGGAGGGCAUGCACUACAGCAAGGGAAAGAUAUAACAGCCUGGAACUAGCAAGAUUUCAACCAAAAUCAAAUUAUCCAAACAUCAGAACUAGGUUUCUGUUAUAAAUAUUCAUGACCUGAUUUCUUUGAGUGUGCAAACAGAAUUCCAAGAUCAAUUUCUCAGUAAAAUAAAGAGGGGGGGCGGGGGGGGGGGGGGGGGGGGGGAGGGAGGAAAUAGAGUACAGCAGGUAAAAAUAGGCAUACAUGGGCAAUUGAUCAUAUCAAAACCCAAAUUGAACCAACAAAGCUGUGUAUUGACAUCAUCAAUCGCAGGGGCAAAAACUUGAGUUCAUGAAAUUUGAUAUCUAUGCCUGGAACACUCCUUAAAAUAAGAUGGGUAUAAGCCUAUUUACUGUAAUCUCGGAAGCUUGAAUCACUCCUUAACAUCAAAAGGUCUGGUAAGAGCUUCCUACCUAUUGUGCUGAACCUAGUGGUAUGUUGCUGCUGCCACCACCCAAUCCGGCUUUCUGCCCCAAUUCUGCCAGUUGGUGAAUAAACUCGGACCCACUCAGAAUUUCUGUUGCACCAUAAAUAACAUGCUUGGAAGGCUGUGAGUGUUGCACUAGCUCCAUCAAGCUCUUGUACUCAAUGUAAUUUCCACCACCGAUCAUGAAAACAACAGCUUCUCUGAAGGGUCCUUUAAACUGCCCACCAGUUCCUGACCUAGGAGCCCGUGGAUCAAACAAAAGGUAGUCAUCCACCUCUGGGUUUGGUUUCCCUUCCAUCAGAGCUUCAACUGUUCUUGUCAAGGCCAGCUGCCUCCCAUCUGACAAGAGAUUCUUUACACCUGCAGUCACAGCGCUAAUGGACUGCCCAUACAGCUUCUCUGCCCAAUCGACAAUGUUGCUCUUAGUUGCUGUGCCUGAAGCAGCUGCAAAUUGGGUAUUCAAUGCCUUUAUCCUCUUUACAUACUGAAAUGCACACAUGUCAACUUCGGAUUCCCGCAGAGUGGCCUCAACCUGCUCCAGUUCAGAUGAUGGUGGUGUCUCGAAGGACAGCAGGUAGGUCACAGCUAGCCGAAGCUUAUCUUCCUUAGUGCCCUUCCCUCUGAGGAGACUCAGCAGUGUAUUCCGGUCAACAGUACCAUUCACAAGCAUAUCAUUCUCACAGUCGCAGUAUCCAUCCAGAGACCUCUCCUUGAUAUGCCCAAGCAAUGAUGUUGCAAUAUUGGUGUGCUUAUCAAUCAUCUUCUUCCGCUCUGUCAGUUCUGGUAGUGAGUUCACCGCAUUCAUGAGAUGCUUAGUGUUGCCAAUCAGAUCAGUACCAUCAAACUCAGCCCCAACCUUGCCACCACCAGUGCGAUGGUUCACUUCAUCCACAUCCUGCUUGUACUUGGCCAGCUGCGCCUCGAUUUCCUCAGCAACUUUGGGGAAUGGAGACCAGCUGUUUGCCACCCAGAAUUUGUCAGAGUCGUCCAAUUCGUACUUCUCUGCCGGCAACUUCAGAAUGUUCUGCUUCAAGCCAAGCACAUCAUGCACCAACGGGCGGUAGCUCCAGUCGUGCUGCACCCCAACAGACAGCUCGAAAUUCCUGUCGAAGAGGCACAGCACAGGGCGCUGGAAUGACGCGACGGCGGCAGAUGCAGCUUCCGUGAAGAGGUUGGGCUUGGCGAGUAGGUGAUCGCGGAGCCGGGCGUCUAGGGCGCCGGCCACCAUCUCCGCUGGCCCACCGCGCGCACACCUGAUGACAGGCACAACACCAAGCGUGACGACGACGCAGAAGAGACCCAGCGCGACGGCGUCGACGAGGGCAGUGAUGUCAGUGUCGGCAGCCGCGGGGUCGUUUAGUGCGACGUAGGCCCGGGGCUGCGCUAGCGAGAAGAGGCCAUCCUCGAGGCAGACGAAGUCGAUGUACUGGUCAGCAACGCGCGCCACGCGGCCCGCACACGCGGGCGGAGCGGCGGCGCAGGCGGUUGCGAGGCGCUCAAGCAGCGAUCGCGGGACGGAGGUGGAGAAGUUGACAUGGAAAGACCCGUAUAGCCCCGCGGCGGCGUCGGCCGCUAGGCGGUCCACGUUUCCGGGGGUGGGCCGGACGAAGUAGACGGCCGGCGCAUCGGGCACCGCCUGCCGCGGACGGUCGAUGUUGAGGGUGAGGGUGACACCGUGGUGGCGGAGGUCGCCGAGCUUGAGCACCGGCGAGAGGACGGAGAUACAGGGCUGAUCCAUCACCAGGAUCUUGUACGCAUCGUCCUCCCCCUGCCCCUCGCCGGCGUUCGACAACUGCUGCUGGCUCAGGUGCAGCAUCCGCACGAUAACAUCUGGAUCAGAGGCAGAAAGCGCGAUUAGAGCCAGCACUGGGCAGACACGCAAGUAGGAGGGUACUGGGGCAAUGGAGGCGGGGAGUUAGCGCUUACCGAGCUGCUUGCGGCGGAGGCUGAGCGUCAUGGCGGUCCUCCGGUGUCUCGCCGGCGUGGAUCAGAUCGGAUCUGGAGGGGGCGUAGAAAACUGGAGCAGGGAGCCACCAGAUGUGCGUUGUGCGACUAUCCAAUUGUAACCGUUGAUUUGCUCCCCGGGAUGCUUCGAUGCAAAGCAUGGCCCAUGGUCAAGUUCAUCGUUAAUUUGUGCACCCCAACGUAGUUUACACUGAAGUCCUUAAAUAUAUAGAGUUAUUAUACCACGUAGAUUUAUAAAUAAAUCAUAGUUUUAAAAGUCAACGACCAUAGUCGCACCUAGUCGCUAGGCUAUGCCCCGGUGCCUGGACUAGAGGAUAGUCGCCGCUCAAGUCGACAGAACGUGACUCGGCGGCGCCUAGAAGCCAUAGGCGGCGCGUAAUAUGCGAGUCGACCGGCGGGCGAGUGCAUGCGGAAAAGUUGAUUCCGUAGGAAAUUUGCCAUGCGCGCGACAGAUAAGGCCGAGUGUGGAUCCCGAAGCCGCGCGUGACGCUAUUCUGUUGCCAUGCGACGCUCCUCUUCGUCGGGAAGCAGCUUUGGUUGGCACCGCCGCUCCUCUCCGCCCGCCAGUCUGCUCUGACCUCGUCCUCCUACACUCCUCCAUCCUCCCCAGUCUCCACCUAGCUCGUCCUCCUUCCCGCAUCGAAGCCUUGAAGGGCCUCCCCACCGCCCAGUACGCUCUCCGGCGGUCAUCUCCUUCAAGCGGUCAACUAUAAAUGUAUAUAUAUUUUAUAUUGAUAUAUAAAUUGGCAAAACGCCUAGAAGCGUCUAGGCUAGACUAGUCACUAGUCUAUGUGUCAGCGCCUAGAUUUCGCCUAACACCUAGCAAAACUUUGGGACAAACUCAAAUUUGACCUUCAAAAUUAUCAAGUGAUAUAUCAUAGGUCCAUAUCCCUUUGAAAGGCACUCAGGAUUUAUUUUUUUACAAAAGCAUCGUCACUCGCUCAACGUCUCCAGCAGCGGAGCCAGCCCACGGUGCAUGGUGCACUAACCACUUGAUGGUGCCUGCUGAGAACUAGAGGAACCAUGUCGAGUGCACCUCUGUGUUGGUGUCCUUCCGCUAUGCUUGCCACGCAUUGUCGUUGGAGCUGAAGACAUCGUCCUCGAGCAGCUCCACGAAUAGCUACCCUUGUUCUAUGCUUCGUCCACGACAUUGUGUCCCGUGAGCGCGUGAGCGCAGGCCACGAGCCCGCAUAGGCUGGCGCCUGCAAGGGCAAACAAACACGGUCGUUUCUAGAGCCGGUCUGUGCACUACGGGUAUCGCUCUACCUGCCCAUUCUGCGAUUAGCAUGUGCGCGUCCUCGCAUGACAUGACCAGGAUGUUGAGGCCGUUGCCGGCAUCCUAGAGCUCGUGCACGGCCAAGCCAGGCGACCAUGUCUUGCCACAGGCGCCGCACUUGUCAUCCUCAUCGCGGCGCUCGCUGUUUUCGUCGUCUGUGACAUCAAGAGGUGGAAGCAGUGGCUUGCGUGGAUCGAGGAGCCCUAGAAGCUCACCACUUCCAGCCACUGGACUUCAACGAGGCCUCCAUGCUGCAUGUGCUCACCGACGAUGGGCCUCCAUGCUGCAUGGGAUAUGGACAAGAAGCUAGAGUGCGAGUUCACAUCAGAGAUGGACAUCCUCAGGCACAUCCAGCAUAGCAACAUCAUGCGCCACGAUGUCAAGUCUAGCACCAUAUUGCUCGACUUGAAGCUCAAUGCUAAGGUCGUUGACGUCAAGUCUAAGGUUGACAAGGACGAGCUCUUUAAGGCCCGCGUUGCCUGCCGAGAGCAACACCAGCAUUUGGUCUAGUACCAUCAUCAUCGUGCACAGCUUCACCGGCGUCAUGCUCCUUGACAUCAGUGUCACGGGAGCACCUCUACAGCGCAUCAUGUCGCCAUGCAUCGCUGCGCCCACCGCGUCUUAGCCUUGAGGCGAUUCAAUAACGUGCCAACUGCAUUCGGCGCGUAGUCUCAUUGCUUCGCAAAGUCAUAAAACGUUAUGUCUAGUCAUGUUCUGUAGUUGUGACAGCUCCUACCACUGCACAUGUGAUGCCUCGUGCCACCCCUCAGCUCAUGUCGGUGCCACCACGUCCGCCUAUAGAGCCUCUAUCUCCUACGGACAUCGGGAGAUGGACGGUCGCGGAUGCCGCCGUGCACAAGGGAGAUGGACAGCUACAUAUACCACGAUCGGGGCAAGGGUAGAACAUGUCUACAACAGUGAUUGGACUAUUGUGGUAUAUGUAGCUAACUUGAUAGUUGAUUUGUUGUUAAUUGAUAUGAACACACUGUGAUUGGAAGGACUAUUGUUUAUUGCUUUAAAAUGUUACUAGCAUUCUUUCAUAAUAAUUGGUUUUGUCAAUUUUGGGUAUACCGUGUAAAACCUGAAUCCAAAUUAUUGGAUACCCAAAAUCUCAAAUAAUGUUUUUUGGGCUAAAAUCAGAUAGUAAUUUCUAAUUUCUGAAUUUUUAAUCAUCCAAAAUACUCGACCUGAAUUUUUUGGAUAACCCAAAUGCCUAGGAACUCUUUUUUUUUGAACAAACCCAUAGGAAAGCUUUAUUGAUUGAGUAAAGUUACUUCAUUUUCUAGAAGAGGAACAAUAAAACUAGAGGGAUCAUCGUCCCACAUACAAAAAAAACUUUUGUGAGCAAAGCUUGCCUAGCUAAUUCAUGAGCCACCUGGUUUGCUUCCCUACUUAAACGUGAUAGAAAUCUCUUGAAAGCCACCCCACGCAAUGUUGCAUUCAUCAUAUAUCGCCACCGCCGAGUUAGCCGUGAAUCCUCCAUUCUUCAUAAUUUCAACCACUUCCAUGCAAUCAGAUAGAACAAUAACACGGUUACCUCCAAUAAGUUGGGCUAACAUCAACCCUUCCUUCAAUGCAUAUGCUUCCGCCAUUGGGGCAUCUACCAGGUGGGGAAUAUAAUUGUUUGUUGCUACAAUCAUCCCUCUAGAGCUAUCUCUGAUUAUUGCACCUGUACUUCCACAACCAUUAUCAUCAUCAUAAGACGCAUCAAUGUUUAACAUAAUAUAUUCUUCUAGGGGUUUCCUCCAUCCUUGGCGUAUCUUUUAUCCUUUUACAGCUGCCAACUUGAAGUUCUUUGUUAGAGAAAUAAUCAAGAGGCCUGAUCUUUGUGGGCGUUGAACAGAUUCACCAUGCACCAAUUGCCUUCUCUCCCACCAUAGAAACCAUCCUCCUGUUAAGAUAAGCUCGGCCAAACCCACCUCCAAGCUUUGGACCUGCUUUCCUCUUCGGAUCACUUCUUCUAAAACAAUAGACCCCUCUUCGGAUCACUUCUUCUAAAACAAUAGACCCCGAUCGAUAAGUCCCCAAUAGAUCAUUGAUGGUCUGCCCAAUUUCCAUCCAAUUCCAUACCGCUCUGGCUCUAUCACACAAGAAAAUCAUAUGCUUAAUAUCUUCAGCACCACUAUUGCAAACUAGGCACCCUCCAGUAGGACUAAUAUGCCUAUUUGCCAAGAUUGCUUUACAGGGCAACAAGCCAUUAAAGGCCCUCUAGCCAAAAAAAUUAAUCUUCCCUGGCACUUGGAGUUUCCACAACUGUUUCCAAACUAGUUGAUUAUUGGUACCACUUUCUGGAGCUCUAAAUAUUCUAGCUCCAUACUUUCUCUUCCAUUGUCCAUGAUAAGCUGAUUUUACCAAAAAAAACCGUUUAUGUUAUAGUGCCAUGCCACACAAUCCUCUCUACCUGGGGUGAUCGGUAUCUGCAAAAUGCGUGUGGCAAUGAUGCCCCUAAAGAUAGACUGGAUCAGGUUAGCAUCCCAAGUUGAGUCCACUGGAUUUAUCAGCUCAUUCACUCUUGUUACUAUAUUAUUGCCUCUUGGAGUUAAGAUUUUCAUAUUAUGGCUUCAUGGAAUCCAAUUGUCUUCCCAUAUAUUGAUUUGUGUACCAUCUCCCACUCGCCAAAUAUAUCCAAGUUUAAAACACUCCAGUCCUGCCAAUAUACUUUGAUAGGAAUAAGAACUUCCAAUUUUCAGUCUUGCAUUCAAUAGUUUGACACUAGAGCUCACGCACGACAAUUAAAUUUACCGGUGAGCUUGUUCCUAAGCAAGUCUUUUUAUUAUUUUUAGAAUAGAUUGCUACCUAAUGAUUAUAUUAUGCUUAGAAAUCAUGGAGAGGACCAGAGGAUGCAUAAAGAAUGGCUUGGAGGUAUGAAGGACCAGCAAGGACGCCCAAGUCAAGGAGGAGGCCCAAACCAAGUCGACUUCGAGCCUGUUUCACAGUCUUGGACCAGCGAGGGGUAAAACGGACGCCCAGGACACAUCCGCAAUCCAUUUUCGGCGAUCCACCCAUGGUUGGAAAGAUAAUUUUAUAAGGAAACCAAUCGCAUUGGUUUCAGUCUAAAUUCCUUCUGAAUAUUCAGAAAAUGUCAAAAUAAAUCUGCGUCUAAAAUCUAUUUUGGUGCUGCAUCACCGUUUUUGGUCCGUUGGACCGUGUAUCGUUGUUGAGCACGUUAGGGGGUGCGUGUAGGGGUGGCGAUGACCCUUAGACCUCUAUAUCCAGCCACUGCCACUCUCGUUAGGUUUUGUGUUUUGCUUAGAUUAUUCUGUCAAGAAUAGUUUCGCUGUUUCAUCUAUUUGUGAGACCCCAACUCGUGAGAUUACUCAUUUAUCUGUAAAUUGGUUGCAUUCUUCUUUGUUCUUGCUUGUGUUGUUUGAUUCGGAGGCAAAGAACUUAGCCUUCUUGGCAAGUCAACCAUGCAACGUCGGUUGAUAACUAGAGGAGACGUGGUGCUGUGAUUGCGGGGUUUCAAAUCGUGUUGUUCGGAAGCCGAAUCGAUUUGUGUCUCGUAUCCACCAAAUCAAGAGUUACUAGAACCUUCUAGAAGAUCGGGCCACCCCACACCAAGUGGUGAUCAAAGUUUUAGGUAGUUUAGAAUUUUAGUGUUCGUCCCAUAAGUUCAGUGUCAUAUUGUUUUUCUGUCCUACAAACCUUUUGCGCCAUAGCCUUGGCAUAUUUCAGUUUCAGAGUCCGUAUUGUUGAGUUUGUGUCCUAGUCGAGGUCUUGCUGCUGGUUAAGUCAUGUUAGAGUCCAGUUCGUGUGUUUUUCCUCACUGUUUCUAUUAAUUUCUAGCCGCACAAAUUUUUCGCACUUCUGGACCGUUUUGUCCUCUAAUUCAGAAUCAAUUAUUCAAUCAGUCAUAACUUUCGUAUACAAACUCUAAUUUCAAAGUUCUAUACAUCAAAUCAAUCAGAAAAAUUUUUCGGAUCUGUCUGUCCAAUUGGAGAAUUUUAGAUUCCCUAAAAUCGCCUCCGAAGUUUAAGUUUUCACCUUUCAAUUUUUUUCCAUAUUUUUUGCAAUCUUCGGAAAAUUUCAUAGGCCACGUCUUUCACUUGUUUAAGCUCAAAUCUUUUUGUGGUUACUUCUUUAGUGCUCCUGAGUAAAGGAAAAAUAUGAAAAAAAAAUUAAAAGAAAAAUCUAAAAUUUCGCAAAAAAUAACGACAACCCAAAAAUAGAAAAAAAAGAGAGGGCAAUAGAGGAACGAUAUCUAGAGGAGCACGUAGAGAAGGGCAAAGUGAGUUGUGUUAGUGUGUGUUGUUUUAUGCCUUGUUCUUUUGCUCUUGCUAUUCGUUGUACAUGUUUCUCCACCUUGUUAAUCAUCACACACCUGGUCCUUGGAACAUAUAAGGCCGACAACAAGAACAAGCACUUGGAACUAUAUUUUGGUAUUACUAUCUAUUUCUGAUUUGUGUUAUAUAUAUGUUGGUGUUGGGUACCAUAAAAAGGAUACCCAAAUUAGAGAAAUAAAAAUCGCAAAAAGGGGAUAAGGUGAACCCCUGAGAUUACCAGGGCUCGGGCGCGGGUUCUGUCUCGCCCGACUCCUUGGCCUCGGGCGCAAGCUCCGACUCGCUCGACCCCUUGGCCUCGGGCGCAAGUUCCGCCUCGCCCGACCCCUCUUGGGGUCGGGCGCAAACACCGCCUCGCCUGGGCCCCCAUCUCGGAGCUAGGCUUCCAACGCACGAUGGCCGUACUCUUGACGUGACAUUCGCUAUGACCUCCACGCUGCGGCAGGGCAUGGCAACAACUAUUCCAACCACCCCGGCCACUGUGUAGCCUUACUUUUUUCACUGUGAAGUACCGCCUCACAGUAAAAGAGGUAUGGAGGAGAUUAACCUGCAUCACUGUGGCUAUCUUCUCCUACUGUUAUAGAACGUGCUUCAGUAUCACCGACCCGACCCCCACGAUCUCAACAGGGCUCGGCAACUCUCCACAGGAGCAACCAUGCUGUCAGCCACGCCCCAAGGACGAGAUGGGCAGCCUCCACAGGGUCGGAACUGUGACUUUACCAUUUACAAGAAGUAGAUCACUAGUCAACACAUGUAAAAACCCUGUGACCCCUUAUGACUAUAAAAGGGGAGCUAGGGUGUGACAGAACCGCUCAAUUUAUACAAGUUUAAGUACGACUGUCCCCGUUUAACACGUUGACACGCGCAUACUCUCACUUAUAUAAACCCUGUAGUCUGCCGAGUGUCACAAAGGACCUCGGUAAAUCAACCUUACACCAAGAUCGCAUGAUUAAGCAAAUACACAUCACAUACACGGAGAUUUGCAGCGGAAAUAAUAUUACAAAAGAGUUCACAAAUAAUAAUACAAGUUUGGAUUUUCCAAAUCGAUUAGAAAACAACAUAGCUUUCAAAUGAUUACAAUAACAUAAGUUUCAAAUACAUUGCUAGCAUAAGUGACAUGCUCCGACAAAAGCAUGUAGAUAAGAACACUAUAUAGAAUCACCGAGCCCACCGGCGGUUAGCCACCAUCUUUAGCAGGCUGAAGACUUCACCUGCAACAUGGUGGGAUAAACCCUAAGUACUCGAAUGUACUCAGCUAGACUUACCCGUCAGAAGAGAAAUAAAAGACUCUCAAGGAUAUGCAAGGCUUAUUUGGUGGAGUUGGUUGGAUAGCAUAACUUUGCCAAAAGAGCAUUACUAUCAUGAGUCUUUACUUUCAACCUUUUAGUCAAUAUUUUAGCAUCAAGUUCAAUAAAGCCCUAGAUUUGCACCUAUUCUAUAGCAACCACUUGAUCAAUAAGCAUCACAUUAAUAACCAUAUCCGGUUUAUCAUGUAGCCAUCAUCAUCAUCAUAACCAUUAAGUUUCAUUUAGUGUAUCUACGUUGCCGCUGCUCGAGUCAAGUUCCCACUAUCCGGGAGAGACGGCGAUUUGAAUCGAUUCCUAUCCAGCUAGAGGGGUAUUCCUAGCACUCACCCAAACAUACCUCGCGAGGGCAGCUCGGAUCACCUUUAGCACAACUCCGGACCAAGUCGCGGGUCCGUACGGUGCCGCACCCCCAUGGACUGCCAAUCUGCCAGGGCAGGACUCUAACCUGACACCUUGGUCUUACACCAUUGACUCCCUGCACAUCUUUACUACGAAUUGGGGUGCGCACUUUAACCAGAUCGGGAUAUUGUUGAUAUUUGGUAACGCAAUCAGGAAAUGAUCCGCAAGCGCACGGAUAUCGGUGAGCAUUUCACCCGGAAGGUUUUCCAGAGUAUCGUAUUUAUAUUUUUACCAUUGGGAGAAAGGGUGCAUCUGACUAACCAAAUCUAUUGCUACUAUCCCUUUAGGCUACAAAGAAUGUUUCUCGAUGUGAGCGAUGUAUAGAGAAGACUACAACCGUAGUCUCGUUCUAACCUUGGUAAGGAUGUUCUACUGUUCUAUUGGGGAAGCUUACGGAAUCUAGACACCACAAAGGAUGUUCGACCCACACCUAUAAACCCUACCCGUCCUGCUAACAAGAUGUGGGAUACAAAGGUAACUCGGAAAUGUCACGUUCCUCGCUACUACCACGGUCCAGCUAGUCAGGGGAUAUCUAUGAGUACCCUAGCCUAAACACCACGUUUACGCUAGCAAUGAUUACUCUAAUCUCAACCGGAAGAGGAUUAAAGUAAAAUCAUAAACCAAAGAACAAUAAAACAAGAACUUACUAGAAUUAGAAGUCGAAUUACUGAAGAAUCUUAGGAGCAAGCCUCGGGUUAGAAGACUUGAUCCCGCAGGUACAACUCGGAGUAGACACCGACAGGCCGGCCUUCCUCCGAUCUACACCUCCACUCUAUCUCUCUCAAUCUAGUAGAAACUAGAAGAUCUAUUUCUACUUACAUUGGUUGCUAAGCCUAAAAAGAAAUAUUAUUUAGAGAAGAGGUUUUCCUUCGAGGGCACCCCUCAAUCUCUAUGAUAACUUCUUUUCUUCUCCAGGGGCCAGGGGGGUCUCCUUAUAUAGUCCUCCUUCUCUAUGCGUUUUUGGGUCGGUAGGCGAUGUGGUACUACGUUAUCCUUGAUCCUUUAGGUCGGUGGAACAUCGUGUGCGAAGAGAGUCCCGAACGGAGUCCAGGUCAGGGUGGGCGCCCAGGGAAGGAGGGCGGGCGCCCUGGGCCUGCCCCUUUCGGCCUCUGCUUUCUCUCCGUGGCUUCUGGAGGCUUCUAGAUGGUAGAAAAUUGCGCGGUGCAUUGAUAUCUCUAUGUAAUCCCGACAUGUGGGCCUUUCUUCCUUAUUUCCUGAUAAUCCCCUGCAGAAAUAGACAAACACCAAAACUCGUGGAAUUCUGUCAGAUAAAACCCUAAGUCUGGGUGUUGGUUGCAUUUGGAUCCUUUUCUUUAUUUAUUUGAUGAUUAUAUUUGGUACUUAAGGACCGUCAACAACUCCCCCAAGCUUACCUCUUGCUCGUCCCUGAGCAAGGAUGAACUAAAGAGUUCCUGCAGUGGUUUUAUGCUUUAAAAGUACAUCCGCAUUCAAGCAAGAUCUCAUCUCUAAGUUAGAAUAAACUGUUAAGACUUAAAACUUACUCAUUUUACCUUUCACCAUGGGGCUUGUAACCGUCACUUGUGUCUUGAGCAGUUAAAAGAUAGAACGGUCAAGUCAAGCGCCAUGUUUCUUAUUCUUGAUCAGCUAUAGCUCUGGAGUUUUUACAGAUUUUCAAAUAAAACUCAGAGAUUCCUUAUGUGAUUCUCUCAAAUCUCUCUUUUGUGGUAUUUCUGGAUCCUUGCAGUAAUAAUAUAUGCCUUCUCUCAAAGUAUGUAGUAUUUGUGGUAUGAGGCAUAGUGAUAUUGCUUUCUCUCUCACCCUAUUCUAAUAAGGUUUUGAUAUCUGGAGCUCAUAGGUGGGAGACAGCUAAUACAUACUUACAAGACAUUUAUUGCAUAGUCAAACCAUGGAUCUAGAAGAACAAGUCAAUAAGUCAAAUCAAGAUAUGCAUGUGUGGCGAAUGAAUGAUGUAUGGUAAUGAUUGUGAUAACAAUGGUGAAAGUCUAAUUCUACUUGUGCUCUUUUGAGGGGAUACAUACCUUUCUUGCUCUUUUGAAACUUUUUGAGGAGAAUGAGAUGCUCUAUAUUUUCUUUUUCUUUUCUCUCUGGUGGGUAUCUUGUACCCCUAAUUCUACUGUCGGACACUUGUCCAUUUUUACCUCUCGUCUCACUUUUUCUUUUCUUCGAGGUUCCGGGCACUUGCCCCUUUUUAUUUCCUCGUAUAUAUAUUUUUUUUCUCUUUUUUUAGAGCACUCAUCUCCUAAAAUAAUGUAGCAAGUGGUAGUAACCAAAAUAACUGGAGCAUUUAUUUCAUAGGGAAUAACAGGGAUAGGAAAAUGUUUUUGGCUAUUCUCUCCCGGAUUAGGAGUAGAAUAAUUUUAGGUGAAUCUGGAGAUAGAAAUGAGUGGAUGUAUGUGGAUGCGUACUUCCGUAGUAGAAGCAGCAUGUAUGAGUGAACGUGCAAGUGAAUCUUGAUUUUAACCGCAUGACAAGCUCCUAAGGGUCUACACAGCUCGACCACACUCAAUGCUCUUAAGCAGUAAAAAGUAAAUGUGUGGCUCAAAGUCUAAUAAGCAUGUACAUAUGGCUGUGGUAGGAUUUUAAACUCUCAUCAUAUAGGAACUCAUCAUGUGUUAUUUUAAAGAUUUUCAAAGAUGAAAUUCUCCAGAAUUCUAGCAUCUCUAGGAACAGAUGAACAGCAGCUCAACCUUCUCAUAUCAUAUCCGUUAACAACUUAGACUUCAGAUCAAGUACUCUUCCCACAAGUUCAGGUUUUAGAGUAGGUUUAAAUUAUAACAGUUAUGCCUAAACUUGAGAGAGAGCUCAAACUUGAAAACUAGGUAUAUGGCAAAGCAACUAUUAAUCAUUUUCAUGUGAGAGCUUAUCAUGAGGGUUAUCAUUUUCAUGUGAGAGCUUAUCAUGAGCUCAAACUUGAAAACUUUAUUUAUUUAUUUAUUUAGCAAACUAAGCAAAGAUAUAUAUAUAUAUAAAAGCACAAAAUAUUUAUUUGGGUUUUCAUGAUUAUGCAUCUUUUAUUAUUUGAGUAAAGUAUAAACGCGAGUAGAAACACUUAGCUGGAUAAAUGAGGGUGCUCUCCCCCAAGCUGGAUUUUGAUGUAAUUUCUUCUGAUGUAGCUAGCAGGUGGUGGAGGUGUAUUUGAAAGUCGGCCACACCCUAACAGCGAUUAGGAUGUCCUCCGUGUGCUAGUCUUCUUUGAUCCUUGAAUUCUGUGGAGCUCAAAUAGACAACAAAGCUUUGUGGAACUGAUUAGGUGUUAGCAUAAAUAUCUAGCCUUUAUCAUGUUGAGCCUCCUCGAUAAAUAUUAUUUAUUUAGCAGGAUCAUGUACUUAUUAUUUUUAACAUUGUAAGAUGAAAACAUAUUUAUUUUAUGCCACCACAGUGAAUGUACCUAUGGGUUUUAUGCCAUGAGCAUACUCACAUGGGGCUUACUAUUUUUUAACAUUUUUAUUUUCUUUUUGAGAUGAUAUGAACCUGAUUAACUAAGCAAACUAUUGAAAGGAAAAGGAUAACUACCAAGUUUACCUCUGGGCAAGGCGUUCGGUGUUUUUAAGUCCUCCGAAUGGGACUCUCCGUUUUCAGUCGUCCUAGGAUUCGCUGGAUGGCGUAGUCGGUGGUUCCGUCGGCGCCUCCUCUUCGUGUAUAACUAUCUUCUCUUUCCACACCUGACUCGGUGCUACAGUCUCCUCAGGACAGUUUUGUUCAAGCUGUAAGUCUUCAGACCUUACCGCUUCUCCUUCGUACUCUACCCAUCUGUCCUUGAUGAUUUGCCUCCUCUGGUUGCGGUUGCGUUGUCUUCUUCUUGUCCUGACCUGCUUAGAGUCUUCAACUAUAUAGUUAGGGUUAGUAAAAUAGCAGCGUACCUUCUUAGAGGGGAAGUGCAUGUGGACUUCUCUGAUUCCAAUAUAGAUGAUGGCUUUGAUAGUGUUGAGAAACGGUCUUCCAAGGAUGAUGGGUGGAUCGUACUCGUCUUCUCCCAUGUCAAUGAUCUAAAAAUCAUCUGAAGCUAAAUAUAUAUUGGUUGUAGGGGCAUGGUUCCAUGCAGGAGCUGAUAAGUGACUGCGGCCAUUAUGUUGACGUCAGAUCCGGUGUCGUAGAGUGUCUUCUAAAAAGAGUAUCUGUUGAUUGUGCACUCAAUGCUUGGAACACCAGGGUCGUCCUUCUUAAUCAAGAAAGGUGACUUGAGUCGAUGAUCUUGACCUCCUCCGACAAGGAUCCAAAGUUUUAAAUCUUCUAGACAAGACUUCUCACUGUCUUCAUCCUUUAGGUGCAUCAUUUGAUUAGGUGUGGACCUUGACGUCUGCACUUCUUGAUACGAUGUCACCUAUAUUCUUUGAUUGCCCAGCAGUUCGAAGUGCGGUGUUGGCCAUAUCCUGCUCAUUGUGUUUGUGCUCAUAGAUCCAAGUCCUUCACUUGGUGGAGUCUGAGAGUUGUAAAACUCCUCCAUGUUUUGUUUGAAGUGUACCUAUUCAUAGAGACAAGGCAGAGAUCAAGUGCAUGGGCCCUGUUGGUGGAAAACACCAACAGAACCAAAAGUGUAUUUGUUCUUCUCUAACCUUAAGCAUAGUGAGCAAGACAAAGUUGAUGGAUCAUGAGUGUAGCACUUGAAACAUUUGUCAGAUCAGAUUGCUCAACCUUAUGGAAAGAUAAUCUAUCUAUAUUUAUGUUUUGUUUAUAUCUUCCAAAGAUUGAAUGUGCAACAUAUUAGCUUAUAUGAUUAGGAGCGUGGGAUCACGAAGGUAGUACUAAGAACACAGAGUAAAGGACCAAACAUGCUGAAUCAGUUGGGUUGGUUAAUUUGGAGCUACAAAUCAUACAUGUUUGUCUCUUUAUUUAUGUGAAUGUUAGAACCAAGGAGAAGCUUAUAAAAGCAAUAGUCAAGUACCUUAAGAUGUUACCUUACUUGAAGAAUGAUGGAAUAGUAUCACCUUGUGGAAGCUUUCCUUUUCUUAGCGGUUGUGCAUUGUGUUUGUGGCACCCUCCAUGAAUCAUCUCUUAUGAGCUACGUCUUUCUUGUGCAAAUUGUUAAACUUCAUGUGUCACUUUCUUCAUCUCCAAUGUGAGUUUAUCUCAGGACUUCCCAGGUUGAUAUUGAAAGUUUUCCUGCAGGGGUUAGUCCCACAAAAUAUACCAAUAUCUACUCAAGCAGUUUUUAGUUCAGUAACCAAACUAGACUCCAUGUCUAAUCAGAUUAAGGAAGGCUAUUUAACCUAAGCACCAUGCUUAAUUUAAAUGCCAAUGGAAGUAUGUUGAGUACUUCCAAACCAACACUUGCUAGUAAAUAGAUAAAGGUAGCAUGACAGCAUUUAUAGAGAUCUACUCAAGUGGAGAUGAAGUAGUGUGAUUAGUACUUAACAAAUUGAGCAUCUCUCAAAGGUAGGGACAACCAACAUAGCAACAUGGCAAAGGAUGUUUUUAUGUCAAGUACUCCCGCAAGCUUGAAUUUUGCGAAAUUCAAGUUUGGAUGAAUUUAAUUCAAUGUUGUAUGAUGGUUGGUUGGACAUACCUUGUGCUUGUCAUUCAUCCGAUCUUCUUGCUCCAAUCCUGGAAAGGUUAGUGACAAGAAUACCCGAAGGAAUAUUUUUACAAUUAUCCUUGUAUGCUCAAUCCACCAAGUAAUGUUGUAAAUAAUUAAAAGCUCAUGUUACGAUCUGAUCAGUGCUUAUUUUAAGACACUAAGCUUGUCCUUGGGAAACCAUCAAUUUAUGUUGGCAAAGUGGUUUCCCUUGUAACGCUGACAUAUAUCAAGAUCAACUCAAUGAGAUCUGCAAUAUUUAUUAUAGACAUAUGCAUCGACAACCGCCUUUUAAAGUUUUUAUAAAUAGAAAAGAAGAGGGGGUUGGAGAUCUCAAAUGUGGUGAGGUUGGAGAGACCAAUGGAUUGGGGAGAUGUUUUAUAUGAGCAAGGACUUGAUGAGGUAUUUAUGAAAUAACUUCCAUGCUCACUGUUGUUUCUCUCAUUUUCAAACUCCAAGGAUGAUUCUUCAUGAAUGCUAAAAAUUCCUCUAGGAUUGUCUCUCAAUUUUGUUUUAUCCAUCCAUUCAAUGGUGAUAGCACAUGGAUUUUUAAUGCCCUCUAGCCAUUGAUGUUGCUCUUCUCGAUCCUCCUUGUGGUCUUGGUGACUCUUAUGAAUGGGAUGUCUAGAGAGAUUCACAGGAUCAUUUGGAGGUUCAGGAGAAAGAGCAUAGUAGAAAUUAUUAGGCUCAAGGAUGGGUUGGAUAGCCGAAUCAUGGGAUUGGAAUGUUUGGAAAUCGGCUAUUGAAACUUCCUUUUCUUGUUUGGGAGAUGAUUCCUUCUCUAUCUCUAAGAUUUUUCUAUGAAGACUAGUGCAAGAAGGAUGUCCACAAAUGAAGGCAUACCUUCCUUUACUAAUAGAUAAAGAAAGAAAGACUCUACCAAAGGUUAUAUGAUUAAGACCAAUAUGAAAAUAUCGAGAAAAAACAUGGUCUUGUAGGGCUAGGUAUAAACCAGAAUUUAUAGAAAGAUUAACAGAUUCCCUAGGUGUAGCUAAAAGUGCAUUAUCUUCUUGAUUAAAAGAUGGGACCUCAGCUAUAGAAAAGGGUUGGUUUUGACCUAUUGCAAUCAACUCCGGACUCAGAUCAUAAUUAGGGGCAGGACUUGUUGACUCCCAUGGUCUAUGGCUGGUCUCCGAAGGUGCAAAGAAUUCAAUAAUAGGUAUGGAAUUUAAGUUAUCCAUAAAGAUAAAAGCAAAAAGAUAAAAGAAUAAAAGUAUAAAAGUAUAAUACAAGAUAAUAGCAAGAUUCAAAGUUAUCUCAGCAAACCGUCUUUCUCCCCGGCAACGGCGCCAGAAAUGCUUGUUGAUAUUUGGUAACGCAAUCAGGAAAUGAUCCGCAAGUGCACGGAUAUCGGUGAGCAUUUCACCCGGGAGGUCUUCUAGAGUAUCGUAUUUAUAUUUUUACCACUGGGAGAAAGGGUGCAUCUGACUAACCAAAUCUAUUGCUACUAUCCCUUUAGGCUACAAAGAAUGUUUCUCGAUGUGAGCGAUGUAUAGAGAAGACUACAACCGUAGUCUCGUUCUAACCUUGGUAAGGAUGUUCUACUGUUCUAUUGGGGAAGCUUACGGAAUCUAGACACCACAAAGGAUGUUCGACCCGCACCUAUAAACCCUACCCGUCCUGCUAACAAGAUGUGGGAUACAAAGGUAACUCGGAAAUGUCACGUUCCUCGCUACUACCACGGUCCAGCUAGUCAGGGGAUAUCUAUGAGUACCCUAGCCUAAACACCAUGUUUACGCUAGCAAUGAUUACUCUAAUACUCAACCGGAAGAGGAUUAAAGUAAACUCAUAAACCAAAGAACAAUAAAACAAGAACUUACUAGAAUUAGAAGUCGAAUUACUGAAGAAUCUUAGGAGCAAGCCUCGGGUUAGAAGACUUGAUCCCGCAGGUACAACUCGGAGUAGACACCGACAGGUCGGCCUUCCUCCGAUCUACACCUCCACUCUAUCUCUCUCAAUCUAGUAGAAACUAGAAGAUCUAUUUCUACUUACAUUGGUUGCUAAGCCUAAAAAGAAAUAUUAUUAAGAGAAGAGGUUUUCCUUCAAGGGCACCCCUCAAUCUCUAUGAUAACUUCUUUUCUUCUCCAGGGGCCAGGGGGGUCUCCUUAUAUAGUCCUCCUUCUCUAUGCGUUUUUGGGUUGGUAGGCGAUGUUGUACUACGUUAUCCUUGAUCCUUUAGGUCGGUGGAACAUCGUGUGCGAAGAGAGUCCCGAACGGAGUCCAGGACAGGGCGGGCGCCCAGGGAAGGAGGGCGGGCGCCCUGGGCCUGGCCCCCUUUCAGCCUCUGCUUUCUCCCUGUGGCUUCUGGAGUCUUCUAGAUGGUAGAAAAUUACGCGGUGCGUUGAUAUCUCUAUGUAAUCCCGACAUGUGGGCCUUUCUUCCUUAUUUCCUGAUAACCCCCUGCAGAAAUAGACAAACACCAAAACUCGUGGAAUUCUAUUAGAUAAAACCCUAAGUCUGGGUGUUGGUUGCAUUUGGAUCCUUUUCUUUAUUUAUUUGAUGAUUAUAUUUGGUAGUUAAGGACCGUCAACAGGUAUCCGGCCCGAGAUGCACUCGUAGGCUUUGCGGUCAGAACGACUUAUCCGGCCAGCUAAGUGUUAGGCAUGCGUUCAACAUAACACAAGGACGUACAGCGAAUCGGUCCUUAACCGACACAGACGGGGAUAGAUUCACACCCAAGACCUCCAUGCCUUGUUGCUGCACUAUCGUCAUCCUGUCCGGUCUCAUUCAUUAUUAGCCAUGGUUAUUUCCACGAUAGCAAAUAUAGCCAACCGUGAUCAAGUAUCCACCUAAUCCACCUACCUCUCGCAGGUGACAGGAAAUCACCCGGCUUCUACCGAGCUAAGCAUAGCUAAGCAUAGAACAUUUUCCUUAUACUAGUAAGGGUUCAGGUAGUUUCAUAUAGUGGACAAGGUAGGAAUGUAUGCACCAACGGUUUCAUUCAACUCCUAUCGCCUAAUGCAUCAUAUAAAGUUAUACUCUUGUGCUUUUGUAAAAAGAGAGGGUAAGAGACUUAGAAUGCUCCGGGGCUUGCCUGGAAUCCGACACAAGUCAAUUAAGUUAGCUUGCACCGUCUUGAUGACAUCUAAGGUGUCAACACUUGUGUAGUCCUUCCAUCAUCUCGAUAGGUCCACCAUCACGUCCUUCACAUGGUUCAUCUAGCGUACCUAAAUGAGAUGCAAGAUGCAAGUGCACGAACACAUAGAAGUGCAAUAGACAAAGCAUCACACACAAGAAGCAUGUCAAGAGCAUGGUUACACUAAACAUACUUAAGUACAUCUCACUGCUCAACUUAAUGAUUACACAACCAACAUGCUAAGUCAACAAAGAAUGCAACACUGAUCAUAUUAGACAUGGCAUACAUAUUUCACAAGAUCUUAGGUGUAUUAAGUUGGCCAUUAUCAAAGACAUGAGUCAUACAUAGCAAUAUACCAAGCAAAAACAAUACAAGGAAUCUGCCAUUUUUAGGACUGUUAACAGCAGCUGAGUAAAUAACACAUAACUGGAGUUACACAACUCCAAAAGACAUGCAAGAAGACAUUCUGGAAAUCUUAAGAAAUUAUAUACAUUUGAUAUUUAGACAUCAAAGCAUGAUUCUCAACUUAAGCUGGUCGAAAUUAUAAAGUUCCAAAAUCUGUCCCUGACAAACAGAGAGCAGCCAUUUCUGGAAUCAAACUUUGAACAGACAUAACUCACACACCACAAUGCCAAAUGCCACCAAAUUUGAACAGGAGCUAGAUAAAUGAAUUAUCUACAACUUUGCUAUAAACAAGAUUCCCAGAAAAGAUCAUUUACAUAUUGUAAUCCAAAAAGUUCCAGAAACUAUCUAGAAACAACAAUUGCAAACAAUUAAUUAUUAACUUAUGCUUCAAACAUGCAUUUGAGCAAAACCAUUGUUACCAACAGUUUGCAUAUAUCUAAAGAACACCAGAAAACAUAGUGGUCAUUUACAAAUAAAUUUAUUUAAUGCAUUUCUUAAUUUAUUUGGAUAAUAAAGUGGAUUAAAUAACCUAUACCAAACAUGCACAGUAAAUUCUACAAAAAUUACAGUAGCUACUACAUACCAACCAUAGUAUACUGUACAAAUUUCACUGCAUUUGAGUGAGCACAGCAACAUCUAUGAAAAGGACAAAUUGCUAUUGCAAUUAACCAUGUGAGAGCAAGAUAAAUGCAUAAAUCAUAUUUUCUUCAAACACAUGAUCAUAUUAUAUAUCAACAUGAUACAACAAUAUCAUAGGAUUGUAGUGGAACAACAUUUUCCGUUUUUACAUUUUUAUUUAUAGUUAUAAACCAUUUAUCAAGCCCCAUGAAGAUAUCUCUGUUCAAAACAUGGACAGAAUCUAUCAUGCCACAUUAAACAGCCAUAACUUGAGUUUCAUAUGCCCAUAAAUUAUGGUUAUGUAUUUUCUAGAAAGCUUACUAAGUUGUGAACAACUUUGUUAUAAACAUCUAGAGCUAAAUCUACCACUAACAAGGACUUACAUAAUAAACAAUGCAAACCUGUCUGGGUUUAGAUAGAAACAGAAACAGUACUUUAAACUACUAUAACAAAACAUAUGCUUGACCAAAAAUUAUACUAUUUAGCUUGAUGGAAAGCUUAUGAAAAGUACUACAACUCAUAUAUUUUCAUCCAGGCAUGAUUCACAACCUAACUGAGCCAAACAAUAUAAACAUGCAGACCUACUCAGAAUAUGAGCAAAGCAACAUAGGGCAUUUGUUAUUUUUAUAACUCUUGAUCUGUCAUUCCUAAAUUCAUACAAAUUUUACCAGAAAUCAAAUAUUAUAUAUAAAGCAUGUCACAAUAUUUUCACAUUUAUUGGAGCAAUAAUACAGUGGUUAUAAAAAAGACAAAUAUAACAAGCAAUUAAAACUGAACUGCACAAAUCUAUUUUUACCGCUAAAACUGCAAACUAAACCAUGCAAUAAUAUAGAUCUACUGCAUAGAGAAUUUGAUAAGGAUUCUAAAAAGUCCACAUUUGCUAUUUUACGACUAUUCUAUGAAUUACUAUGGAUUUCCAAAGUUCACCCAGAAAUCUGCUAAAACAAAAGAAAAGGAAAACAGAUCUUGCACCGGGAACCCUGGAUUUUCCAUGAAUCACGCUAUAACCCAGAAACACUUGGCUUCGCAUCUGGAACCCUGAAUUGUUUUAUAUUCUAACACGAGGUCCCUGACGCGAAAGGAAACUCGCCGGAGUGCUUCCUGUUCCGGCGAAGGGAGGCCACGUCGGCGGCGAGGGAGUGGUGGGGAGCACCAGGAGAUCACCGCGCACCCGCUGGUCGCCUUGCAUGGCCGGGAGAGAGCCCGUGGCGGCCUAGCCACGUGCACACGUCGGCGACGGCGGCGUUGGCCGGUGGUCGGCUGCUCCGGUGGUCUUCCACCUCGGCUGAGCGUGUGCGAGAUGCACAGCACGACGCGGCGAGCGAGGUGGCACAUACAGCGAGUGUCGAGGAAGCGCGGAGUGGCAGGAAUGGGACAAUGGCGAGCUUGGCAUGUCGACCAUGGUGGACGGCGCCGUGAGCGCUUCUGGGGGCGAUGGAGAGCGCCAGGGAGGAGGGGAAAUUGAGGGACGAGUGCUCAGACAUCUCCCCAUCGGUCCAGGUGCGAGAGACACGCAGCACAGGAGGUGGGACGCGAGCUCGGGCAUGGCUGCCACGUCCGGGACGCGUGUCGUCCGUUGAGGCAUUUUAUCGAGCACGUGUCGGGCAGUGAAGUGGCUCAGGUGGGACGCGUUUUUGGACUCCUUACAGGCCGAUUUGUACUUUGGGCCAAAAAUGAAGAUUGCUCUACUUGGCCCAUUCUAAAAUUUUUGUUGAAAGGUCACGACCAUUAGAGUUAUAGAUUAGUAGAUAAUUAGAUGCCAAUCUAUGAGUGUCAAUGAAUUGAUAAUGAUUAGCAAAACUCAAAAUUGAUGACCAAAACGAAAUCAAACUGGUGUCAUUUUUUGGUAUGCUCUUGUCCACAAUAUGUACUCCGACUUUUAUUUUGGGACCCAAACAAGUUGUUUAGUAAAAUUUGGAGAACGCGAAAUGCCAACGUGAUGAACUGCAAUCCCACACUUAGAAACUCGAAGUGUUGGAAACUAUAUCAGAUUCAAUCUUGUGACCAUUAAUUGACAUGCUUAGAUGAUGAUUCAGACUUAGGCACUUUAACAAAGUUUGUAGCAUACAAACUAUACUACAACUUGUAUUAAAGGACCUUAUACUGUUUUGGCUUGGUUAGGAAGAUACAAGGCUCCCAAAAUGGAUACCCAAAACUGAAACACUGUUUUGACUUAGCCAAAUUUCUGGAGUUCCUAAACAGCACUGCAUUGAAUCUUGUAAGCUCAAUUUGACUAGGUUAGGGACCAAACUAGCUCUUGAUCAUUAAACAAAGUUUGUUCUACAGAAGUUAAACUACAACUUUUAUUUAAAGGUCAAACCUCAGAACUAGUAUAGAAGUCAAACUUUCACUUUGGUCAAUGCAGCAACUUGAUAAAGCUCAAACUAAGGUUUUAGGCUAAUUGAAGCAUUUUCUGGGCACAAGCUCAACAUGAACCCUUCAUGACUUUUGUUGUAGAGUUCAUGUAGAGUCAUUUGGGUAAGGUUGCAAAGAUUGGUUGAUGGCUCAUGGUUCCAUUUACUUAAUAAGGUCAUUCCAACAAUCAUGUAACUUAUCAUUUCAUGUGACCUUUUAAUUCCAAACUUCAUGAUACUUUUUGAGUGAUCACUAUAGGUAGUGAUGGAUGUAGGACACAUGAAAGAGGUUCCAUUAAUGUCACCCAAGCAUGCACUUUGAAAAGGCCUAUAUGUAAGCAAGGGUGCAUUCUCCAAAUUUAACUUGAGGCUCACUUUCAUGGAUUGACUUUAUCAUGAUCAUCACCACUUAUCAUGACAUGUUUGAGCUCAAACCUAUGGUCUAACUAGUGGCAAACACCUGGGGUGUUACACAGGGCACACAUCCAAGACACGCUCACAACAUUGCAACUCAAGGCAAGACCACACACACACACCAGAGUAGCAAGUAACGCUCUGUCCACCAUGCAAAGUCGAUACUUGGGACUUAACCCUCUCACAACCAGCUUGUACACCCCUACUACAAGCACUUUCGGGUGCAAGGCAAUAUAGACUCCGACUCUCACACUAGACGUAGGGCACAUUUAGCCUGAACCAGUAUAACUCUCUGUGUUCUGCUUGCAUCACCAUUCGGGUUUAGGAGGACACGUAGACUUAUCACUCGUUAUUGUCUAGACGAUGAGUCUAGACGCCGACAGUUCACGCGCUAGGUAGGGGCCUUCUGCGUUGUACUUUCCUUUCAACGUUGGGGAAAGCCCGGAUGGCAGACGAAUUUCGCCCUCUCCGUCUCGACACCGUCAUGAUGUUUGGGAGUUUGGAGUUCAUGUCUCUUGGCUCCGGCUAUGACAUGGUCCUCCUCCCGCCUCGUGACGACACCGAGCCCUGUCCCGAGCCAAUUCCACCACAGCCAGUGCAUGGGAGGCGCUUGUUGAUAUUUGGUAACGCAAUAAGGAAAGGAUCCGCAAGCGCAUGGAUAUCGGUGAGCAUUUCACCCGGGAGGUUAUCCAGAGUUAUCGUAUUUAUAUUUUUACCACUGGGAGAAAGGGUGCAUCUGACUAACCAAAUCUAUUGCUACUAUCCCUUUAGGCUACAAAGAAUGUCUCUCGAUGUGAGUGAUAAAUAGAGAAGACUGCAACCGUAGUCUCCUUCUAACCUUGGUAAGGAUGAUCUACUGUUCUAAUGGGGAGGCUAACGGAAUCUAGACACCACAAAGGAUGUUCAACCCACACCUAUAAACCCUAUCCUUCCUGCUAACGAGAUGUGGUCUGCAAAGGUAAUUCAGAAUUGUCACGUUCCUUACUACUACCACGGUCCAGCUAGUCAGGGAAUAUCUAUGAGUACCCCAGCCUAAACACCACGUUUACGCCAGCAAUGAUUACUCUAAACUCUACACGAAGAGAUUAAAGUGAACUCAUAAACCAUAAGAACAAUAAAACAAGAACUUACUAGAAUUUAGAAGUCGAAAUACUGAAGAAUCCUAGGAGCAAGCUUCGGGUUAGGAGAACUUGAUCCCGCAGGUACAAGCUUGGAGUAGACACCGACAGGCCGGGCUUCCUCCAAUCUACACCUCCACUCUAUCUCUCUCAAUCUAGUAGAAACUAGAAGAUCUAUUUCUACCUUACAUUGGUUGCUAAGCCUAAAAAGAAAUAUUAAUUAGAGAAGAGGUUUUCCUUUGAGGGCACCCCUCAAUCUCUAUGAUAAUUUCUUCAUGUCUUCUCCAGGGGCCAGGGGGGUCUCCUUAUAUAGUCCUCCCCUUCUAUGCGUUUUUGGGUUGGUAGGCGAUGUGGUACUAUGUUAUUGUGGAUCCAAUAGGUUGGUGGAGAUCUCCCGAGAGAAAGAGUCCUGAUUGGGCUCGGCAGGUGGGCGGGCGCCCAAGGAAACUGGGCGGGCGCCUAGGUCCUGGCCCCGUUUCGCCUCCGCUUCGGUCUCGUGGCUUCUGGAGUCUUCUAGAUGGUAGACAAUUGCGCGGUGCAUUGAUAUCUCUAUGUAAUCCUGACAUGUGGGCCUUUCUUCCUUAUUUCCUGAUAACCCCCUGUAGAAAUAGACAAACACCAAAACUCGUGGAAUUCUGUCAGAUAAAACUCUAAGUCUAGAUGUUGAUUUCAUUUGGAUCCUUUUCUUUGUUUAUUUGAUAAUUAAAUUUGAUACUUAAGGACCGUCAACAGCGCUCGGGGCAUCAUGCCGGGGGAGCCCGGCGCGGGUGUCAGAGGUCUAGCAUCUCUGAUCCUGCCACCGAGGCAAGGGCCCGUCCAUCCCUCCCCCCGCAUAUCCCUCACCAGAUUGCCCAUUCUUCUGGCCAACGAGGCGCUAGGGGAAGGGCCUGUGAAGCAUCAAGCUCAGCUCCACGAACUAGCAGGGGGACGUCGCGACCUCCUAUUCCGCCCCGAUCGAAGGGCAAAGCACGGCUUCCACCUCCUCCUCAGAGGAGGGACCAGGGGGUCUCGACUUCUCGUCACCCUCCACCUACGGAUGGAGAGAUGACAACUGCGCCUCCCGAGCUCCCUUUUGGGUUCAGGAGCACAGCCGCCACCUAUGCUUCUUCCGCGAGCACUUCAUUAAGUGUGUACGCGGACCUCCCGGGGCAUCACCUGAGGUCUACUCUGGACCUCAUCGCGACACCACCCGUAUCAUCGAGGACGAAGGGGGAGACAAUCCCCCAGUCUUCAGCACGGCCAGCCAGAAUGUGAUGGCUGCCGCACUCCUCCUCAGAGCGAUGCCCGAGCCAUCGACUCCCGAGGGGAGGAGGGUGCGCCAGGGGCUGCGCAGCCUCCUGGAGCAGGCCGUGGUACAAAACGCAGAAAGUUUUGCGUCAUAGUCCCAUGGUGCGAGGCACCCAGGGGAUCAACCCCCUCCUAACAAGGCACCAACGGUACAGGGCCCAGCACCCCCUAACCCGCAAGGGGGCGCUAAAGCCCCCUCGGUCCAUGAACGUGUCAGGACCAACGUGGACGCUCGGGCUACUCUCGAGGCUAGACGGCGUGACAGGGAUGAGGCCGAGUCUCGGCGCUAUCGACCGCACCGAGGCGGAAGGUACGACCCCGACCACGAUCGUAGCACGUCGCCAGAGCCUCCGGGUCCCCGCGUCUUCAGCGAGGCCAUCCGUAGGGCCAAAUUCCCGGCCCGGUUCCGACAACCCGCUAACCUCACCAAGUACUCAGGGGAAACCAACCCUGAGCUCUGGCUAGUGGACUACUGCCUAGCAUGCUAGCUAGGUGGAGUGGAUGAUGACCUGCUCAUCAUCCGCACCUUGCCACCACACUUGGCCGAUUCGGCCAGAGCAUGGCUCGAGCAUCUUCCUGAGCGCAUGAUCCAUGGCUGGGCUAACCUAGUUAGGAUCUUUGUCAGGAACUUCUAGGGCACAUACGUGUGUCUUGGAAAUUCCUGGGACCUUAGGAGUUGUCGGCAGAAGCCUGAUGAGUCCCUCCAAGAUUUCAUCAAGCGAUUCUCCAAGCAGUGCACCGAGCUCCCCAACAUCACAGACUCCGACGUCAUCGGGGCCUUCAUCGCCGGCACCACCUGUAAGGAGCUGGUACACGAGCUCGGUCGCAAGACCCCCACGAGCACCAGCCAGUUGCUCGACAUUGCCACCAACUUUGUCUCGGGUGAAGAGGCAGUUGGUGCAAUUUUCUUUGAUGGCGCUGCCAAGGGGAAACAGAAGGCCGAGACCACCAAGACCUCGGGCUCCCACGACCCUAAGAAGAAGAAAAAGGGUCGCAAGGGGAAGCAGGGUCGGUCGGACGACAACUUGGUCACCGCCGCAGAUCGGAAGAACCCCAAGCGGGGCUCCUGCUUGCCCCGGCCUCUUCGACAAAAUGUUGAAGAAGCCAUGCCCCUAUCACAGGGGACCAACCAAGCACACCCUCGAGGAGUGCACUGUCCUACGUUGGUACUAUACCGACAUCAUAGCCAAGGAGGGCACCGAAGAGCCUCCCAAGGACAACAACGCCGAUGGAGAAGGCUUCCCUAAGGUCAAGAACUGCCUCUUGAUCUUUGGGGGACAUGCGGCUCACCUCACUGUGAGUCAAAGGAAGCGCGAGCUCCGAGAGGUUUGCGCGGUUAGCACAGCCGCGCCCUCCUACGUCAAAUGGUCGGAGAGCGCAAUCACGUUCGAUCGGCAGGAUCAUCCGGAUCGGAUCCCCAACCCUGGGUGCUAUCCACUGAUCAUCGAUCCCAUCAUCGCCGAGACUCGUCUCUCCAAGGUGUUGAUGGAUGGAGGCAGCGGCCUCAACAUUAUUUACGCCGAGACCUUGGCCCUCAUGGGGAUCAGCAAGUCUCGGGUGAGGAAUGAUGCAUCGUCAUUCCACGGAGUGGUGCCGGGAUAUCGUGCCCAUCCUCUCGGGCAGAUCGACCUGCCCGUCUGCUUUGGGACCCCCGACAACUUCAGGCGGGAGGUUCUCACCUUCGACGUGGUUGGGUUCCCAGGGACCUACCAUGCGAUCCUGGGGCGACCAUGCUACGCCAAGUUCAUGGCCGUCCCAAACUACACCUACCUCAAGCUCAAGAUGCCGGGAACGAACGGCAACAUCACCGUCAGCACGAUGAGCCAGCACGCCUACCAAUGUGACGUGGAGUGCAUUGAGCAGGCCGAGGCUCUGGCUGAGUCCCUGUCCAUCAUCACUAGCCUCGGUGACAGCGACCAGGACAUCCCCGACCCCAAGCAUCAUCUCGGGAGCUUCGAGCCGGCAGAGGAGACCAAGCUCGUCUUCCACGACCCCGAGGCCUCAGAAGGCAAGGCGUUGAGGAUCAGCUCGAGCCUCGACCCCAAAUAGGAAGCAGUGUUCAUCGACUUUCUCCGCGCAAACGCCGAUGUGUUUGCAUGGAGUCCUUUGGACAUGCCAGGCAUACCAAGGGAAGUCGCUGAGCACUCCUUGGACAUCCGAGCCAGCUCCAAGCCCGUGAAGCAGCGCCUGCGCCGAUUCGACAAGGAGAAGCGUCGGGCCAUCAGGGAGGAGAUCCACAAGUUGCUGGCGGCCGGAUUCAUCAAGGAGGUAUUCCAUCCCGAGUGGUUAGCUAACCCUGGACUAGUCAAAAAGAAAAAUGGGAAGUGGAGGAUGUGUGUAGACUAUACUAGUUUAAAUAAAGCAUGUCCUAAGAAUCCUUUUCCAUUACCUCGUAUCGACCAGAUAGUUGACUCUACCGUGGGGUGUGAAACUUUGUCUUUCCUUGAUGCUUAUUCCGGAUACCACCAAAUCAAGAUGAAAGAGUCCGACUAGCUUGCGACUUCUUUCAUCACCCCUUUCAGAAUGUUUUGCUAUGUAACCAUGCCUUUCAGCCUUAAGAACGCAAGGGCUACAUACCAGCGGUGUAUGCUCCAGGUCUUCGGAGACCUCAUAGGUAGGACGGUAGAGGCUUACGUAGAUGACAUCGUGGUCAAAUCUAGGAGGGCAAGCGGCCUCGUUGCCGACCUGGAUGAGACAUUUUGGGCUAAGGGGAUCAGACUGAACCCCGAAAAAUGUGUUUUCGGGGUUCCCCGAGGCAUGCUCCUCGGGUUCAUAGUGUGUGAGCGAGGGAUCGAGGCCAACCCUGAGAAGGUCUCGGCCAUCGCGAACAUGGGCCCAAUCCGUAACCUAAAGGGAGUGCAGAGGGUCAUGGGAUGUCUAGAAUCUCUCAGUCGCUUCAUCUCCCUCUCGGGAAGAAAGGACUACCUCUGUAUAGGUUCCUUAGAAAAUUUGAGCAUUUUUACUGGACCCCUGAGGCCCAGGAAGCCCUUAACAAGCUCAAGGCUUUGCUUACCAAUCCUCCCAUCUUGGUACCCCCCGCCGAGGGGGAUCCAUUGCUCCUCUACGUCGCAGCUACCGACCAGGUGGCCACGCAGCUAUCGUGGUCAAAAGAAAGGAAGAAGGGCAUGCCCUAUCGGUCCAAAGGCCGGUGUGCUUCAUUAGCGAGGUAUUGUCCGACACGAAGACCCGAUACCCCCAAAUCCAAAAACUACUCUACGCGGUAGUCUUAGCCCGACACAAGCUCCGCCAUUAUUUUGAGUCUCAUCCGGUCUCGGUAGUAUCGUCUUUCCCUCUGGGUGAGUUGAUUCAAAACCGAGAAGCUAAUGGCAGAAUUGCUAAGUGGGCUAUAGAGCUCAUGGGUGAUGGGAUCACCUAUGAGCCACGGAAAGCUAUAAAGUCCCAAGUUUUAGCGGAUUUUGUAGCGGAGUGGAUGGGAACCCAACUCCCUCCACCACAGAUCCAGUCCGAGUGCUGGACCUUGUACUUCGACGGGUCUCUGAUGAAAACUGGGGCCGGUGCAGGCCUCGUCUUCAUCUCACCCCUCGGGGUCAGGAUGAGAUACGCAAUCCGACUCCACUUCCCCUCCUCAAACAACAUGGAGGAGUAUGAGGCCCUGGUUAAUGGUCUUCAUAUCACGGUCGAGCUUGGGAUCAAGCGACUCGAUGUCCGAGGCAACUCUAGGCUCAUCAUCGACCAAGUCAUGAAAGAGUCUAGUUAUCACGAUCCUAAGAUGGACGCAUACUGUAAGACGGUCCGGCGCCUAGAGGAAAAGUUCGACGGCCUCGAGCUUAGCCACGUGUUAAGAAAACACAAUGAAGCUGCCGAUGCGCUCGCCAAAAUGGCAUCCGAGCGGGCCAUGGUCCCCCAGAUGUCUUCGUCAGUGACCUCUACAAGCCUUCCGUCGACUACAAAGAUAACGGGGGCUCGGGUCCACCUCCGGUCGACUCAGAUCUCGAUCCCGAGGCCUCCGCGGCCCCUGAGCUGGAGGCCAUGGACAUUGAGUCCGAGCCUCCCGUACCCGACGACUUGCCGGAUUGGCGCUACCCACUGCUGUAAUGCCUCAUUGACGGCACUUUGCCCCCAGAUCAAGCUGAGGCACGGCGUGUAGCUCGUCGCCCCAAGACUUUCUUACUUCUCGACGGAGAGAUGUACAAGCGUAGCCCCUCGGGCAUUCUUAUGCGCUGCAUCACCCGUCAGGAAGGAAUCAAGCUUCUUAAGGACAUACACUCAGGGGCUUGUGGCCACCAUGCUGCGCCUCGAACGCUAGUAGGAAACGCCUUCCGACAAGGCUUCUACUGGCCCACUGCCGUGGCUGAUGCCACACAGAUCGUGCGAACCUAUGAGGGUGCCAGUUUUAUGCUCGGCAGAUUCACCUCCCUACUCAGGCUCGGCAAACGAUCCCCAUCACUUGGCCCUUUGCUGUUUGGGGCCUCGACCUCAUCGGGCCUCUGCAAAAGGCGCCCAGGGGCUUCACCCACUUGCUUGUCGCAAUCAACAAGUUCUCUAAGUGGAUUGAGGUCCGACCCAUCACAAGGAUCAAGGCCGAACAAGCACUGCUGUUUAUCACGGAUAUCAUCCAUCGAUUUGGAGUGCCCAACUCCAUAAUCACUGAUAAUGGCACACAGUUCACGGGAUGAAAAUUCCUAGAGUUCUACGAUAGGCACCACAUACGUGUGGACUAGGGAGCAGUGGCUCAUCCAAAGACCAAUGGCUAGGUAGAACGUGACAAUGGCAUGAUCCUCCAAGGUUUGAAGCCCAGGAUCUUCAACUGGUUGGACAAGUUCAGAAAGAGGUGGCUCAAAGCUCUACCGACCGUGAUCUGGAGUCUAAGGACUUCCUGAAGCCAAACCACCAGCUUCACCCUAUUCUUUAUGGUCUAUGGGUCCGAGGCCGUCCUCCCCAUGGACCUAGAGUACAGAUCUCCAAGGGUACAAGCCUACGACGAAAAUAGCUGCAAGACAUUCCAAGAAGACGCGCUGGACCAGCUGGAUGAAGCUAGAGAUGUAGCCCUCCUACAUUCCGCCAAGUACCAGCAAGCCCUCCAACGUUACCAUGCUCGACGAGUCCGAGGCCGAGCCUUUCAAGUCGACGACUUGGUGCUGAGGCUCAGGCAAAGCAACAAGGGCCGUCACAAGUUCACACCUCCCUGGGAAGCACCCUUCGUCAUCGCCGAGGUCCUCCGACCCGGCACAUACAAGCUCGCCAACGAAGCAGGAGAGGUCUUCAAAAACGCAUGGAACAUUGAGCAGCUACGUCGCUUCUACCCUUAAAAUUUUGUAAAGAGAUUCAUUUGUUCUUUACCUCGGAGAAAUAAUGAAACUCUGAACCAUAUGAUUGUUUCUUUUUUAAAAGAGUAAGCCUCGGCUCUGCCCCUCAGAAUCCGAGCCUCCCUCGGGGCUACACGGGGGGAACCCCUGUGAUAACUCCAAAAUUUCUUUCUUUUCGCACAAGUUAAAGCACCCCGACCCAAGGUCUUUCUUUUGUUUCCUAAAAGAAUUUUAAAAGUCAUAGAUUCAUCACCUAAAUCUUAAGAAGGCGUGAGCCCGAGGGAAGAUCCGCGCCCACAGGCUAAGACACCCUCUACUCACCCCCUUGGAUCGGGAGACGAAUCCGUUCAGACUUCUAAAUUACUAAGGAAAAGAAAGAGACUCAGGCUCGGGACGCUCUGACUAAUGGAGACCCUAAGAGGCUCGCCCGACCCCGCACUCACUAUACCACAGCCCAACGUAGCGUCCAACAGAGGGUCGCUAUAAGUACGGAAGUAGCGUUGGAUGGUCGGUCGCUAUAACAUGGUGGCUAACGGUCGGUCGCUAUAUCUUUCUUUAGCGUCCAACCAUCGGACAGUAUAGUUAUUUUGAUUUAGCAUCCCCCAGUUGGCCGCUAAAUCCUAGUUUUGGGUCUGACUGUCGGUCGCUAUAUUGGAAUAGGGCUGUGCUCACCUUUCGUGCCUAAAAUCUAACGCACACUAGUACAGAAGUGCUCAAAGCCGGCGCCUAAAAAGUUGUAAAACCAAAAUAAUCAAUUUAUGCUUGGUUUAUGAUAGUUUGUGGGGAACUAAACUCUAAUACAAACACAAGUGAGUGAUAGGUGGAGUGGUAGAGCAGGGUACGCGCGAGGGUGAGGUCUCAGGUUCGAAUCCCACCGACCGCGUAGCACGCGAUUUUACGCGAAAAAUACGCGACUUGCGACUUGCGACGGAGACGGGCGGGCGAAUAGCCAGUGGGCCUUCCCAGUAUUAAAAUCUUUUUUUCCUAUUUUUAAAAACCGAUUUCAUAGUUUCUAGAAAAAGAUUUCUAUAGGCGGAGCCCACAUAUAUUGGCGCCUGAAAUUUUAGUGAAGCCCGACCAAAAUAUACUGAGCCCAACCAAGUCUGAUUGGGGAUAACCCUAAGUGUACUGCGCGCGUGCCCAUCUCCCCAACCCCGCCGCCAGCGCCAACAACAAGCCUCCGUCCUCCGCCGUCUCCAGCGACAUCCACGCCGCCGUGUUCCCCUACUUCUCCCGCGGGCGCGAGUCCUUCGGCAAGGUGUCUCGGCACGUCCGGCGCGCUGGGGGAAGCCUGACGUCGGCGCGCUCGAUCUCCCCAGCCCCCAUCGGCGCGCUCUGCUCUCGCGUGCGCGAGUCCACGCGUGACUCCUGGAGCGACAUCCGAUCGGUCCCUGCGUGACGCCCCUACUGACCCUCCGCGUGACGGCCUCCGGCGCUGCUGGUGGUUCCCCUCCACGCCGCACUCCCGAACGCCCCCCCACCCGGCGCCCCUUCAAGAUCCCGAGCGCCGGCAGCGGCUUGCCCGGUGACCUCUUGGCAGCAACCCCUCCACGAGUGGCAACUCCUCCAAUAUCCCGAACUUUACCAGGCAGCGACAAAAUAUCAGUAAGUCUAGGAGAGCUUUCUCUAUUUUUUCUUUGUUUUCUCUGUAGCUCUAGAUUCAUAGAAUUUUGCUAUGUCGGAAUAUUUUUUUCAUGGUGUUGAUGGACUUCUCGAUUUACAGGAGGGAGUAGGAGCAGUGAGAUGUUGAUGUAGAUCUAGUUGGUGUCAUCCUGCUGGAACAAGGAGUCAAGAUCUAGUGUCUGUGUCCAUUCAAAGCAAGAGGACCAGGUGAUGCUCUCUCCCUCUCUAAGGUCUACUUGUUUGCUUAUUUUAAGAACCAAUAAUCUAUGGUGCCCUAAGCUUCACGGAUGGGUUAUAAUUUUUGGACAGCUAGUUGUUCUCCCCUCAGUAGCAAUUGAUGGAUAAGUCUUGGAUUGAUGAUGAUGCUAGGUAAAAGUUAGUAGCUUCAUAAAACAAUAUAUGUAGCUAUAUAAAAUGGCUUUUAACAUGAAAGUUUAAUGUAGGCAUGAAAAGGCAUAUUUGCAAGGAGUGGAUAGUUUCUUAGCUUUUGCAUUUAGUAACUCUGCUGUUGGUAGAAAGAUACCAUGCCCAUGUAUAAAGUGUGUCAACUCUUUUUGGAAAGAGGCUAGUGAGGUCCGUGAACAUUUGAUAUGUGAUGGAUUCCUAAGAGGGUAUAGAACAUGGAAUUUACAUGGAGAAGCUACCCCUUGUGGUAUAGUGACUGCCGAGGUCGGGUCGGCAUAGGGAAAAAGAUAACAAAGAACACAAGCAAUUCCUAAAAAAUACAUUCAUAUUAAACACUCAUAUUCGGCAUCAAGUUUCAUAAAAAGCAAGGCCCAUCGGCCUUUGAUGUUCAUAAACAAAAGAUAACUAAUUACAAGGGCCACACUGCCCUGACUCCCCAGGUCCCUGCGCACCGGGGGGGGGGGGGAAGCUCCACUUCAACAUCGAAGAAGGAGGCCAGAGCGUCUCCUGGGGCAUCCGCGGCAUCACCGAGCUUCUGCAGCUCCUCCUAGGCCUUCGCCUCAUCGUCAGGGAGGACGUAGCCCUCACUAACUGCCGGUAGGUCAAUGCCGACGUAGUGAGAGCUCACCACCGCCAGGGCUUUCUUCACCCCAGCGUGGAGUGCCUCCCUCAGCCUCUCCCCAGCCCGGGAGUAUAGAGCCUCGACACGGCUCCAUAGAGACGACCCUGGCGCGCUCACCGUGACCCCGAGCCCCUCACACGCCGAGGCGACCACGACCUCCAACGCCGAGCGGUCCGCCACCUCGACGUCAAGGGAUUUCUUUAAGGCGUCGGUGGCAGAGACUGCCUCAGCUAUCUUCUUCUCCAGCUCUGUCGAAAAAUAGAACGAAAGAACGAAAGUCAGGAAGUAAGCCCACACGUCAAAAAAGUAAAGGUAGAAACACAACUCUUACCUUCAGCAUGCUUCCGGUUCUCCUCCGAGCUCCGAUGCUAGAGGGCCACCUUGCCCUGAGCCCCAGAGAGGUCGGCCUGGGCUUGGUUAAGGGCAAGGUCCUUCUUGGUGAGUAAAGCUUCCAACUGAGUGACCUCGCCCUUGUACCUCUCGGCGGCGGCGCUCUGCUCUUGGGACUCCAGGGUAAGGUCGCUGACCCUUUUCUCCAAGGGAGCAACCUUUUCCUGGGCUUCCCGAGCCUCGGUCGCGAGAUCCGAGCACUUCUGCUGAAGCUCGGCAGAGAUCUCGCACUCCUUUGCACGCUCCCCCUCGGCCGCCUCCCGGGCAGCUUUCUCGUUGUCGCAGGCCGCCUAGGCGUCUCGCUCCCCACGGAGGAACAUCGAUUUCUCCAAAGAUGCAACUUGGAGCGCCUGCAAGAUUGGGUGUUAUGCAGGGAGUCAAUUUAAACACACAAACGAAGGGCACUUCACCGGAGAGAGAGAAGCCUUACCUGGGUAAACUUGAACAUGUCCCGUCUCACGAGCUCGGACGCCCAGUUGAUCGCGUCGACGCUGGCGCGCCCGCACUCCUCAAGGCCCCACCAGAGGCAGGCCUCUGACGGGUCGUCUAGCAUGAAUCUGGCCCUCCCCUUCGGAUCGUGAGGAUUGGGCCAGAUCAUGGGACUUUGGCCCCAGGCCAUGGUCCCUCCUCCCUCCCUUGCGGGGGCCUCGGGUCGGGCCGGGCCCUUCCUAUGGGACCUUUCGAGAGGCACCACGCUGAGUGCCACCUCGGCCCGGGCCUCCUCGAUCUGCCUGGACCGACCUUGACCCCUGUUGACGGUCCUUAAUGCUCACAUUUAACCAUCAACUAAUCAUAGAAAACGAUCCAUAUGCAACCAACACUCAGACUUAGGGUUUUAUCUGACAGAAUUCCACGAGUUUUGGUGUUUGUCUAUUUCUGCAGGGGGUUAUCAGGAAAUACGGAAGAAAGGCCCACACGUCAGGUUUACAUAGAGAUAUUAACGUGCCGCGCAAUUUUCUACCAUCUAGAAGACUCCAGAAGCCACGGGAAGGAAGCGGAGGCCGAGAGGACUCAGGGACAGGGCGCCCGCCCUACUUUCCUAGGCGCCCGCCCUCAACCAGAGUCCAAUCAGGACUCUCUUUCGGGAUCGUGCUCCACCGACCUAAGGGAUCAAGGAAAACCGUGCGAUUAAUGUCGGUUUGAUCCGACGGCCCAGAUUCAUCUGAAAAGACUAUAUAAGCAAGACCCCCUGGCCCCUGGAGAGCAUACCUCUUCUACAGAAUCAAAGCUAGGGUUUCAAUUCUUCAUCCAAGUAGAGAGGGUCCCUCUAGUUCUUCUAGUUCUACCUCCGGUUCAUCUAGAUCUUGUUCUAGUUCAUCUAGUUCUAGUUCUAGUUCCUCUAGUUCUAGUUCUAGUUAGUUCUAGUUGUAAUCUAGAAAAUAGGGAGAGAGAAGAGGAGAGCGGAGGAGGAGCCGGAUCUAUCGGAUCUUCCUCAACAUUAUACUUUUGUAGCAACUGGUUCGUGGUAAUUAAUAGAUUAGACGUGGUGUUUAGUCUUGCAAUUACCUGGAAUUGCACCCAAUCCUACAGAUUGUUGUGGUAGCCUUAGGGUAGUGACAGCCCUAACGGUCGACGUAUUCCACCUCGUUCGGAUCGGUGUUUGUAGGACCGUAGUCAGACCUUCCUAGCCCCCUUCUCAUCUCUUUCUGUGGUUAGUGCUCUGAUGUCCCAAAAUAGAUAAUCUUGAAGUAAUUCUUGAUUCUUAGAUCAACUAGAGAACUCUCAGGAAACUUCCUCUCUUCCCACCAAAAAUAAUUAUAUAGUUAUCCUUGGGCGAUCUUGGAUCUUAAUUAGUACACUCACGUUCUCUGUGGAGAAUCGAUACUCUAGAAUACUCCCGGGUGAAGGAUACUUCGGUAUCCGUGCGCUUGUGGAUUUUUCUGUUUGCGUUUAAAAUACCCAACAAGCUUUCUGGCGCCGUUGCCGGGGAACGGUAGCUGUGCUAGUUUCGGACCAAGUCAUCCGUGUAUCCUUUUUCUUUUCCAUUUUUACCACACUCACCUUACCAUUUUCACCACACCACAUGGAUUUCACUCUAAGCAUUAAUGAGCAUGGAAUUUAUUUCAUAGCCACUUCAUUUACUCCAUGCUCAUAUGCAACAUCUUCCCAAUCCAUUGGUUUUUCCAACAUCACCACAUUCGAGAUCUCCAACCCCCUCAUUCUUUCUAUUUAUAUAAACUUUAAAAGGGUGGUUGUCGAUGCAUAUGUCUAUAUUAAAUAUUGCAGAUCUCGUUGAGUUGAUCUUGAUAUAGGUCAGCGUUGGAAGGGAAACCACUUCGCCGACAUAAAUUGAUGGUUUCCCAAGGACAAGCUUAGUGUCCUAAAACAAGCACUGAUCAGAUUGUGCCAUGAGCUUUUAAUUAUUUGCAACAUUACCUUGUGUGUUGAGCAUAUAGGAUAAUUGUAAAAAAUUCCUUCGAGUAUUCUUGUCACUAACCUUUCUAGGAUUAGAGCAAGAAGAUCGGAUGAAUGACAAGCACAAGGUAUGUCCAACCAAUCAUCAUACAACAUUGAAUUAAAUUCAUCCAAACUUGAAUUUUGCAAAAUUCAAGCUUGGGGGAGUACUUUACAUAAAACAUCCUUUGCCAUGUUGCUAUGUUGGUUGUCCCUACCUUUGAGACAUGCUCAAUUUGUUAAAUACUAAUCACACUACUUCAUCACCACUUGAGUGGAUUUCUAUAAAUACUUUCAUGCUACCUUUAUUUGCUUUAUUAUAUGUCUAGGCUUGGAGUAGUUUCAUUUAUCUCUUAAUUAAGCAUGGUGCUUAGUUUAGGGCUGAUGAUCUUACUUCCAAGGGAGUUUAAAUUAAGCAUAGUGCUUAGGUUAAAAUGCCCUCCUGAAUCAAAUUAGACAUGGUGUCUAGGUUGAUUUUUGAGCCGAUAGUAUGCUAUAGUAGAUAUUGGAUAUUUUGUUGGACUAACCCCUGCAGGAAAACUUCCACUAUCGACCUGGGAAGUCCUGAGAUACACUCGUAUUGGAGACAAAGAGAGAGACACAUGAAGGUAACAAUUUACACAAGGAAGGCAUAGCUCACAAGAGAUGAUCCAUGUAGGGUGCCACAAAAACAAUGCACAACCGCUAAGAAAGGAAAGCUUCCAUAAGGUGAUACUGUACCAUCACUCUUCAAGUAAGGUAACAUCUUAAGGUACUUGACUAUCACUUCUCUAAGCUUCUCCUUGGUUCUGGCGUUCACAUGAAUAAAAGAGACAAACAUGUAUGAUUUACAACUCUAGAUUAACCAACCCAAUCGAUUCAAUAUGUUUAGUCCUUCCACCGUUGUGAUCCCACACUCCUAAUCUUAUGAGCUAAAAUGUUGCACACUCAAUCUUUGGAAGAUAUAUAUAUAUAAAAUAAUAAUAAGUAUAGAUAGAUUAUCUUUCCAUUAGGUUGAGCAAUCUGAUCUGGCAAAUGUUUUAAAUACUACACUCAUAAUCUUAUUAUCCAUCAACUUUAUCUUGCUCCCUAUGCUUACGGUUAGAGAAGAACAAAUACACUUUUGGUUCUGUUAGUGUUUUCCACCAACAGGGCCCAUGCACUUGAUCUCUGCCUUGUCUAUGAGCAGGUACACUUCGAGUAAAAUAUGAAGGACUUUUUCAACUCCCAGACUCCACCAAGUGAAGAACCUAGAUCUACAUGCACAAACACACUGGAGAUACUGACACUCAGGCAAUCACUGCCCUGAGAUGCUUGAGGACGUAACUACUGGAGUAACCCCGUUGUGGAAGUAAUUACUGACCUUCUGACGGUCAAGAGAGACAACCUAGGAUGCUCCGUCAUCCCGAUCUCCAUCGGCAUGGUCGUCUUUCCAGAAGCACUCUGUGACUUUGGCUCGAGCGUCAACAUUAUGCCCAGGGUACUCUAUGAAAAAUUAUUUACACAUCCUUUAUUAGAAACAGCCAUGUGUUUGCAGCUUGCAGAUCAUACGCUAAGUUUCCCAAAGGGAAUAUUGAAGAACCUCUACGUCCGAGUUGGUACCUUGUACGACCCAGCAGACUUCGUGGUGAUAGAGACCGGUUCUGAUAAGAGGGCACCCGUCAUCCUAGGGAGGCCAUUCUUGAACACUUCAGGAGCUGUCAUCUACGCUAAUGCUGCCAAGAUCAGUUUCUACAUCAAAGGGAGGAAGGAGACGUUUUCCUUCAAGAACAAGACUACACAAAUCUCAAAGCAAUCCCGACAUGAACCAAGGAAGAGGAUCAACAGGGGGAACAGGAACAAGCAAAUGUGGACUGAGUCAGCUAAGAUGGUCACUGCAGCUCAAGGAGGUCAAGAUCGUCAACUCAAGUCACCUUUCUUGAUCAAGAAGGACGACCCUGGUGUUCCAAGCAUCGAGUGCACAAUCAACGGAUAUUCUUUUCAGAAGACACUCUACAACACCGGAUCUGACGUCAACAUAAUGGCCGCAGUCACUUAUCAGCUCCUGCAUAGAACCAUGCCCCUACAACCAACAUACAUUCAGCUCCAGAUGAUUUUAAGGUUAUUGACAUGGGAGAAGACGAGUACAAUCCACCCAUCACCAUUGGGAGACUGUUCCUCAGCACCGUUAAAGCAAUCAUCUACAUUGGAACCGGCGGAGUCCACAUGCAUUUCCCCUCUGAGAAGGUACGCUGCUAUUUUACUGACCCUAACCAUAUAGUUGAAGACUCUAAGCAGGUCAGGACAAGAAGAAGACGACGCAACUGCAACCAGAGGAGGCAAAAUCAUCAAGGACGGAUGGGUAGACUAUGAAGGAGAAGUGGUAAGAUCUGAAGACAUACAGCUUGAACAGAACUGUCCUGAGGAGACCGUAGCACCGAGUCAGGUGUGUAGAGAGAAGUUAGUUAUACACGAAGAGGAGGCACUGCCGGAACCACCGACUACGUCAUCCAGCGAAUCCCAGGACAACUGAGAAAAUGGAGAGUCCCGUUCGGAGGACUUAAAAACGCCGAACACCUUGCCAAGAGGUAAACUUGGUAGUUAUCCUUUUCCUUUCAAUUAUUUUAAAAUAGUUUACUUAGUUAAUCAGGUCCAUACCAUCUUCAAAAGAAAAUAAAAAUGUUAAAAAUAGUAAGCCCCAUGUGAGUAUGCUCAUGGCAUAAAACCCAUAAGUACAUUCACUGUGGUGGCAUAAAAAUAAAAUAAAUAUAUUCUUGUCCUAUAAAAAUGAAAAUAUAAAAAUAAGAUUGUGAUCCUACUAAAAAGAGUGUAACAUUUAUUGAGGAGGCUCAACAUAAUAAAGGCUAGAUAUUUAUGCUAACACUUAACUAGUUUCACAACGCUUUGUUGUCUAUUUGAGCUCCACAGAAUUCAAGGAUCAAAGAAGACUAGCAGACGGAGGACAUCCUAAUCACUGUCAGGGUGCUGCUAACAUUAAAUACACCUCCGCCACCAGCUAGCUACAUCAGUAGAAAUUACGUCAAAAUCCAGCUUGGGGGAGAGCACUCAAAUUUAUCCAGCUAAGUGUUCUACUCAUGUUUAUACUUUACUCAAAUAAUAAAAAGAUGCAUAAUCAUAUAAACCCAAAUAAAGAUUUUGUGCUUAGAUAUCUUUGCUUAGUUUGCUAAAUAAAUAAAUAAAUAAAGUUUGCUAUGAACCCUCAUGAUAAGCUCUCACAUGGAAAUCAUGAAUAGUUGCUCUAUCAUGACUAGUUCUCAAAAUGGAAAUCUCUCUCAAGUUUAGGCAUUACUGUUAUUAAUUAAGAAUUGCUCUAAACCUGAACUUGUGGGAAGAGUACUUGAUCUAAUGUCUAAGUUGUUAACGGAUAUGAUAUGGGAAGGUUAAGCUGCUGUUUAUCUAUUCCUAGAGAUGCUAGAAUUCUAGAGAAUUUUAUCUUUGAAAAUCUUUAAAAUGUUGCAUGAUGAGUUCCUGUAUGAUGAGAGUUUAAAAUCCUACCACAGCCAUGUAUACAUGCUUAUUAGACUACGAACCAUACAUUUACUUUUUACUGCUUAUGAGCAUUGAGUGUGGUCAAGCUGUGUAGACCCUUAGGAGCUUGUCAUGUGGUUAAAAUCAAGAUUCAUUUGAACGUUCACUCAUACAUGCUGCUUCUACUCCAGGAGUACGCAUCCACAUAUAUCCACUCAUUUCCAUCUCCAGAACCAUCCAAAAAUAUUCUACUCCUAAUCCGAGAGAGAAUAGCCAAAAACAUUUCUGUUUUCCCCUGUGAAAUAAAUGCUCAAGUUAUUUUGUUUACUACCACUUGCUACACUAUUCUAGGAGGAUGAGUGCUCUGAAAAAAAGUGAAUACGAGGAAAUAAAAAGGGGCAAGUGCCCGGAACCUCGAAAAGAAAAAAAAGUGAGACGAGAGGUAAAAUGGACAAGUGUCCGACAGUAGAAUUAGGGAUACAUGAUACCCACCUGAGAGAAAAGAAAAAAAAAGAAAAUAUAGAGCAUCUCAUUCCCCUCAAAAAGCUUCAAAGUGCAAGAAAGGUAUGUAUCCCCUCAAAAGAGCACAAGUAGAAUUAGACUUUCACCAUUGUUAUCACCAUCAUCACCAUACACCAUUCAUUCGCCACACAUGCACAUCUUGAUUUGACUUUUUGACUUGUUCUUCUGGAUCCAUGGUUUGACUAUGCAAUAAAUGUCUUGUAAGUAUGUAUUAGCUGUCUCCCACCUAUGAGCUCUAGAUAUCAAAACCUUAUUAGAGUAGGGUGAGAGAGAAGGCAAUGCCACUAUGCCUUAUACCACAAAUACCACAUAUUUUGAGAGAAGGCAUACACCUUUACUGCCUUGGUAAGGAUCCAGAAAUACCACAAAAGAGAGACUAGAGAGAGUCAUACAAGGAAUCUCUGAGUUUUAUUUGAAAAUCUGUAAAAACUCUAGAGCUAUAGUUAAUCGAAGAACAAGAGACAUGGCGCUUGACUAGACCGUUCUAUCUUUUAACUACUCAAGAUAGAAGUGACGGUUACAAGUCCCAUGGUGAAAGGCAAAAUGAGUAAGUUUUAAAUAUUAACAGUUUACCCUAACUUAGAGAUGAGAUCUUGUUUGAACGAAUGUGUAUUUUUAAGGCAUAAAACCACUGCAGAAACUCUUGAGUCCAUCUUUGCUCAGGGACGAGCAAAGGUUAAGCUUGGGGGAGCUUGUUGACGGUCCUUAAUGCUCACAUUUAACCAUCAACAAAUCAUAGAAAAGGAUCCAUAUGCAACCAACACUCAGACUUAGGGUUUUAUCUGACAGAAUUCCACGAGUUUUGGUGUUUGUCUAUUUCUGCAGGGGGUUAUCAGGAAAUACGGAAGAAAGGCCCACACGUCGGGUUUACAUAGAGAUAUUAACGUGCCGCGCAAUUUUCUACCAUCUAGAAGACUCCAGAAGCCACGGGAAGGAAGCGGUGGCCGAGAGGACUCAGGGACAGGGCGCCCGCCCUACUUUCCUAGGCGCCCGCCCUCAACUAGAGUCCAAUCAGGACUCUCUUUCGGGAUCGUGCUCCACCGACCUAAGGGAUCAAGGAAAACUGUGCGAUUAAUGUCAGUUUGAUCCGACGGCCCAGAUUCAUCUGAAAAGACUAUAUAAGCAAGACCCCCUGGCCCCUGGAGAGCAUACCUCUUCUACAGAAUCAAAGCUAGGGUUUCAAUUCUUCAUCCAAGUAGAGAGGAUCCCUCUAGUUCUUCUAGUUCUACCUCUAGUUCAUCUAGAUCUAGUUCUAGUUCAUCUAGUUCUAGUUCUAGUUCCUCUAGUUCUAGUUCUAGUUAGUUCUAGUUGUAAUCUAGAAAAUAGGGAG